rnacentral:lncRNA from 1 species
CCCAAUUCGGGCGCUCGAUUCCUGGCUUCGCCUCGAGACGAUCUCACCUGUUGUUGAGGCAUGACGGCUUGCAAGCAGACCGCAUCCACGGGCACCGAUGUAACCAUGGACGAGGCCGACAGCAAGUAAGAAUCGAAACUGAAUCUUGUUUCUGUGAUGCAAGAGACAUCCCUAGUUUCGGUGCAUCGAGCCGCGGAUCCAUAACCUUGGAUUCUUACGCAGCUCGGCAGCGAAGAGAGAUGGAGCGGAUGAGCGGAAGCCCCGGACCAAGUGCAGGAAGGGGAAGAAGGUCAAGGACAAGUAAGAUUCCAACCGAUUUGUGUGAUGCAAUAGAGGUUAAUUUUGGUGCGUCGACCCAUGACCUUCUCGAUGUUCCACGCAGGUUGGCGGUGAAGAGCAAUGGAGCGGAGAAGCCCAAGACCCACGACCUUUCCGAUGUUACACGCGGGUUGGCGGCGAUGAGCAUUGCAAUGGAAAAUCCGUUGGAUGAACAGCUCGCCAAGCUCGCCCUUUUCACCUACCAGUGAGAUUUGAUCCUCCACGUUUUUUCAGAUUGUUUUUCCUUUUUUUGCUUUUCUGGACGGCGCUGAUUUGACCAUGAUUUGGUUAGGGACGUCUUCUGGAUGGACAACUUCAAAGGCGUCUAUGACAAGCCGUCCGUAGAUGCUGUCAGUUCGAUCCUUCAUUGCCUCGUAACCGAUUUGUUUCGACUGUUUCGUGGAUGAAUCGAUAAUUUGUUUCUUGUGGAAAAUUUUCAGAUUAGAAAGAAAGCUGCUGAAAACUGGGAAUUCUUUAACGAUUCGGUAAGACAGCCAGCUUCUAAUCUUCUGUAACUUUUGCCAUGCUGAUUAAUGUUUUACAUGGAUGGAUCUGUGUUGCAGGACAAGGCCCCUUACGUAGCCAUUGCACGUGUGAACGAAAUACUCCUUGCUGAGGCUUAUGAGUUCAAGAAGGUUGAGACAAAGACAUGGCGGUUUUACCUAUUUUUAGAUGAUUUACUGUGCAAAGCUAAGCAUCCUUUGCAAAUAUAAUGCUCUUUCAUCACAUAUAUUAUUUCCAAUAACAAUAGAUAAUCUCAUCUACUUUACCUUCCAUUGAAAGAAUAAUUAAACUGAUUUUGUUUGCACAUUUAAUUUUCUUUCUUGUUGAUCCAUCUUCACCUUGAGCUUUUAUAGAUUUCUUUCCCUUAUAGACACUGAAGUUGACGCUCGGGAUGACGAACAAGAUGACGAAUCUGAAAAUGUGAACACACAAGAUCUCUAAGAUGUGUUUGAAUAGGUGAUUUGCAUUUUUCCUUUUGCUAUCUGUAUAUCUUUUGGAUUGGUUACUCAAUUAGCAGGGGUCAUGCAUGUACUCUUGUUUUGUUUUUCAUAAGUGGAUUUUUAGGUCCGGGGAUCCCCGCACCCCCUUAUCUGUACCAUUCAUUAAGAAUAUGGCACUUUGAGAUUUGUGCGCCUCACUAUAGUCAAUGAUUCCGUUAGCAGUUUUUUUUUGCCUCAUUAAGCGCAGGAAUCUAUACUACUAAUAAAAGAUCAAACGAAAACUUCUCUAAAUACACACAACUAUUACCCCCACAAAAACAAACACCAAUCACUACCACACAAUUAGACAACAAAUUACAAUCUAACGGCCUUCCACCAUCCAUGCACCACCACCGUGUGCAUUUACCAAAUUAAGUAAGGCUGACCGUGCUCCACCUCCUCCUACAGCGAAAAUCUGUUGCACCUCCACGAGCCAAUCAAGUACAGAAAUUUAGGAAGAAUUAACGGGAGCCAGUCGCCCUGGCCUGCACCUUCGCCGUCGCCUCCGCGUCCAACUCCCCCUCCGGGGGGCCCCGUCCGCCUCCUCCUCCCCCUCGUCGCCCGCCGUGUCCCCCAUCUCUGUCGCCGCCACCGCCCGUCGUGUCCCUCAUCUCUGUCGCCGCCGCCGCCGCCCACCGCGUCCCCAUCUCGGUCGCCGGUGGCCUCCACCUCCACUACAUGCAGGAGAGCCGCCAUGCGGAUCCCUACAGAUCGAUGCAUCUUAGUGGGUUUCCUCGGUACCGGAGAAUAAUCGCGCCGGCGACGAGGCCGAAGGUGGGGCGGGUCGACCAAGAAUCGUCCAUCCUUGAGGUCCCCGAGUUUCUCCUGAUUCCUCACUGCAUCUCCCAUCCAUCUUAUCUGGAUAGUGUAAGUGUCAGUAUCUUCAGGGAUUGAGCCCGGGACGAGGGCGGCGAGUUCUUGGGACAGCCGUGCUAAUGUGGAUGUAGAUGUACCGCAAGGGCAUGGUGCCUCUUCGGUGGUUCUUGCAGGAUCUGUCAGUGAUCCAUCACAAAGUUCACCGGAAUCAGGUGAGGAAAAGAGGCAUUCCGUUUAUCAUUUCCCCUGUUCGGCUAGAGUUGCAUGUUUCGAAAUUCAGAGUGUGGCACCCAUGCUGCUUGUUUAGCAUGCAUUCUGUGGUAGUAAAAGGCAAGUACUCUGUUGUGCAUGUUUGGGUUUGGGGUUUUCUGAUUUGGGACUCCACAUUCAGUCCCAUAAUUGAUAUGACCCUCAAUUAUGCAUGCAUUGGCUGGUAUGAUGAUGUAAUGGGGUGUUCUGGAGUCAUUCUUCUGAAAUUAGUUGUUAAAAAAGUUGUUCUGAAAAAAUAAUAUUGUUCUUUUCUCAAAAAGUAUAUAUAUGCUUAUUUUCUCUCAACAGAAACUGAAAGUUUAAUGCACUGAUUUGAAAAAAAAUACAAUAAUUUCUGUAUCCCUUCAUCUUCACAGACUACUCUAAGUUAUUCUCUCCCCUGUUCAGCCAGACUUGCAUGUUUUUCAAUAUUCAUUUCAGAGUGGCAUUACCCAAGUGUCCAUCACACCAGGCACCACCACACUGCUUGUUACCCAAGUGUCCUGGAGCACACCAGGCACCACCACACUACUUGUUAGCAUUCAGUGGGAGUAGAAGGGAAGUACUGUAGUGUGCAUGUCUAUGCUUAGGAUUUUUCCGAUCAGGGGGCCCAGCUUGCAGUCACAUAAUUUAUAUGUCCCUCAAUUAUGUAAAGGGUCGAUAUUGAGAAAAUAUGGGGAAGUGCUAGAACAUGUCACACCGUUAUCAUGGAAAUUAACAACUUGUUGGUCUAAGGGUAGAUUGUUAAAAACUCAGCGUAUGUGUUCUGAAUGAUAGUUAAAUGCUAUAUGAUGCCAUUGCAAGUGAUUGUCAUUUAAUUUUUCGUUCACAUGAUGAAUAUGCAUAUCUCAAGGACAUGCUUAUUCUUGCUACACAACACAUAUUUUUUCUUUGUUCACUGGUUUAUAGUUUUGCUAAUGUUGACUGUUGUUUAAUGCUUAGUGUUGCCCGUGGUAGAUCCUGAACUUAAAAGUGGCAGUGUCAAGUUUAAAACAUAUUUCGAGAGUAAAUUAGUAAUAGAGGGACAAUCUACAUCCUCCCCACAGUCCAUUCCCAAUCCUGAAAAGAAUGGCUUUUCCAAAAAAAUUCCACAAUCAGGUGAGAUGACAACUAUAUUGAAAAAUAUUGAUUUAUUGGCAAAUUUUCCUUAUGCUAACAUGGAGAUCCGUAUUGAUUCUCCUUCCACCAAAAGUUUCAGAGACUGCAGUUCCAAAUCAUAAGAGCAAUAUCACUUGCUAUGAUAAGGGUAAGGACAAGGGGUUCCCCUAUGCAAGGCCAGUCGUCAGCAAGAUGUCCGGCGACGUUCAAAUUGCUCCAGGAAGCUCAUCAGUCAUUUUGACCAUGCCACCGCAUCAAGGCGCGGAAGGACGACGCGUUAGGCCAUAUGCUCGAUGUGAUGAUUCCUUGCUGCCUCUUGUUAGAGAAGUGGUUCCCCGUGUAGCUCGUGGAGGCGGCGGCAGAACGCACGGUGGAAGACAAUGUCGCUCCAGGUCUUGUAGACGAGCGAGGCGCGGAGGAGGCAGUCCGGAUCGUCACGCGGGCGGAGGAGGCAGUCCGGAUCGUCACGCGGGCGGAAGAGGAGGAUCUAUUCGAUGAGCUCGUUCGGGAGCACCCGCGGCAUCGCCCCCAUGGUGGCCUCUAGGUCUGGGCGUGUGUCCGGGAGCGUCGCCGGCGAGGUGCGAUGGCAAGGCUGCGCUGGGGUUGUUACAGGCUUUUACUGGAAUCACCUUUUACAGGCUUUUGUCAUUGUACUAAAAUCACUUGAACUUUACUGUAAAGUACAUUGAGACCAGGUCCACUACUCAGUAUCUGGUUCGAUUCUUAUACCGACACUUAUACAUACAAUUACAGCUCACUUGUUUUAUUGGUGAUCUCGGUCUUGGCAUCCACGAAGCACACUCAUUUUCAACAAUCGAUGGCUACUCAGUGGAUGUAUUCGUUGUCGCUGGUUUGCCUCUUGUGGUAUGCAUUAGCUAACUGAUUCUAGCAUAUUAGAGUGUGUCCUUUUCCUUACUACUAUUUCAGCAAUUUUUAUGGUGAUAUAUUCUCUAUUAGUGCUAUUCAUAGGCUACUAAACAGCUGCAAGUAAAGAUAAUGGAGAAAUUUCGCAGUGUUGAGGUAUAGGCUUUAGUCUGCCCUUCUUGUAUGAAGUUUAAUGCCUCUAUCUAACUGAAUAAUAAGCACUCUACUGUUUGGUUUCAGUAAAUUUGCUUAUUGUCAAUUAUUACUUAUGUCCAUAUAGAGUUAUAGACUUACUGCUCAAUCCAUGCUCGCAGAAAGGUUUGUCACAGGAAUGUUGUGCAUUUUAUCGGUGCAUGUACAAGACAGCCCAACUUAUAUACUAUAACAGGUAUUUCCACCAAUGAAAUGUAUUGAAUAAUUGACACUAUCGCCAGAGCCUUUUCAAUGAAAUGUUGCCCUGUUCAUUUAUCUUGACCAUUAAAAGUUGAGUUCUCCUUCUCGUGAACUAUUGGUGUCUCCUAUUUACGGUUGUCCUAUUAUUCAAAUUGUUCACCACGAUGUCCUAUAUUCCGAUGCAUGCAUGUUUUCCACUCGGAGAACAAGUUUCUAGAUACCACAAUAAGAAUACUCAUUUUCAUGUUCUCUACUUUUUAUUGCCAUUUUCUGUUGUGCAAUAUGAGUUGAUAUGAGUCAAAUAGCACAAGUAUUAUUGUUGACUAAUUAUUCAAGUACUUCCCUUCCAAGCAGCCCUUGAACAACGAACAAGGAAAUUUUGGAGUCCUUGUUUCACUGCCUACGAGGACGUGGGAGCCACCAACACUGUUUGCUUCCUUCCACAACUCAAGGUCCUAGGUAUCUGUUCUCGCUCCCUAUAAGUUUUUGUUCACACAUCAUGAUUAUGGUUUCCAGGAAGAUUCAGAAAAAAGAUUAUCGUUUGCAAAGAUUAUCAUUUGCCCAAUUUAGCUAGCAACAUCUUAUAUUUCACUGCUAAUUUAAUGGGCAAGACACAUCACAAUAAUUCAUACAAGAAAUAGCGAAGGAUCUGGAAGAAAUAGUGUUCCUAGCUAAGCUGUGCACUUUCUUGUAUUGAUUUCUAAAAAUUAUGUUUCAAGAUAGCAUCAUUCGUGUGUCCCUUCUGGAGAAUGAGACCGAUAGUGGGUCUCAAUAGCCAUUUAUGUGGAUUCAUACUUGAGUGUCGGGAUUUAAUUUCUUUAAUACUAGAAGCAUAAUAUGAUGAGAUGAGGCGACCAUGUAUUUGCUAGCAUCAUGACUUUAGCCUACCGGUAGCAUUAUGCGAUGAAAUGAGGAGGCGGCCAUGUAUUUUUCAGUAUGAUGACUUGAGCCGCAACAUCUGUAUUGAGUAGCCGAAGAAGUAACCGCACACACUUCUAUUGUAGAUUAGUGUUGGCCUGCUUCAGACUGAAUAUAAACUAAGGCGUGUAGAGAGGGAUUGGUCAUAAUAAGCAUCUGUAUACAUCGUGAUUGUAGUCCCCCCAUCGAGUCAUACGAGAGGGGUAUGCUAUUUUAGAAGAGGGCAAAAUAAAGCAUGUAGACUAAUGAAUGUCAAUUUAGACCAUCGUUUUGCAAUUGCUACUUUUGGUUCGAAAGGUCUAACAAGAUAAAUAGAUUGUUUAUAUGACCUUGCUGUUAUGACUUUACUUUGCAAAUUUUAUCACACUAGCAAUGUUGUGUGCACAGUUAUUUGGUUUCAGCAAACUUGAUCAUGUGUACAUUGUUGUGUAUACAAGAUGGAAUAUAUUAGGCUUCAGUUGCUAUAAGAAAAACUCGAGCUCUAUUUCCACUGGCGAGUAAAUGCAACCUGACUAAAGAACGCAAGCUCUUUCCUCAAGCUAUAUGUUAGGUUGCAUAUAUAAACCAAAGUGAGGUCCUUAUCCUGGUUGGUUUGGGACGGCCACAUCCUCGUGAACGAUAAGUAGUUGCGCUAGAGAUGGGCGUGCAGUGAGAUUUGCCCAACGUGUGGCUCUUGCAAAGAGAAAGCCAGCUUUGCGAGGCAGGUAUUGCCAGCAGUGGCCUUUUGGUCGUGAUACGAGGUGUUGUCUCCCCCUGUUCCUAGAACAUCGGUCCCAUCUACGGCUGAUGGAUGGCAAUCAGGUUUCAAAGGAGAAAAAUCAUUUUCAUGGAUCACCUGGUACUGUGUUUGGUAAAUUUGGAAUAGUCAGAUUUUUUAGCACGAUUAAAAGGGAGUCAAUGACACCAUAUAUAAGAUGUUUAGCACAAUUAAAAGGGAGUCAGCGAUACCAUAUUUAAGAUCUUCUUUUGUUAGAGUUGUUCCGGAUGCAUGUUGUGGAUUGAGAGUUUGGGCAUCUUUUUUCCUCUGUAUUAGAUAAAAUCUGGCUGUAUGGGUCUGGUUGUAAAACGAACUUCUUCUACUAACAUAUCAUUGCUUGCGAUGGAAUAUGGAUGUAUUUUUCUUCAAGAUGUAACACUAAAAUACUUGUUUUUGCUAUGUAAUAUUGACAUCUUCGAUUUUUUUUGUACGCAUGUACUAAAGAAUUUCAUGAAUGGAAUAAUUUCUCGCUUAGACGCUUCAGUUAUUUAUUGUGCGCGCGUACUAAAGGAUUUUUGGAUUACUAGCUAAUUAUUUAUUACAACAAUUAUUCUUUGUCUGUGCAUUGCUAUUUGCAAGUCGAGGUUCCGAAAUAAUAUUUUCUUUACAAUUAUUUAGUUAUAUCUUGCAUCUAGAAAUUAGUAUAUGAUAUUUUUAUUGCCUCAUAAGUCAUAAUUAGAUAAUAAGAAAAUAAUUUCUUUUUUGUUACAUGUGUACGUGCGUUGGACGUGCGAGCUUACUAGUAGGGAUAGAAAACAAAAAACCUGGGUCUAGUAUAGACCUGCUUUUUCACAGGAAAAAGUCCAUUUUAAACCCUGAAUUUGUAGAGGUUCGACGAAAUGAACCUCCAACUCGAAAUUCCUGUCGAUUGCACCCUGAACUAUGUAAUCCUGGUCUAAAAAGAACCCUGGAUUCGUUUGCCAAACUGGGAUUGCUGACUUGACUGGGAUGGGCUGUGCACGCGCGGAAAAGACCGGGCCAGACCAGUCAGGCCCAUCUCGCUAUCGGACAUCACAAUAUUUACGAAAUUAAAAAAAGUGAGAAAAAAAGUUCACGAAUUUUGAAGAAAUAACCAUGGAUAUAAAAAAAGUUCAACGAUUUUGAAAACAAGUAAAUGGAUUUUCAAAAUUAAAAUUCAGGAAUUUUCAAAAACAUUGUGAAGUCCACAGGUUAUUUUAUAGUACGUAGGAAGCACCUUAAAAUGGUUUUUAACAUAUGAUUAACAUUUUUUAGAAUACAUGUUAAAAAUAAUAAUACAUCAUAUACAUUUUUUAAUUGUCCCCAACACUUUUUUGAAAUGUAUGAACAUUUUCCAAAUGCAAUAAUUUUAAAAUUACACACAUGUAUAUUUUUAUAAUUUUGAACCUCAGCGCUAGGUCGUUGGUUCUUUUUUUUCCUUUCGUUUUUAUUUUUAUUUUUAUUUUCGAUUUCAAUUUAUAUUUUAUACUUUUUGAUUUCUUUUUUUUGUUACUGUUUAUUUUCUCUUAUAUUAUAUAAGUUUAUUGUGUAUCGUCAAAAUAUUUAUUGUAUAUUACGUGUGCAUGUACGUGUAUGUGUGGGUUGUUAUGGUAUGUAUUAUGCGUACCUGUAGGCUAUUCGGUGUUCAUCGUCGGACCGGAUUUGUCCCAACACACUGUAAGAAAUAUUUGAAAAAAGGUUCGUCAUUUUUUAAAAAGAUUAACAAAUUUAAAAAAAUGUUGACCAGGUAGAGCUUAAGCUACAGUCUUAAUAUACUCACAACUACAAGAACAAAUGCAUGCAUCACUCCACAACUACAAGAAAAAAUGUUCGCGCAUCCAAAAAAUAUUUUCGAAUUUGAAAAAUGUUCCGAUUUUGAAAAAAAUUCACGUUUUCUAUUUUUGAGAGAUUUUAUAAAAUGGUUCACAUAUUAUAAAAAAUGUUCGUGUUUCAGGGAAAAAUUAUUUGUUUAGAAAUGUGUUGUCCGUUUCGAAAUAUGUUCUAAAAAUAUUAAAUAUGUUCGUGAUUUUAAAACGGUCCGGCCCAAAAAAUGAAUCCCGGUUGACAUGGUGCGAGGGUUUGAUUUAGACCGGGAUUGUAUAUUCAGGAUGCAAUCGACCGGAAUUUUGAGUUGAGGAUUUAUUUCGUACGACCAAUACAAAUUCAAGGUUAUAACUAGACUUUUUUCUUUUCACAGCGGUUCCCGACAAACGUGGCAGGUCACGCCAUAGUAUUCAUGUGACCUCCGGUGACAACUCUAGUCGCUGGUUGAUCCAAUGCAACAUCCUCAUCCUUUCUCCUAUUUCUUUUUGACUACAGAUUACACAAAACUAUCUUGCUUCUUUUUCCCUUUCUUCUCUUACACACAACGCCUCUCUCUGCUCUUUUUUCUCUCUCAUAGCACCUCUCUGAGAAAGAAAAUAGCGCCUUCUCUCUACUCCAGUCUCACUCAUGAGAAUAAAGCUUUACAUGCACGCGAGCCAAUGGUCUCCAGUGAUGGGAUAGAACAGAAGGUGAGACCCUUUUGCAUGCAUGAAGUGGCUCAGCCCCACGUGCUUGAGUUUUCUUUCAUGAGGUAAUAGCACCAGAGAUCCUACAACUUGCACACAAUGUGAUGGUUUGAUCCUAGAACUUGCAAAAUGAUCCUAUUUGAUCAUACAACUUGCUUCUUUUGUGCAGUUUUAGUCGACAGCGAAUCACAGCGCGCCAAGUGGACAGAGUGGAGGCAGGGUUGAUGGUUUUGCAAAGUGGCCCUUCCAUUUAUCACUUAUUAAUCAACACCCAGGCCAUCUGUAAGCUGCAGAUACUAAUUGCCAUCUGUAACCCAGUUUGAGAAGUAGAGAUCAUUUUACGUGCAGAUACCAAUCCCAACUUAUUUUGAACAUUUGAUUAGUUGAGUUGGGAGGUAGCCAUGUGCCAGUUAUGUCUGAUUAACCGUGCGUUCGACUUAUUAGAAUAAGCGCAUGCAUGCACCUGUGAUGGUGCGGCUCCAUGCAUGUUUCCUGUUUAGAAUAAGCCCAUGCAUGCACCGAUGGAGCAGCUCCAUGCAUGCACCUCUAAGUUCAUGCAUGUUUCCUGUUUAGAAUAAGCGCAUACAUGCACCUCUGAUGGGAUCACUAGGACAACUAGUCCUUCAACCAGGCAGGCAAGGCAUGAGGUGAGAGCAUGAGAAGAGGACGAAAACCCAUACAAAUGCAGCUAGCCCGCACCGUGCGGAGAACGACAUGCCGUGCCGCCUCCGAGAGCAGAGCAUAACAGAAACCGCCAUUGGCGCCCUAAGCUAAGCUAGCAGUAGCACAAACGAGUGCGUGUUGAAGAUGGUCUCAGAAGAGGGCUAUCCCGGGAGCCAAGGGGGUGUUUAGUUAUUACUGACUUCAGUAUUAUCUUUUGGGACUAAUUCACUUCAGUAGUUUCUUAACUUGGACGAAAAUUACUGUUUCCAUGCUUAAGUGAAUCUCUCUAAAAUAAAUUCGAUUCCAAUAAAAAUGGAACUACUGUACCAUACAUCUAAAAUUUGUGAUUGCAGAAUGAGCAUUAUAUUUUCCUUUUCUAUUCCGCGAAACAAACCUAUAAUACAGUAAACCUCUGUGACAACACAAAUAUACACUAGAAAUACACAUAUUUUGGCUUCUUGUAUAUUGGGGUACAGCUCAUAUUUGGAAUCAACUGUAACUGAUCGUUAGCAGGGUGCACUAGUCUUUUCUACAAGCUCAUCAAGUUUUGGUGCGAAUUCAAAGGAACGAAUCGGUAAUUUUUUUCUCACGAAAAUUGUACAUCUAAUUUAUAGACGAACUCUUUUGACAAUAAUAGAUGAUGCCCCCGACACGUUGUUGCGGGAAAUUUGUUAAAAGAGUGCAGAAAAGUUGCUAUGAAAACAUCUAUAACUAAGGGGAAGCCAAUGUAAGUUUAAAAAUGAAAACAAAAAUACAAAGAGUGUAAAAAAGAAAAACAUGAGUUGCUGUUAAUAUAAUGUUAUUUCUUACAAAAAUAUGAAUGUAAAGUACAUAGGUAUGGUGCAAGCGACCAACAUAUAUAUUAUCAGUACAAAAUCUAAUGCAAAAAAUAAUUUAUGAGUAACAUGCAUGAAUUGAUGAUCCGGUGCUUGCAUGCAUAGGGUAAUGUAAAAAGAAUGUAGUUUAUGACUUAGUACAUGCAUGACUUGCUCAUGUGGCAUAGUUGCAUGUCUAGGAAAAUACACAUAUUUUGGCUUCUUGUAUAUUCGGGUACAGCUCAUAUUUGGAAUCAACUGUAACUGAUCGUUAGCAGGGUGCACUAGUCUUUUCUACAAGCUCAUCAAGUUUUGGUGCGAAUUCAAAGGAACGAAUCGGUAAUUUUUUUCUCAUGAAAAUUGUACGUCUAAUUUAUUGACGAACUCUUUUGACAAUAAUAGAUGAUGCCCCUGACACGUUGUUGCGGGAAAUUUGUCAAAAGAGUGCAGAAAAGUUGCUAUGAAAACAUCUAUAACUAAGGGGAAGCCAAUGUAAGUUUAAAAAUGAAAACAAAAAUACAAAGAGUGUAAAAAAGAAAAACAUGAGUUGCUGUUAAUAUAAUGUUAUUUCUUAUAAAAAUAUGAAUGUAAAGUACAUAGGUAUGGUGCAAGCGACCAACAUAUAUAUUGUCAGUACAAAAUCUAAUGCAAAAAAUAAUUUAUGAGUAACAUGCAUGAAUUGAUGAUCCGGUGCUUGCAUGCAUAGGGUAAUGUAAAAAGAAUGUAGUUUAUGACUUAGUACAUGCAUGGCUUGCUCAUGUGGCAUAGUUGCAUGUCUAGAAAAAAUAGCUAGUGGGUAGUAGCUAUUUAGGAAUAGAAGAUAUGUAUGACGGUGAUUUGGGAACGGUCAUACUGUUUGUCAAUAAAUGUUUUCCUUAUCAGCAAAUAGUAGGAAAAAGCUCUUUAGUGUGUGGACAAAACUUUUCCUGGGGAGAUAGGUAAAACCUCAAGCAAGAUGAGUGCAUCUACAACUACGUCAACUUAAUAUUAGAAGUACUAAGCUAAACUACAUUGUAAACUGGGAGUUUGCUGAAACUCUAUGGGUAGUGAAAAAUUGACCGCCAUAGUAGAGAAUAUUGCAUGGGUAGUGAUAAAAAUUACAUCCAUAGUAGUGACAACCUAUGCUUGCUAUGUAGUGAAUAUACCAUGCAAUCUAAGCCUAUUCCGAUCUUACACUAGUUAAGUGUAGGGCAAGUUUUUCUAAUAUGGAAACACAUAGUUGUCACAAUAUUAGAACUACUUGAGUAGUUAGAAUCUGUGCUUGCUAUGUAGUGAAUAUUCCAUGCAAUUUAAGCCUAUUCCGAUCUUACACUAGUUAUUAAGUCUAGGGCAAGUUUUUCUAAUAUUGAAACACAUAAUUGUCACAAUAUUAGAACUACUCGACUAAAAUCUGCCAACUACUAGGAAUUCACUAGAAGUCUAUGUGUAGUGAAACAGUGACAGGCAUAUACUCCAUGUCACCAUACAUAUGAUUAGAUAAUUACUUCAGUCAUAUAUCAGAUUAUAUAGAAAAUAAAUUCUGGGCCAUCUUUCAAAUAUGACAGAAAAACAACGUUUCAAGGGAGAACCUAAAUAUUGAGAGCCACUCGGUUGAGUCAUAUUCAUGUUAAAUAAUGUAUGCAUCAUAAUACUAACCAUGAAUCUUCCAUGUUUGAAAUUAGAGUGUCAUUUUUGAAGUAAAAAUGAAAAUUAGAACUGUUUCGGGCUCAUGGUUUUGAACUGAGAUUCACCUAGUUCAGAUCAUUAAUCCUAGAACAUUACAUGUCUGCAUAUAUUUUAUAUAUUUUUGGGCAAAGGAGACACUAAUAUAUUGUUAAAUUUUCUUGCUUAUUCAGAUAGAAACAUUCCAAGUAAUAUGACAUUUCCAUAUUAUUAUUUUUUCAGGCUGGUUCAUGGGAUCGCACAAACCGAGUAGUAAACAUUUUUCCAUUGAAAACUAUAUAGUCUGCUAUUAAGUAAUCUGCAACUUUGAAAUGGAAUGACCUCCCUCUAUCUAUAAGCUUUUUUGACAAAUUAUUCUGCUACCUUAUAUGUUUCCACAAUGAAACUGGUCUAUCUUCGCCUAGCCAAUUAUGUGCAGUUCUGUUUUGAAACAGAAAAUUUAAUUUGAUACCACACAUGAUUGUCUCUUUCUUUGCAGGGGAAAGAAAGGCAGAUAUGUAAUAAACAGACUAAUAUACGCUUGUGUGACAGCUAAACACCAGAUUUAAAAAAAAUGCAAUAUGUAGAAACACGCUUGGAUAAUUCUUUGUGUUUCUCUAGGAAUCUAUAUCUCCUGUGUAAGUGUUGACAAGAAAAUCUUAAAAACUUCAUCCCUGCCAGUAGCAAGAGAAAAAGGCAAUAUAUAUGAAGUUCUGUUCUCACUUAAUUUGAGGCAGCCACAACUCAUCGCACGAAAGCCCAAAUAUCCAAAAGACACCAUCCCAGAAAAACCUCAGCAAACCAGCGACAAGACAUCCAUACAGUAACCGUUUUGCCUGGAUCUUCCGUGUAACAAGCUACUGGAUGCUGAGAAUCAAUCCAUCAAUCGGUCACCAGACGCAUCCGAUUAAUAAGUGAUAAAUGGAAGGGCCACUUUGCAAAACCACCAACCCUGCCCCCACUCUGUCCACUUGGCGCGCUGUGAUUCGCUGUGGACUAAAACUGCACAAGAGAAGCAAGUUGUAGGAUCAAAUUGGGUCACUUUGCAAGUUCUGGGAUCAAACCAUCACGUUGUGUGCAAGUUGUAGGAUCCCUGGUGCUAUUACCUCUUCUUUCAUCCCAUGCACAGAAAAACAGAUACGGACAAGCAACACCUCCCUGACAUGGCUACAACAGUGUUGUCAAGUCAUCUCUGUCUCCAUCAAAAAGGUAUCUAGGACCGACACUGUUCUCUCUCCUGCAUCCCUGAUCACAUCCUGGAAAACAUUUGCCUAAUUAACUAACAUGCGCAUGCAAAUGGCCUGCUGCUGACUCUUCGGCACGAAUCUUCAAGUCGCCGGACACGCUACAUAAUAGGGUGUCGGGGCACCCGGGUGCCAUGGCACCUUUUCGUUUUCACAAGGUCUCUUGUAUGGAUUUGAUUAAUUUCUGAACUAGCUAGUUAUUAGAUUUAUACAUAUGAACAUGAGUUUUGAUACCAUACGCUCCUGCUUUCUACUAUGUGAGCCUCUCAUGUGUGUGUUAAUACCAUGUGAGCCUCUCAUGUGUGUGUUAAUACAAAGUCAGGCUCACAUGACUUUAUUAUCUUGAAAGUUAAGUAUUUGCCCGUGGAGGCACCAAUUAUAUCAUAUAUUGCCAAAAACUGAUGGACAUGAUUGUCAGCAAUAGAAGUAUGUCAUUGUUGUUGAGCUAACACGCGAUUAACGGCGUCAUUGUCCAAAGAGCUUCACAGCAAUGACACACUUUCAAUGGACUACCGUGUAUUUUGGGUUGUAAGUGUGGUUCGGCCCAAGCCCGUGUAAGUGGUCGCUGUUAUAAGCUCCGCGUCCAGCCUGUAUUGGGCAUCGAUCAAGAAAUGAAACAAUUGCUUGUCCUACCUUCCUUCUUCUCCCCCAAGUUGCUCUUAUCCUCUCUGAUCCCCAAUUCCCUUCUGCUACUCUACUGUUCGGAUAUCACAAGUGGUAUUCAGAGCUUCAUCGGUCUGAUUCGUGCUUCAUAGACUCGAGAUUUGUCGGUAACAUCGACUGAUUGGUUGGUUUUCUGCCUUUGGCGGUCAACUGUAAAUCCGUAUCAGCGUUAGGUUGAAUUCGGAGGAAGUGGCGACGACUCCGUUCAAGCCUAGCGCGCAGACAAGGUAUCUGGCGGAGUCCAUGGGGUCAUUCAAAGAGUGAGUGAUGAAGGAGUUCGAGGUGUUGUGGUUGUUGCAUGCGAAGGUGGACGGGAUCGAGGCGAUCCAGUCUCAUCUCGACGGACUGGAUGCGAAACUCGAGGAACAGGCCGCCAGGUUAGAUCAGGUCCAAACCAAAGCGAAUCUCUCGGUGAGCUCAAUCGGGGAGAUAUAUCACGAGCAAGUUCAAGUGGCUAGGGUGCUUAAGGAAUCAAUCAGCGUCAGAGACACGGAUCUGAACCGAACCGCAGCGGAGGGUUGCCUGGGUGCGUCUCCCAAGUCGGGGCCAAUUUUUGGUGGGCCGACUACAUCGCGCGCUCCACCACCGCCACCUCCUCCUCCAUCAUUAUGACCUCACUCGACAAUUCCUCUCCAGGUAUCCCACCCACACUCUGCCCCAGAUGAUCAGAGUAGCAAGCGACCAUGGAUGCCUAAGAUGGAAUUCCCGAGGUUCGAUGGUGAAGGGUUGUGCAUUUGGUUGGAUAAUUGUGAAGCAUAUUUCCUGCUGUACCAGAUUCCUGAUUCCUUCAAGUUAAUGUCAGCAUCCAUGCACUUACAUGGCAACGCAACACACUGGUUUCAGUCAUACAAGUUAACUGAAUACUGCAGUACGUGGGAAACUUUCCUCACGACUAUUACUCAGGAAUUUGAGGUCAAUGUGCAUCGUUCAUGUAUGAGAGAUUUGCUUGAGUUACGGCAGCAAGGUUCUGUGCAGGAGUAUCGCACAACUUUCCACGAGUUAGUGCAUCAGGUCCGGAUGUAUGAGUGUAACAUCAGCGAGACUAUGCUAGUUACUCAGUUUAUUUUGGGCUUGAAAGAGGAGUUGCGUGAUGCAGUAGAAAUUCAGUUACCAGCUACUGUAGCAGCUGGCUAUGAGUAUGCUAUUGUACCGGAGGCCCUAUUGGAUAGAGCAAAAUAGAGCAGCGCUGUCGUGGGGAACGAACACCUAUGGGACCUCGGGAUUCCUUGUGGUUCGGCGGGGGAGACGGAUGCGCCUAGAGCACACCGAGAGGUCGGGGCACGAUCGUUUUACCCAGGUUCGGGCCGCUCGGAGGCGUAAAACCCUACUCCUACUUCUUGUUUAUUAAUCUUAUGUAAAGGUGAUGAACUGCUAAGUGCGUCUUCGCUGACUGGCUACCCCCUUGUGCAUGCCCAGAGCCUCCUUUUAUAGGUCAAAGGGGUCACCAAUAGUGGCAGCACAGGGUUCUCAUGGGGUGCACACUGGAACAGUGCACCCACAAGUCGCAUAGUGUGUUAUAGUGUUCCUGGCGUCUUAGCAGACGCAUUUAAUGCUUCGUCAGAUGUCCCAGGGAUGGGACAGGGGUGCGUCCCUUCGGUAUUGUUUUCCCAGGUACCGCUCGACACGCGUCGUGCGAACCGACACGUAUUGAGUGGCUAGAGGCAGCUGGUUGUUGCGCUGGCACAAGGGCACGUCGGGGCCCCGCCGGGGUGAAACGCCCUGGAGUGUUGGUAGCUCUCCCGGCAACGGUCUUGCCGGGGCUUUGCUGGCUUCCCCCGACAAAGGGGCUUGCCGGGGGUGACGUCUUCGGUCUUCUAGCUCGAGGCUUCGGGUGCCUUAGGCGUGGCGUAGCACUUAGGAAAGUGCUUUGGCCGGUUGUUGCCUUGCCGAGGGGCUCUGGAAGCCCCCGCUCCGAUCCUUACCGGGGCUUUGUUGGCCUCCCCCGGCAAAAGGGGCUUGCCGGGGGUGGCAUCUUCCUGUCGAUCUAGGUGAUUUCUUAGGGCUUCGCCUCUGCUUCCCAUCGUCCCUGGCAGGGCCUACCAUGGGCAUGGCUACUACUGUCGAUGCACAAGUCAUGGGCGCUAAAGGCCCAUUCUUUAGCACACCGCCAAGAGCCCCCGGGCCUAGGCCAUACAUGCAUGCGAGGCGUUGUUGGGCUAGGCCCAAAUAGUGCACGGGUACGCGCGGUCGAGAUUCGAGGCGUUGUUGGGCUUUUGCUUCGGCUGCCAUGUUUCCGUUGCGCGCCCUUGAAUGCACGACGUGGGAGUUGUGCGCGGGGUGGCCGAGUAACCCGCGCGGGGGGCGGACCUACCACGAUUGGCCGUUUUCGCCACACGUGCUGCAUGCACAGCUGUGGCCUAGCACGUGGCAUCCGGGACUUAUAGUCCUGACGAACGCCGCACCCCGGUUUGGAGGAGCGAGGCGGCCGUCUGCCCGCUCGUGAAUGUGGGCGAGCGGAUUGGUGGAAGUGGGCGGUGGCUCUUGGAGGCAGGGGAGAGCGAGCCUCCGUAUUCCUCCCUAUAAAACUGGGGGAUUGCGAGGGGUGACGUUCAUCCUUCCUCCAAGAACACCUCCGUCCAGUGCCCACCCUUCAUCUUCGUCUUGAGCAGUGUCAGCUCGCGUCUCUCCCCCUCUCCGGUUGGGUCGGAUUCGCCGGUGGAUCCGACGCUGCCUUCUCUUCCAGGCGGCUCGCAGUCCCCGGCUUCGCCAUCCCUUCCGGUUGCGUUCUCCUCUGCGCAGUGCUGGUCCAGGAGGGACCAGCCUGGGUUGUUGUCGCGGGCCUCGCUGCUUUUUUCCUUCUUGUAGGUGCCGCCUCGUGGCAUAAGACGAAAUUUAUCUUAAGUUAGUACGACAACCACAAUCGAUGUAAUAUAUGAUAUUAUCAUGAAUGAAAAUGUAUGUUAUUUUCCUUGUUUGUUUCUCCUUGUAUGGUAAAAGAAAAACCCUAAGUUGUACUAGGCACCUAUCGGUGCGAACAGUCCCGACCGAGAAUGCUUAGAGGACGGGUCCUCUGUAGUCUGUCGCGCCAAGUUCCCCUCGCGGUAAGUUUCGGAAACUAGGUGGUUCGUCGACCCUUACCGGAGGUAAGCGUACGCAUAACUAUGCAUACCAACAUAUAUGAAAAUCGCUAAGAACUGCGAAAAGCUUAACUCUUAUUCAUGGUGUGCACAAGAUUGUGCUUGGCUUUCCGUGAAGGUUUAUAUGCCCUUCUGGCAAAACUUGCGCAAAGGAGGGUUGUCGGGAGCCCCCGGCACCCGAGCUUCAUGGGUUACCGGCAAGGACGUUGCCGGCAUGGAGGCUGCUAGGGCAGUGCCGGACCUCCUUGGGAGCGACAGGCCCCGACAAGGAUGCAUCAUCUUGCCGGGGGCGCUCCCCACCGUGCCUUCGACAACAGUACAACGCUCCUAAGAGGCGAGCCUACCGGAACGAGCGCCUGGGGUCUUGCCGAAGCCACCUGGCACAUUCUCGACAGCGGCACAUCGCCCCGGAGGGGAGCGCUCGCUGGAGAAGGUGUCGGAGGUCUUGCCGGAGCCCCCGGCGUGCGCUCCACAGUGACGCUGCACUCUGGGAGGAGGUGUAUCGGCAGGAGUGCGUGGAGGCCCAGUGGCCCUGCUCCCCUGGUCUUCGUCCGAGCCGUUGCUGGCCCGGGUAGUCGCACACGCAGUCGCGAAUCGAUGAUCCGCCACAGCCGCUGUCCGUCGGAGGCCGUGGCGAUGGUGGUGAUGACGGAGCUGAUGCUCCCAUCCUUAGGUCAGAUCAACGCACCUUCUUCAAUCCCCCUACCUGGCGCGCGAGUGAUGUCGUGGGGGGAGAAGACCUAUGGGACCUGGGGAUCCCUUGUGGUUCGGUGGGGAGACGGAUGCACCAAGAGCAGACCGAGAGGUCGGGGCACGAUCGUUUUACCCAGGUUCGGGCCGCUCGGAGGCGUAAAACCCUACUCCUGCUUCGUGCUUAUUAAUCUAAUGUAAGGUGAUGAACUGCUAAUUGCGCCUUCGCUGACUGGCUAACCCCCCCCCCCCUACGCAUGCCCAGGGCCUCCUUUUAUAGGUCAAAGGGGUCACCAACAGUGGCAGCACAACGUUCUCACGACGCAUAGUGUGUUACAGUGUUCUUGGCGUCUUAGCAGACACAUUUAAUGCUUCGUCAGAUGCCCCAGGGAUGGGACAGGGGUGCGUCCCUUCGGUAUUGUUUUCCUAGGUACCGCUGGACAUGCGUCGUGCGAACCGACACGUAUCGAGUGGCUAGGGGCAGCUGGCUGUUGCGCUGGCACAAGGGCGCGUCGGGGCCCUGAUGCGGUGAAACGCUCUGGAGUGUUGGUAGCUCUCCCGGCCGGUAAGGGUCUUGCCGGGGCUUUGCUGGCUUCCCCCAACAAAGGGGCUUGCCGAGGGUGAUAUCUUCGAUCUUCUGGCUCGAGGCUUCGGGUGCCUUCGGGGCGUGGUGUAGCACUUCGGAAAGUGCUUUGGCCGGGGGGCUCUGGAAGCCCCUACUCUGAUCCUUACCGGGGCUUUGUUGGCCUCCCCAGGCAAAAGGGGCUUGCCGGGGGUGGCGUCUUCCUGUUGAUCUAGGUGAUUUCUGAGGGCUUCGCCUCUGCUUCCCGUCGUCCCUGGCAGGGCCUGCUGCGGGCAUGGCUACUACUAUCCAUGCACAAGUCAUGGGCGCUAAAUGUCCAUUCUUUAGCGCACCGACAAGCGCCAAAACUUUCAAGAAAGCAACAGUUAACAAAGCAUUGCCACGCCAAGACACCGUAACCAAAUCUCAGUUAGCUCUUGGUGAUAUGUGGAAAGUACGACAGCUGAAAGACUACACGAGAGAGAAUGGUUUGUGUUAUAGUUGUGGAGACAAGUUUGCUCCAGGGCAUGUAUGUGCCAACAAAGAAGCAGCCCAAGUGAAGGCGAUCAACAUGGCAGAGGAAGCAGCACAACUUAAUGAUGCAGUGUUAGAUGCCACUGCUACUGAAGAAUUUGUCGAAGAAGUAGCUGCCUAGUUGUCAGUUAAUGCCCUUGCAGACACUACCAAUACUAAAACAAUACAAUUCAGAGCACUCGUGGGCAAUCAAGUUAUGUUGUUACUAAUUGACUCUGGGAACUCGCACACGUUCUUAGACCAACAGUUGGCACACAAACUUCAGUGUCCCACUAUAAAUUUACCUAGUCCCAUGACAGUCAAAGUAGCAAAUGGGGAGAAGCUUCAGUGUACUCACAUGGUGCAAGGGCUGAACUGGUGGAUACAGGGGCAUACAUUUUCCACUUACAUGAGAAUCUUAAAUUUGGUAGGGUAUGAUGCCAUCUUGGGCAUGGGCUGACCGUCUCACUGGAGUCCAAUGACAUGUCACUGGGAAGAACAAUGUGUGCAGUUUCAGGACAAGGACACCUCUGUCACAUUGCACGGACUGAAAUCUCAACCAGUUACCCAAUUGCAGGAACUGACAUUAGAUCAAGUGGUAAAAUUUCAUAAGGGAAAUGAUAUUUGGGCUACUGUUGUCCUAUCAGUUAGCACAACUACAAAUUCUUCUGAAAUUCCAGACUGUAUUCAACAAACUAUAGAUUCCUUUGCGGAUACCUUUCAAGAGCCCAAGGGAUUACCUCCGCACAGGGAAUUUGAUCAUGCCAUAUCAUUACUACCCAACACAACUCCAGUAAAUUCAAGGUCAUACAUAUAUUCUCCUCUCCAGAAAGAUGAGAUUGAGAGACAAGUAUCUGAAAUGCUUGCAUCUGGAAUCAUUUCUCCCAGUAUGUCACCUUUUGCGUCCCCUGUGCUCCUAGUCAAGAAGAAGGAUGGAACAUGGAGAUUUUGUGUGGACUACAGGAGUCUAAAUGUUGUUACUGUCAAAAACAAAUUUCCAAUGCCAGUGGUGGAUGAACUACUGGAUGAGCUGGCUGACACUAAAUGGUUCACAAAGCUAAACAUACGAGCUGGCUAUCACCAGAUCAGGAUGGUGGAGGCCGAUGAACACAAGACUGCUUUAGAGCACAUCUGGGCCAAUACUAGUUCAGAGUAAUGCCAUUUGGGUUAUCUGAAGCACCUGCAACUUUUCAGUGUGUCAUGAAUAUUAUUUUUGCUGGUUGUACGAGGACAUUUGUCUUGGUGUUCAUGGUUGACAUCUUGGUGUUCAGUCAGGACUUGGAGGCCCACACGAACCAUCUGCAGCAGGUGUUCACUAUACUCAGGGAACAUCAACUAUAUGUCAAACUCAGCAAAUGCUCUUUUGCCCAACAACAACUGGAAUAUCUGGGUCACAUCAUUUCUGAUAAGAGAGUUGCAACAGAUCCAACAAAAACUGAGGCCAUGGCACAAUGGCCAAUGCCCACCAAUGUGACGGAAUUAAGAUGUUUUUUGGGGCUGACCGGGUACUACCGAAAAUUUGUGCAGCACUAUGGCAUGAUUGCCAAGCCUCUCACCAAUCUGCUGAAGAAGAAGGCUUUUCAAUGGGCAACAGAAGCACAAACUGCAUUUGAUCUCCUCAAGAAGGCUAUGACCUCCAUGCACGAGUUGACAUUACCUGAUUUUUCCAAGCCAAUUUGUAUUGAGACUGAUGCUUGUGACUCUGGCAUUGGAGCAGUGUUGACACAAGAAGGGCAUCAUGUGGCCUACUACAACAAAUCUCUAGGACCUGCAAAACAGAAGUUGAGCAUUUAUGAAAAGGAGUUCCUGGCAAUCAUCAUGGCAGUGGAGAGAUGGAGAUCUUAUAUGUGUAGAGGACCCUUUGUGAUAAAAACUGAUCACCAGAGUUUAUGCCACUUAGAAACCCAGGCUCUCACGUCAGAACUUCAGAAGAAUGCCAUAACUAAAUUAAUUGGACUUCAAUUCCAAUCCCAAUAUAAGAGAGGAGAAGAUAACAAAGCUGCUGAUGCUCUCUCUAGAGUGGGACAUGUGUUUGCUCUUCCUGCUGGUUCUGUCGGUCAGCUUGUGUGGCUGCAAGAAAUUUUAAACUUAUAUGAAGUUGAUUGCAAGGCCCAACACUUGCUUCAUAAACUGGUAAUCAAUCCUGACGAGGAACCUGAAUUUUGCUUGGAAAAUGGACUCCUCAAACAUCAGGGCAGAAUAUGGGUUGGAGCAAAUGCAGGCUUGCACAUGAAAAUCAUAUAAGCCUUGCACUCCUCUCCCAUUGGUGGACAUUCUAGCAGCCAAGCCACUUAUGCAAGGGAUAAGAAACUUUUCCAUUGGUAUGGUCUCAAAGAAGCAGUGGCAAACAUUGUACAACAGUGUCAAACAUGUCAACGAGCAAAACGUGAGCAUUGUAAAUACCCUGGCCUUCUAUGCCCUUUACCAAUACCAAAACGCUUUUGGGAAGACAUUUCUAUGGAUUUCGUAGAAGGAUUGCCAAAUUCCAAUGGAUAUUCAGUGAUUUUAGUGGUGGUGGAUAUAUUUACUAAGUAUAUUCACUUUAUUGCUCUCAAGCAUCCUUUCACUGCUGCCCGGAUUGCCCAAACAUUUCUGCUCAAUGUGGUUAAGCUGCAUGGCAUGCCAUACACAAUAACAUCUGACAAAGACAAGAUUUUUACAAGUAACUUUUGGAAGGAACUCUUCAAGCUGUGGGGUACCAAGUUGCAGAUGUCGUCUGCCUAUCACCCACAAACAGAUGGGCAAACGGAAAGGGUAAAUCAGUGUUUAGAGAUGUAUCUCAGGUGUGCAGUCCAGGACAGUCGAAAACAGUGGUCUCAAUGGCUUCCCAUGGCCGAAUUUUGGUACAACACCUCAUACAAUUCAUCUUUGGGAUGCACUCCUUUUAAAGCUAUUUAUGGGCAUGACCCUCACAUGGGGCAAUUCCCUGAACCACUGCAAGCUUCCAACACUGAUCUGCAAGUAUGGCUAGAUGAGAGGCAGAACUACUUCGAGCUUCUGCACCAUCAUUUGAACACAGCUCACACAAAGAUGAAAGCAGAUGCUCACAAACAUCGCUCGGCUAGAUAAUUUACAGUAGGAGACAAGGUAUUUUGGAAACUCCAACCUUAUGCUCAAACAUCUGUUGUCAACAGACCUUACCCAAAAUUUUCCAUGAAGUUCUUCGGACCAUUUGAAAUCUUGGAAAGAAUUGUACCUGCAGCCUAUAAACUGCUACUACCUGCGGGCAGUCAGAUUCACCCAAUGUUCCACAUUUCCCAACUCAAGCAACAUGUACCUGACCACACUCCAGUGUACAAUUCCUUACCAGAACCAUCGCCUCUUGAUCGGGUGGACCUUGUCCCUGAAGACAUACUGGAUCGUCGACUGGUCAAGAAGGGAACCGUGUCCCUGGCUCAAGUGCUCGUUCGUUGGACAAAUCUGUCGGCCACAUCCGCAACAUGGAAGGACUAUAACACAUUGCGUCAGCGUUUUCCUCUAGCACCAGCUUGGGGGCAAGCUGCUUCUUCAGGUGGGGGGUAUUGUCAGCGUUGUCGAGCUAACAGGCGAUUAACUGCGUCAUUGUCUGAAGAGCUUCAGAGCAAUGACAUGCUUUGGAUGGACUACCGUGUAUUUUGGGUUGUAAGUGUGAGUAAGUGUGGUCCGGCCAGCCCGUGUAAGUGGGCGCUGUUAUAAGCUCCACGUCCAGCCUGUAUUGGGUAUCGAUCAAGAAAUGAAACAAUUGCUUCUCCUACCUUCUUCUCCCCCAAGUUGCUCUUAUCCUCUCCGAUCCCCAAUUCCCUUCUGCUACUCUAGGGUUCGGAUAUCACAAAGUAGAAUGUGUGCUAAAUGUUUCUAUUGUUGGUUUUAUCUAGUGACAAGCUGAAAUAAUUCAGCUUUUGAUCGGAUAACCUUUUUUAGAAUUUCCACAACGAGUUAGAUACCAUAGCUCCCGCUUUCUAGUUUGUGUGCAUUUAUGGUGGUACCUAAACACGAAGCUAUUUUGGAUUCCUAAGCCACUUUACAUGUUUCUCUUUAUGGGCGGAGCCGGUACACAUACGUGCAUACUUGUUUCCCCACUUCGGUUAUCAAACGAUGAUUAAGGGGAAAGAGGUCCCCUAGACUCAGCCAAAGUGGUCUCCGUUUUACCCCGUGAUGACCCGUGAGUAUAGGAAAUAAAUCGUAGUCCUUUCGAUAAGUAAGAGUGUCGAACCCAACGAGGAGCAGAGGGAAAUGACAAGCGGGUUUCCGUAAGGUAUCCUCUGCAAGUGCGCUAAGCAUUAUUAAAAAAAUCAUUUGAUUUAGCGAUUUAUCUUUUGAUUUAUCUCUAAUCACUGGAUAACCGAUAAGAUUAUGUAAUACCUUCACCAUUUAUCAUUUGGACCGGUUUACGGUUCUGACAAACGAUUUAUCACGAAUAUACCAAUAAAUCAGGCCUAUUUCUAGCACUAUGGUGCAAGAACUAUUUUUAUUUGUGUUUUCGGACCUUGUUAUGUAAUAUGUAGAAUUGUCUUGUUUUGUUUGUCAUUCUACAUGGAUUCAAAGGCAAGGAAUCAAGGUAACACUUUUGUCGAAUAUUGUUUGUUUGUUGAAUAUGGCUUAUUUUAUUGUUGGAAACCUAGGAUAUGUAAAAAAAUAGACAAUUAAUAGCCAAUCGGUAAAAUCUAUUAAUCGUCUGAUUUCCGAUUAAUCUCUAAACCCCAGCCGACCAAGACACUAACAAUAAGCGAUAUCCUCAACAUUGGCUAUAAGUAACAAUGUGUGACAGCCCGAGACUGACGUUCCAGAAGAUUCCCCCCUUUUAUUCCGUUUCCAUCGUGUGGCUAUUUUAUUUUGUUGGUUGCAUCAUCAUUUAGUUUGCAUCGUCGCAUCUUGCAACGUCUGUCAUGUGUGGUGUUUUGAGUGUUGUGCUUCGAGUGAUCACCGAGUCUUAGUGCGAUAGGAACUCCCCCUCUUCCCUCUUAUUUCGUUUUUGCGGUUUGCUAAAGUUUCCCGUUUUAAACCCCUAGUUAAAAGGGUUCGUCUUCUUCUUUUCAAUAAAAGUUCCUUUUAUUAAAUGUGGGGGCAACCCCUUGGGUUUUCUUUAUUUCCUCCUUUUGUUUUAUUUUAAAUCUGUAUCAUUUGGGGGGGGGGGGGGGAGCACUUUUAUUUUAUUCUUUAAAUAAAAGAGGUUUAUUUUAUUCUUAAAAAAACUUUUGAUUUUAAUUUUUCAAAAGGGUUUAUAUUAUUUCUUUUAAAAAUGCCCAACUAUUUAUUAUAGUUGGGCUUUUUUUCUUUUCAAAAGGGGUCAAAGGCAUUUAUUUUUUUUACUUUUUGUGACAAGCCUUUCUUUAUUUGAAAAUUUCUGUUUUAAANNNNNNNNNNNNNNNNNNNNNNNNNNNNNNNNNNNNNNNNNNNNNNNNNNNNNNNNNNNNNNNNNNNNNNNNNNNNNNNNNNNNNNNNNNNNNNNNNNNNNNNNNNNNNNNNNNNNNNNNNNNNNNNNNNNNNNNNNNNNNNNNNNNNNNNNNNNNNNNNNNNNNNNNNNNNNNNNNNNNNNNNNNNNNNNNNNNNNNNNNNNNNNNNNNNNNNNNNNNNNNNNNNNNNNNNNNNNNNNNNNNNNNNNNNNNNNNNNNNNNNNNNNNNNNNNNNNNNNNNNNNNNNNNNNNNNNNNNNNNNNNNNNNNNNNNNNNNNNNNNNNNNNNNNNNNNNNNNNNNNNNNNNNNNNNNNNNNNNNNNNNNNNNNNNNNNNNNNNNNNNNNNNNNNNNNNNNNNNNNNNNNNNNNNNNNNNNNNNNNNNNNNNNNNNNNNNNNNNNNNNNNNNNNNNNNNNNNNNNNNNNNNNNNNNNNNNNNNNNNNNNNNNNNNNNNNNNNNNNNNNNNNNNNNNNNNNNNNNNNNNNNNNNNNNNNNNNNNNNNNNNNNNNNNNNNNNNNNNNNNNNNNNNNNNNNNNNNNNNNNNNNNNNNNNNNNNNNNNNNNNNNNNNNNNNNNNNNNNNNNNNNNNNNNNNNNNNNNNNNNNNNNNNNNNNNNNNNNNNNNNNNNNNNNNNNNNNNNNNNNNNNNNNNNNNNNNNNNNNNNNNNNNNNNNNNNNNNNNNNNNNNNNNNNNNNNNNNNNNNNNNNNNNNNNNNNNNNNNNNNNNNNNNNNNNNNNNNNNNNNNNNNNNNNNNNNNNGCCGCGCUGCCUCUAGCUCGCCUGCCGCCAUUUUGCUAUAGCUGCUGUUGCUGCCAGAGUUUUGCUGCUGUUGAUGUUGCCAAGCUGCUGCAGUAGGUGCUUGGCCGAUGCUUGCUUUGCUGUUGCUGCCUGCUGCCGGAUGUAGUUUAGGUUGUUGUGCUUGCGAUAGCUUGUUGUGCCGAAGAUGCAUGCUGCCACUGUUAUUUGCCUGCUGUGCUGCCAGCUAGCUGCUGCUUGUAGUUGCUGGCUACUAGUGCUGUUGCUUAGUUGCUCUGUUGCCUAGUGCAUUGCUGCUAGGUUAGUUGCGUAGCCAGUUGCUGCUAGUUAGUAAUUGCUAGCUGCUGUAGUUUGUUGUUGGCUGACGCUAGAUAGAUGCUAGGAUGUCAGUUGUUGCAUGCUAGUUUGCCGUGCUAUUGGUUGCCUGCUGCCGCUUUGCUGCUUGCGUCGCCUUUGCUCGUGCUGCCGCUUGCCGUUGCCGCGCACACCAUCCCCGCCACCGUGGGUCAUCGACAAAUCCGCGAGUACAACGACGUCCUCGACGACCCCGGACCGUGUUCGACUACCAACGCCGAAGACCCUGUGCCGACGAGAAGAACCGUGUACGACUACCGUCGACGAGAUCGUGUACCACGACUUCCAUGACGACCGUUGUUCUCCUUCAACGAACCGAACCGCUCCGAUUGCACGCUUCGAAGGUAUACGAUGAGACGUGUCGUGUAACGAAUGCUUGUUUUGUAUGAGAUGAAUGUAUGUUUUGCGUCGUAUGUUGUCGUAGCACGUUGUCUCACUUUUGUUGUGGCCCGACACAUGGGAACCCGAUAUACGGGAUCACCCCAUCCUUAUUUAACGUUCCCGCACACGCUUCCAGAUCGUGGCACCGAUAUCUCGUUGAGUAUCAGGCAAGGAACGUUGUCGUGGCUACAUUUCCGUGUUGCCGCCAUGGUUCCUUCUCGCUCGCCGUGGCGACACAUGUUUCUUUCCCUUCUUGCCCGUGGUGUUGUGAACUUGUAUGCAUGUCGCAUUCAUUGCAUAUAAUCUUGUGUUGCAUGUUCUUGUGCCGUAGCUCCGUUCUAUGUUCCGCGAGUUAAACCAUCUAGGAUGCCAUGUAGGAUCACCGCUUCACCCCUUGCCAUGAUAAUGACAAUUUAAUAUUACCGUGUAAAUAAUCGGGAGUGAAUUAAAUAAUUAAUCGUGGAGUUUCGUCGAUAUGUAACCCAUUGCAUAUUGAGAUUCACUUAAUGUAUAGUGUUUGCAUGAGGUGAUUUGCCAUGCCAUCCCUUGCAUUUUAACCUGGUCAUGCAUCAUAGUAGGUUAUGCAUCAUGUUGUGCAUCGUGUGGUGAAUAUCUGUGUUGAUGUUUGUUUCCGGUUUGCUCCGUCUCGAUAGAGUUCCGCAAGCGUGUCGGAAUGUGAGGACCCAUUCGACUACGUGUUGGGGAACGUCGCAAGGGAAACAAAAAUUUUCCUACGCGCACGAAGACCUAUCAUGGUGAUGUCCAUCUACGAGAGGGGAUGAGUGAUCUACGUACCCUUGUAGAUCGUACAGCAGAAGCGUUAGUGAACGCGGUUGAUGUAGUGGAACGUCCUCACGUCCCUCGAUCCGCCCCGCGAACAAUCCCGCGAUCAGUCCCACGAUCUAGUACCGAACGGACGGCACCUCCGCGUUCAGCACACGUACAGCUCGACGAUGAUCUCGGCCUUCUUGAUCCAGCAAGAGAGACGGAGAGGUAGAAGAGUUCUCCGGCAGCGUGAUGGCGCUCCGGAGGUUGGUGAUGACCUUGUCUCAGCAGGGCUCCGCCCGAGCUCCGCAGAAACGCGAUCUAGAGGAAAAACCGUGGAGGUAUGUGGUCGGGCUGCCGUGGCAAAAGUUGUCUCAAAUCAGCCCUAAUACCUUAGUAUAUAUAGGAGGGAGGGGGAGGGAAGAGGCAGCCUCAAACCCUCAAGGUUUGGCCGAAAUUGGAGGUGGAGGAGUCCUACUCCAAUCCUACUUGGNNNNNNNNNNNNNNNNNNNNNNNNNNNNNNNNNNNNNNNNNNNNNNNNNNNNNNNNNNNNNNNNNNNNNNNNNNNNNNNNNNNNNNNNNNNNNNNNNNNNNNNNNNNNNNNNNNNNNNNNNNNNNNNNNNNNNNNNNNNNNNNNNNNNNNNNNNNNNNNNNNNNNNNNNNNNNNNNNNNNNNNNNNNNNNNNNNNNNNNNNNNNNNNNNNNNNNNNNNNNNNNNNNNNNNNNNNNNNNNNNNNNNNNNNNNNNNNNNNNNNNNNNNNNNNNNNNNNNNNNNNNNNNNNNNNNNNNNNNNNNNNNNNNNNNNNNNNNNNNNNNNNNNNNNNNNNNNNNNNNNNNNNNNNNNNNNNNNNNNNNNNNNNNNNNNNNNNNNNNNNNNNNNNNNNNNNNNNNNNNNNNNNNNNNNNNNNNNNNNNNNNNNNNNNNNNNNNNNNNNNNNNNNNNNNNNNNNNNNNNNNNNNNNNNNNNNNNNNNNNNNNNNNNNNNNNNNNNNNNNNNNNNNNNNNNNNNNNNNNNNNNNNNNNNNNNNNNNNNNNNNNNNNNNNNNNNNNNNNNNNNNNNNNNNNNNNNNNNNNNNNNNNNNNNNNNNNNNNNNNNNNNNNNNNNNNNNNNNNNNNNNNNNNNNNNNNNNNNNNNNNNNNNNNNNNNNNNNNNNNNNNNNNNNNNNNNNNNNNNNNNNNNNNNNNNNNNNNNNNNNNNNNNNNNNNNNNNNNNNNNNNNNNNNNNNNNNNNNNNNNNNNNNNNNNNNNNNNNNNNNNNNNNNNNNNNNNNNNNNNNNNNNNNNNNNNNNNNNNNNNNNNNNNNNNNNNNNNNNNNNNNNNNNNNNNNNNNNNNNNNNNNNNNNNNNNNNNNNNNNNNNNNNNNNNNNNNNNNNNNNNNNNNNNNNNNNNNNNNNNNNNNNNNNNNNNNNNNNNNNNNNNNNNNNNNNNNNNNNNNNNNNNNNNNNNNNNNNNNNNNNNNNNNNNNNNNNNNNNNNNNNNNNNNNNNNNNNNNNNNNNNNNNNNNNNNNNNNNNNNNNNNNNNNNNNNNNNNNNNNNNNNNNNNNNNNNNNNNNNNNNNNNNNNNNNNNCUUAAGUGUGCAGACCCUGCGGGUUCGAGAACUAUGUAGACAUGACCCGAGAGACUCCUCGGUCAAUAUCCAAUAGCGGGACCUGGAUGCCCAUAUUGGAUCCUACAUAUUCUACGAAGAUCUUAUCGUUUGAACCUCAGUGCCAAGGAUUCAUAUAAUCCCGUAUGUCAUUCCCUUUGUCCUUCAGUAUGUUAUUUGCCCGAGAUUCGAUCGUCAGUAUCCGUAUACCUAUUUCAAUCUCGUUUACUGGCAAGUCUCUUUACUCGUUCCGUAAUACAAGAUCCCGCAACUUACACUAAGUUACAUUGCUUGCAAGGCUUGUGUGUGAUGUUGUAUUACCGAGUGGGCCCCGAGAUACCUCUCCGUUCACACGGAGUGACAAAUCCCAGUCUUGAUCCAUACUAACUCAACUAACACCUUCGGAGAUACCUGUAGAGCAUCUUUAUAGUCACCCAGUUACGUUGCGACGUUUGAUACACACAAAGCAUUCCUCCGGUGUCAGUGAGUUAUAUGAUCUCAUGGUCAUAGGAAUAAAUACUUGACACGCAGAAAACAGUAGCAACAAAAUGACACGAUCAACAUGCUACGUCUAUUAGUUUGGGUCUAGUCCAUCACAUGAUUCUCCUAAUGAUGUGAUCCCGUUAUCAAGUGACAACACUUGCCUAUGGCCAGGAAACCUUGACCAUCUUUGAUCAACGAGCUAGUCAACUAGAGGCUUACUAGGGACAGUGUUUUGUCUAUGUAUCCACACAAGUAUUGUGUUUCCAAUCAAUACAAUUAUAGCAUGGAUAAUAAACGAUUAUCAUGAACUAAGAAAUAUAAUAAUAACUAAUUUAUUAUUGCCUCUAGGGCAUAUUUCCAACAGUCUCCCACUUGCACUAGAGUCAAUAAUCUAGUUCACAUCACCAUGUGAUUCCAACGAAUCCAACACCCAUAUAGUUAUGGGGUCUGAUCACGUCUUGCUCGUGAGAGAGGUUUUAGUCAACGGUUCUGAAACUUCCAGAUUCGUGCGUUCUCUACAAAUCUUUAUGUCAUCUUAUAGAUGCUGCUACUAUGUGCUAUUCGGAAAUGCUCCAAAUAUCUACUCUACUAUACGAAUCCGUUUCACUACUCACAGUUAUCCGGAUUAGUGUCAAAGCUUGCAUUGACGUAACCCUUUACGACAAACUCUUUAACCACCUCCAUAAUCGAGAAAAAUUCCUUAGUCCAUUAGUUACUAAGGAUAAAUUUCGACCGCUGCUAGUGAUUCAAUCAUGGAUCACUCUCUGUACCUCUCAACAUACUUUGAGUCAAGGCACACUUCAUGUGCGGUACACAGCAUGGCAUACUUUAGAUUCUACGGCUAAGGCAUAGAAGACGACCUUCGUCUAUUCUCUUUAUUCUGCCGUGGUCGGUUUUUGAGUCUUACUCAAAUUCACACCUCACAACGCAACCAAGAACUCCUUCUUUGCUGGUCUAUUUUGAACUCUUUCAAAAACUUGUCAAGGCAUGCAUCUUGUUGAAACUUCUAUUAAGCGCUUUCGAUCUAUCUCCAUAGAUCUUUGAUGCUCAACGUUCAAGUAGCGUAAUCCAGGUACUCCUUUGAAAACUUCUUUCAAACAACCUUGUAUGCUUUACAGAAAUUCUACAUUACUUCUGAUCCAUAAUAUGUCAACCACAUAUACCUAUCAGAAAUUCUACAGUGCUCCCACUCACUUCUUUGGAAAUACAAGUUUCUCAUAAACCUUGUACACACCCAAAAUCUUUGAUCAUCUCAUCAAAGUGCUUAUUCCAACUCCGAGAUGCUUGCACCAGUCCAUUGAAGGAUCACUGGAGCUUGCAUACUUGCUAGCAUCUUUAGGAUCGACAAAAACUUCUGGUUGUAUCACAUACAAUGUUUGCUCAAGGAAACCGUCGAGGAAACAAUGUUUUGACAUCCUACGUGCAAUAUUUCAUAAAUAAUGCAUCAACAACUAACAUAAUUCUAACAGACCUUUAGCAUCGCUACGAGUGAGAAAGUCUCAUCAUAGUCAACUGUUUGAUCUUGUCGAAAACAUCUUUGUGACAAGUCGAGCUUUUCUUAAUAGUGACUUAUCACCAUCAUCGUCUGUUUUCCUUUAAAGAUCCAUCUUUACUCAAUAGUCCUAUGACCAUCAAGUAAUUCUUCCAAAGUCUACACUUUGUUUUCAUACAUGGAUCCUCUCUCGGAUUUCAUGGCUUCCAGCCAUUUGUCGGAAUCUGGGCCCACCAUCGCUUUCUCCAUAACUCGUAGGUUCAUUGUUGCUCAACAACAUGACCUCCAAGACAGGGUUACCGUACUACUCUCCAGCAGUACGCGACCUUGUCGACCUACGAGGUUUGUAGUAACUUGAUUCGAAGCUCAAUGAUCACCAUCAUCAUCUUCCACUUCAAUUGGUGUAGGCGCCACAGGAACAACUUCCUGCGCCCUGCUACACACUGGUUGAAGUGAUGGUUCAAUAACCUCAUCAAGUUCUACUACCCUCCCACUCAAUUCUUUCGAGAGAAACCUUUCCUCGAGAAAGGAUCCGUUUCUAGAAACAAACACUUUGCUUUCGGAUCUGAGAUAGGAGAUGUACCCAACUGUUUUGGAUACCCUAUGAAGAAGCAUUUAUCUGCUUUGGGUUCGAGCUUAUCAGACUGAAACUUUUUCACAUAAGUGUCGAAACCCCAAACUUUCAGGAAACGACAGUUUAGAUUUCUCUAAACCUCAGUCUAUACUGUGUCAUCUCAACGGAAAUACGCGGUGCCCUAUUUAAAGUGAGUGCGGUUGUCUCUAAUGCAAAACCCAUAAACGAUAGUGGUAAUUCGAUAAGAGACAUCAUAGUAUGCACCAUACCAAAUAGUGCGUGGCUAUGACGUUCAGACACAUCAUCACACUAUGAUGUUCUAGGUGGCAUGAACUGCGAAACAAUUUCCACAUUGUCUUAACUGCGUACCAAAAACCCGUAACUCAGAUUUUCAUUUCCAUGAUCAUAUCGUAGACAGUUUAUCCUCUUGUUACGAUGAACUUCACUCUGAAACGGAAUUGAACUUUUCAACAUUUCAGACUUGUGAUUCAUUAAGUAAAUACUCCUGUAUCUACUCAAAUCGUCAGUGAAGUAAGAACAUAAUGAUAUCCACUGCGUGCCUCAGCACCCAUUGGACUGCAUACAUCAAAAUGUAUCACUUCCAACAAGUUACUAUCUUAUUUCAUCUCAAUGAAAACAAGGCCUUGCUCAUGUGGUAUGAUUUGCAUGUCACUAGUGAUUCGAAAUCAGGUGAGUACAAAGAUCCAUCAGCAUGGAGCCUCUUCAUGCAAUUUAUACUAACAUGACUCAAGCGGCAGUGCCACAAGUAAGUGGUACUAUCAUCAUUAACUCGUAUCUUUUGGCACCAAUAUCAUGAACAUGUGUAACACUACGAUCGAGAUUCAAUAAACCAUUGAAGGUGAAUAUUCAAGAAAAUAGAGUAACCAUUAUUCUCCUUAAAUGAAUAAUCGUAUUGCAAUAAACACGAUACAAUCAUGUUCAUGCUUAACGCAAGCACCAAAUAACAAUUAUUUAGGUUUAACACCAAUCCCGAUGGUAGAGGGAGCGUGCGACGUUUGAUCAUAUCAACCUUGGAAACACUUCCAACACGUAUCGUCACCUCGCCUUUAGCUAGUCUCCGUUUAUGCCGUAGCUUUCAUUUCGUGUUACUAAUCACUUAGCAACCGAACCGGUAUCCAAUACCCUCAUGCUACUAGGAGUACUAGUAAAGUACACAUCAACAUCAUGUAUAUCAAAUACACUUCUUUCGACUUUUGCCAGCCUUCUUAUCUACCAAGUAUCUAGAGUUGCUCCGCCUCAGUGACUGUUCCCCUCAUUACAGAAGCACUUAGUCUCGGGUUUGGGUUUAAUCUUGGGUCUCUUCAUUAGUGCAGCAACUGUUUUGCCGUUUCACGAAGUAUCCCUUCUAGCCCUUGCCUUUCUUGAAACUUAGUGGUUUUACAAACCAUCAACUAUUGACGCUCCUUCUUGAUUUCUACUUUCGCAGUGUCAAACAUCACGAAUCGCUCAAGGAUCAUUGUAUCUAUCCUUGAUAUGUUAUAGUUCAUCACGAAGCUCUCACAGCUUGGUGGCAGUGACUUUUGGAGAACCAUCACUAUGUCAUCUGGAAGAUUAACUCCCACUUGAUUCAAGUGUUUGUCGUACUCAGACAAUCUGAGCACACGCUCAACGAUUGAGCUUUUCUCAUUUACUUUGUGGACAAAGAAUCUUGUUGGAGGUCUCGUACCUCUUAACAAGGGCACAAGCAUGAAAUCACAAUUUCAUCUCUUUAGAAGAUCACUUAUGUUCCGUGACGUUUCAAAACGUCUUCGGCGCCUUGCUUCUGAGCCAUUAAGUAUUUUGCACUGAACUAUCAUGUAGUCAUCAGAAACGUGUAUGUCUGAUGUUCACAGCAUCCACAGACGACGCUCGAGGUGCAGCACACCAAGUGGUGCAUUAAGGACAUAAGCCUUCUGCGCAGCAACGAGGACAAUCCUCUGCAAAGUUUGCUACUAUCAACUUUCAACUAAAUUUUCUCUAGGAACAUAUAAAAACAGUAGAGCUAUAGCGCAAGCUACAUCGUAAUUCGCAAAGACCAUUAGACUAUGUUCAUGACAAUUAGUUCAAUUAAUCAUAUUACUUAAGAACUCCCACUCAAAAAGUACAUCUCUCUAGUCAUUUGAGUGGUACAUGAUCCAAAUCCACUAUCUCAAGUCCGAUCAUCACGUGAGUCGAGAAUAGUUUCAGUGGUAAGCAUCUCUAUGCUAAUCAUAUCAACUAUACGAUUCAUGCUCGACCUUUCGGUCUCAUGUGUUCCGAGGCCAUGUCUGCACAUGCUAGGCUCGUCAAGCUUAACCCGAGUGUUCUGCGUGUGCAACUGUUUUGCACCCGUUGUAUGUGAACGUUGAGUCUAUCACACCCGAUCAUCACGUGGUGUCUCGAAACGAAGAACUGUCGCAACGGUGCACAGUCGGGGAGAACACAAUUUCGUCUUGAAAUUUUAGUGAGAGAUCACCUCAUAAUGCUACCGUCGUUCUAAGCAAAAUAAGGUGCAUAAAAGGAUUAACAUCACAUGCAAUUCAUAAGUGACAUGAUAUGGCCAUCAUCACGUGCUUCUUGAUCUCCAUCACCAAAGCACCGGCAAGAUCUUCUUGUCACCGGCGCCACACCAUGAUCAUCCAUCAACGUGUUGCCAUCGGGGUUGUCGUGCUACUUAUGCUAUUACUACUAAAGCUACAUCCUAGCAAAAUAGUAAACGCAUCUGCAAGCACAAACGUUAGUAUAAAGACAACCCUAUGGCUCCUGCCGGUUGCCGUACCAUCGACGUGCAAGUCGAUAUUAUCUAUUACAACAUGAUCAUCUCAUACAUCCAAUAUAUCACAUCACAUCGUUGGCCAUAUCACAUCACAAGCAUACCCUGCAAAAACAAGUUAGACGUCCUCUAAUUUUGUUGUUGCAUGUUUUACGUGGUGACCAUGGGUAUCUAGUAGGAUCGCAUCUUACUUACGCAAACACCACAACGGAGAUAUAUGAGUUGCUAUUUAACCUCAUCCAAGGACCUCCUCGGUCAAAUCCGAUUCAACUAAAGUUGGAGAAACCGACACUUGCCAGUCAUCUUUGAGCAACGGGGUUACUCGUAGCGAUGAAACCAGUCUCUCGUAAGCGUACGAGUAAUGUCGGUCCAAGCCGCUUCAAUCCAACAAUACCGCGGAAUCAAGAAAAGACUAAGGAGGGCAGCAAAACGCACAUCACCGCCCACAAAACCUUUUGUGUUCUACUCGAGAAGACAUCUACGCAUGAACCUAGCUCAUGAUGCCACUGUUGGGGAACGUCGCAAGGGAAACAAAAAUUUUCCUACGCGCACGAAGACCUAUCAUGGUGAUGUCCAUCUACGAGAGGGGAUGAGUGAUCUACGUACCCUUGUAGAUCGUACAGCAGAAGCGUUAGUGAACGCGGUUGAUGUAGUGGAACGUCCUCACGUCCCUCGAUCCGCCCCGCGAACAAUCCCGCGAUCAGUCCCACGAUCUAGUACCGAACGGACGGCACCUCCGCGUUCAGCACACGUACAACUCGACGAUGAUCUCGGCCUUCUUGAUCCAGCAAGAGAGACGGAGAGGUAGAAGAGUUCUCCGGCAGCGUGACGGCGCUCCGGAGGUUGGUGAUGACCUUGUCUCAGCAGGGCUCCGCCCGAGCUCCGCAGAAACGCGAUCUAGAGGAAAAACCAUGGAGGUAUGUGGUCGGGCUGCCGUGGCAAAAGUUGUCUCAAAUCAGCCCUAAUACCUUAGUAUAUAUAGGAGGGAGGGGGAGGGAAGAGGCAGCCUCAAACCCUCAAGGUUUGGCCGAAAUUGGAGGUGGAGGAGUCCUACUCCAAUCCUACUUGGAGUAGGAUUCCACCUUCCCACUUGGAAACUCUUUCCACCUUGUGUUUUUUCCUUCUCAAACCUUAUGGGCCUUAGUGGGAACUUAUUCCAGCCCACUAGGGGCUGGUUUAUCUCUUCCCAUAGCCCAUGAGACCCCUUGGGGCGUGACACCCCUCCCGAUGGUCCCCGGCACCCCUCCCGGCACUCCCGGUACACUACCGAUGAGCCCGAAACUUUUCCGGUGACCAAAACAGGACUUCCUAUAUAUCAAUCUUUACCUCCGGACCAUUCCGGAGCUCCUCGUGACGUCCUGGAUCUCAUCCGGGACUCCGAACAACAUUCGGUAACCAACCAUAUAACUCAAAUACGCAUAAAACAACGUCGAACCUUAAGUGUGCAGACCCUGCGGGUUCGAGAACUAUGUAGACAUGACCCGAGAGACUCCUCGGUCAAUAUCCAAUAGCGGGACCUGGAUGCCCAUAUUGGAUCCUACAUAUUCUACGAAGAUCUUAUCGUUUGAACCUCAGUGCCAAGGAUUCAUAUAAUCCCGUAUGUCAUUCCCUUUGUCCUUCAGUAUGUUAUUUGCCCGAGAUUCGAUCGUCAGUAUCCGUAUACCUAUUUCAAUCUCGUUUACUGGCAAGUCUCUUUACUCGUUCCGUAAUACAAGAUCCCGCAACUUACACUAAGUUACAUUGCUUGCAAGGCUUGUGUGUGAUGUUGUAUUACCGAGUGGGCCCCGAGAUACCUCUCCGUUCACACGGAGUGACAAAUCCCAGUCUUGAUCCAUACUAACUCAACUAACACCUUCGGAGAUACCUGUAGAGCAUCUUUAUAGUCACCCAGUUACGUUGCGACGUUUGAUACACACAAAGCAUUCCUCCGGUGUCAGUGAGUUAUAUGAUCUCAUGGUCAUAGGAAUAAAUACUUGACACGCAGAAAACAGUAGCAACAAAAUGACACGAUCAACAUGCUACGUCUAUUAGUUUGGGUCUAGUCCAUCACAUGAUUCUCCUAAUGAUGUGAUCCCGUUAUCAAGUGACAACACUUGCCUAUGGCCAGGAAACCUUGACCAUCUUUGAUCAACGAGCUAGUCAACUAGAGGCUUACUAGGGACAGUGUUUUGUCUAUGUAUCCACACAAGUAUUGUGUUUCCAAUCAAUACAAUUAUAGCAUGGAUAAUAAACGAUUAUCAUGAACUAAGAAAUAUAAUAAUAACUAAUUUAUUAUUGCCUCUAGGGCAUAUUUCCAACACUACGAUGGUUCGUCGACUUCUUGGAGUUGUUCUUCUUCCAAGCCGGAUCUCAGGCAAGAUGACCAUUUCCCCAGAUACCAUUACUAUCAUUGCCAUGCUAGUUUUACCGUUUCUACCGUUUACGUCUUGUUGCCUACCACUUGUUAUAUACGCGCCUCUCAACAAUGCCAUGAUAACCUUCAACUGUUCAACCUAGCAAACCACUAAUUGGCUAUGUUACUGUUUUCUUAACCAUGUUGUUAGCGUUGCUAGUUGCACGUGUAGUUGCUUCCAUGUGAAAACAUGGGUUCCUUGUUAUAUCACUCUAUUAAAUGCUAUUAAUUUAAUGCACCUAUAUACUUGGUAAAAGGUGGAAGGCUCGGCCUUUCUAGCCUGGUGUUUUGUUCCACCUUUGCCCCCUUAGUUUCGGCUACCGGUGUUAUGUUUCAUAAACGAGCGCUCCUAACACGAUCGGGGUUGUUAUGGGACCCCCUUGAUAAUUUGUUUUAGAUUAAAGCUGGUCCGGCAAGGCCCAACAUUGGUACUACAUUUUCCCAACAUAAUAAUUUUAUUAAUACUGAAAGCAUAGGGUGUCAUGAACCCGAGGAGUAAUUUUACAUAAUAUAGGGGGGCCAAUGCUGAUGGUGCUGGUCCAACACUAGAGCCGUUUGCGGGGCCAACCCGAGGCAACUCGGGAGAUUUCUAUGAGGCCACCGUACGCUGUGCUUAUCCGUUGUGUCCUGAGAACGAGAUAUGCGGCUCCUAUCAGGAUCGUCGACACGUCGGGCGGCCUUGCUAGAUUAGUUUUACGUUUGAUGAGAUAUCUUGUGCAUCGGGAUUCCGGUGAUGCUUUGGGUAAUCUCAGAGUUGAGGUUUUCCACUAAGGAAUCCGACGAGAUCGCGAGUGUCGUGAUCGAGGAUUUCUAUGCGGCUUGUGGUAAUUUAUGAUGGACUAGUUGGAGCACCCCUGCAGGGUUAAAUCUUUUCGGAAAGCCGUGCCCACGGUUAUGUGGCAACGUGGAAACUUUGUUUAACACUGGUUCUAGAUAACUUGAAGUUAACUUAAUUAAAAUAUGCCAACUGUGUGCGUAACCGUGACUGUCUCUUUCGUGAGUUCCGUCUCUGAUCGAGGACACGGUGGGGUUAUGUCUAACGUAGGUAGGUGUUCAGGAUCAUUCAUUUGAUCAUCAGUAGUUCACAUCCGUUAUGCGUAGAUCUUCCCCCCUCUUAUUUCUUGUACUCGUAAGUUUAGCCACCAAGUAUAUGCUUAGCCGCUGCUGCAACCUCACCACUUAUCCAUGCCUCACCCAUUAAGCUUAGCUAGUCUUGAUACCUUUGGAAAUGAGAUUGCUGAGUCCCCUAUGGCUCACAGAUUACUACAACACCAGUUGCAGGUACAGGUAAAGGUUACUCGACGCGAGCGCGUUGAUUGUUCAUUUGGAGUUGCUUCUUCUUCAUCGAUCUAGGAUGGGUUCCAGGCCGGCAGCCUGGGAUAGCAAGGAUGGACGUCGUUCUUCUUUUGCCGUUUGUUUUCGUCCGUAGUCGGACCCUGCUCCUACUCUUGAUGAUUAUGUAAUGUACUGAUGUGACUCUGAUGUAGCUUGUGGCGAGUGUAAGCCAAUUCUAUUAUAUAUCUCUUCUUUUCAGUACAUGUACUUGUAACGAUGUCCAUUCUUGCGACACGACGAGAUGCGCUUCUAUCCCUGACGAGGCCUUCGUGCCAAAUUGAGGAUAGGGUCGCAUCUUGGGCGUGACAAGUUGGUAUCAUACCAGUACCGACCUAGGAGCCCCCUUGAUUGAUCGAACUUGGCCGAGUCGAGUCUAGUAAAAAAAACUGCUUUGAGUCUUAGUUAUAUAUCAGAGAGUAGGAUUCUUUUUUCUCCUCUUCUAUGCUCUGGUGAGGAAUCUUGACGUAAUAAUUUAAUUCUACUCCUCUUCUCACUCAAAAUUUUUUUUUUUAGGAUCACGCGGAUAUUUUUGGAAUCUAUAUGAUGCGAUGUGACGGAGUUCUGUCUUGGUGCCUCCUAUUUGCUUUGAGUUUCAGGGGAGUUGAGCUCCAGGGGAUUCUUGAGCACAUCGUUAUCAUUCAGGUUUCUUAGUAUCUCAGAACGAAGGAUGUUCGAAAUUGCUUCAAUACUAGUCGUGGCGAGAUAACCCCGAUGUCCCCAGUACUGGUGCAGAUUGUUCGGGAGUACUGCCAUACUUUGUAUCGUUGUGAUCACGAGGGUCUGUUGUAGAUGAAGGUCCGAGAUUCUGGUUGUGUGUUGACGGAUGUGAUACAGGUGACGGGUUAGUAUAUGAGUUGUGUGAUAUUACUCCUUGUAUCCGUGUACUAGAUUGCAUGACCAGAUAUUUCGGGAAUUCAUAGGUGGGAAUUCAAGUAGUUACUUAUAGGACGAUCUUCCAACAAAUUUGUGUUGCUUCGAUGUCAAGUGGUGAUUUCAGAUCUGUUCUAAGAGGUGUUCUCAUAUUUUAUAAGAGUAUUAAUUCUUUUGCUCUAUCAAUUGUCUUAUCAAUUCCUUUUCAACCGGAGUCAUCGUAUCAAUUCCAUUCAAUCGGUGUGCUUCUCUUUAGCUGAACUCAAUCUUCUCCAGUGGUUGCAGAUCAUUCUCUCAAUCCUUUCCGGAGUUCAUCUCAUCUGUCUCAAGUUGUCUUUGUUUUUCCCCGCCCUCCCACCCUUUUCUUCAGUGAUUCAAUUUUUAUCUAGGAGUUUUCUUGUCAUUGUGCUUCCGUUGCCUGUUCUUUCCUCUUUUACCCGGUGUUUCAUUGUGAAGAUUCUCAGGAGCUUCGUGUUCAUCCUUAUUCNNNNNNNNNNNNNNNNNNNNNNNNNNNNNNNNNNNNNNNNNNNNNNNNNNNNNNNNNNNNNNNNNNNNNNNNNNNNNNNNNNNNNNNNNNNNNNNNNNNNAGAAAACAACAAAAAAGAAAAACCGGUUCAGAGAAUCUUCUAGAAAGUUCCCAAAAUCGGAAAAAAUCAGCUGAAAACCUGUAGAAGGUUCCCAAAACCGGAGCUGUUGGCAUGUAAAUGGGCCGGCCCAUUACCAAACGUAGCAUGGGACAUUUAGACACAGAAUGCUGCUAAUACGGAUUUCCGAGGGAGACUAGAGGCUAGCUGCAGCUAGGGCAUAAAAGAGAUCGGGCCAAACGCCUCUUUGCCUUAGGUCAGGUAUAAAUACUGGGACAAAUGUAACCAAGCCCUUAUGGCUCUCUGUCAGGAUAAAAAAUAAGCAAACUGUAGCCCGUUUUGACCUUUAGAGGCUUUGUUACAAUCUUGAAUUUCGGCCUCGGUUAUGGGAGCACCUCCUAGGAAAGGUCCUAUAGCGGGCCAGCCCAGGACCUGGUAAAGAAAGCAACGCAUAGAAAAAAACUGGAGAAAAAAUCAUGAAAUUUUGAAAUAAAUUCACAAACUACAAAAAGGUUAUCAAAUUUGAAAAAAAAUGUGAAAAACUUUCAUUAAAAUUGACAAAUAGGACAUCAAACAUGAAAAAACUACAUCAAUAUUGAAAAAAGAAGUACAGCAAAAUAGAAAAAAAUCAUCAAAAAUGAAAAUAGUUCAUCAAAUUUGAAAAUAGUUUAUUGUAAUUGAGAACUAGUUCAUCAAUUUUGAAAAAGGUCAUCGAUUUUGAAAAAAAUCAUAGAAUUUGGAACAAAUCACUGAUUCUCGAAAAAGUUCGUUAAUUUUUGUAAGAAAGUAUAUUGAGAAUGAAAAAAGUUUUUCAAUUUUAAAAAAAGUUCAUCGAUUUUGAAGAAAAGUUCAUGGAUUUUGAAAAAUAUAUUGUGAAUUUGAAAAAAAAAUCAUGCAUUUAGCAAAAAAAAGGNNNNNNNNNNNNNNNNNNNNNNNNNNNNNNNNNNNNNNNNNNNNNNNNNNNNNNNNNNNNNNNNNNAAAAAGUUACACGAACUAAAGAGGACAAAAGGAUGAAAAGAAGCUAAUUAACAUGUUAAUCAUGAUGGUUUAGUGGUUACUUCUCUAAUCCCUGUUGUCGCAUCAUUUUUUUCUUUAAUAUGAAAUGAAAAGGUUAAACGGGUCGGCUGAUGAGUCUAAAUUUUGAGACCUCUUCACCGUUUUUUUUNNNNNNNNNNNNNNNNNNNNNNNNNNNNNNNNNNNNNNNNNNNNNNNNNNNNNNNNNNNNNNNNNNNNNNNNNNNNNNNNNNNNNNNNNNNNNNNNNNNNUGCCACCAGGGGGGUGGCGGCUACAUGGCUUGUGGCCCACUAGCCCAUCCCCUUCGGUGGAUCUUUGCGCACGUAUUUUUCAUAUUUUCCAGAAAUAUUCUCCGUAAAUUUUCAGGACGUUUUGAGAACUUCCAUUUCUGCACAAAAACAACACCAAGGCAAUUCUGCUGAAAACAACGUCAGUCCAGGUUAGUUCCAUUCAAAUCAUGCAAAUUAGAGUCCAAAACAAGGGCAAAAGAGUUUGGAAAAGUAGAUAUCAUGGAGAUGUAUCAAUGCCCACAAAAAAAAGAGGCCAAAGAACCCACCCAAAAAAAUGAGAGAAAAAGAGAGAAGCGACAAUGCUACUAUAUUUCCACACUUGUGCUUAUUAAGCACCAUUAUCUUCAUGAUUGAGAGUCUCUCGUUUUGUCACCACCAUAUAGCUAGUGGGAAAUUUUCAUUAUAUAAUUUGGCUUGUAUAUUCCAAUGAUGGGCUUCCUCAAAAUUGCCUUAGGUCUUCGUGAGCAAGCAAGUUGGAUGCACACCCACUAGUUUUCUUUAAGAGCUUUCACAUACUCCUAGCUCUAGUGCAUCAUUUGUAUGGCAAUCCCUACUCAUUCACAUUGAUAUCUAUUGAUGAGCAUCUCCAUAGCUCAUUGAUAUGCCUAGUCAAUGUGACCAUCUUCUCCUUGUUUGCCUUGCAACCUCCACCACACUCCAUUCCACUUAUAGUGCUAAAACCAUGGCUCACGCUCAUGUAUUACGUGAGAGUUGAAAAAGUUUGAGAAAGUAAAGGUGUGAAAAAAAUUACUUGGCCAAUACCGAGGUUGUGCAUGAUUUAAAUUCGUUGUGCAAGGAUGAUAGAGCAUAGCCAGACUAUAUGAUUUUGUAGGGAUAACUUUCUUUUUGGCCUUGUUAUUUUGAAAGUUCAUGAUUACCUUGCUAGCUUGCUGGAAGUAUUAUGGUCUCCACAUCAAUAGCAAACUAUUGUUUUGAAUCUAACGGAUCUGAACAUUCAUGCACGUGAGAGAAGUUACAAAGGACAACUAUGCUAGGUAGCAUGCAACAUCAAAAAUUCAUUCUUUAUCACUUCCCUACUCGAGGACGAGCAGGAGUUAAGCUUGGGGAUGCUUGAUACGUCUCCAACGUAUCUAUAAUUUUUGAUGGUUCCAUGCUAUUAUCUUGUCAACCUUGGAUGUUUUAUAUGCAUGAAUAUGCUAUUUUAUAUCUUUUUUGGGACUAACCUAUUAACUCAGUGCCAAGUGCCAGUUUCUGUUUUUUCCGUGUUUUUGACCCUUUUUCAGACGGAGUCCAAAUGGAAUGAAACUUUACGAUGAUUUUUUUGGACCAAAAGAGACCCCCGAAGCUUUGGAAGAAGGCCAUAAGAGCCACGAGGGAGUCACAAGCCCUGAAGCCACCACCACCCCCCUAGGCGGCGCCUACCAGGCUUGUGACCUCCUCGUGGGCCCAACCGAUGUAAUUCCACCGCCAUAAAUUCCUAUAAAUUCAGAACCCCCCAAAAAGAAACCUAGAUCGGGAGUUCUGCCGCCACAAGCCUCUGUAGCCACCAAAAACCAAUCUGGAGCCCGUUCCAGCACCCUGUCGGAGGGGGAAUCCAUCUCCGAUGGCCAUCUUCGUCAUCCCGGCGAUCUCCAUGACGAGGAGGGAGUAGUUCUCCCUCGGGGCUGAGGGUAUGUACUAGUAGCUAUUGUUUGAUCUCUCUCUCUCUCUCGUGUUCUUGAGAUGUCUUGAUCUCGAUGUACCAUGGGCUUUGCUACUGUAGUUGGAUCUUAUGAUGUUGUUCCCCCUCUCCCUCUUGUAAUGAAUUGAGUUUCCCCUCUGGAGUUAUCUUAUCGGAUUGAGUCUUUGAGAACACUUGAUAUAUGUCUUGCACGUGUCUAUCUGCUGCGAUCAACUUGCGGGUUCGUGACAUUGGGAACCUAUGCAUAUGGGUUGGCACACGUGGAUUCAUGUGAGUACUUGUUGUAUGUUUUUGUGAUCAACUUGCGGAUUCGUGACAUUGGGAACCUAUGCACAGGGGUUGGCACACGUUUUUACUCUCUAGUAGAAACUUUGGGGCACUCUUUGAAGUUCUAUGUGUUGGUUGAAUAAAUGAUUCUGAUAUUGUGUGAUGCAUAUCGUAUAAUCAUGCCCACGGAUACUUGAGGUGACAAUGGAGUAUCUAGGUGACAUUAGGGUCUUGGUUGAUAUGUAUCUUAAGGUGUUAUUCUAGUACGAACUCUAUGAUGGAUCGAACGGAAAGAAUAGCUUCGUGUUAUUUUACUACGGACUCUUGAAUAGAUCGAUCAGAAAGAAUAACUUUGCGGUGGUUUCGUACCCGACAAUAAUCUCUUCGUUUUUUCUCUUCUAUUAGUGACUUUGGAGUGAAUCUUUGUUGCAUGUUGAGGGCUAGUUAUAUGAUCCAAUUAUGUUAUUAUUGUUGAGAGAACUUCACUAGUGAAAGUAUGAACCCUAGGCCUUGUUUCCACGCAUUGCAAUACCGUUCGUGCUCACUUUUGUUACUAGUUACCUUGCUGUUUUUGUAAUUUCAUAUUAAGAAAACCUAUAUCUACCAUCCAUUUUGCACUUGUAUCACCAUCUCUUCGCCGAACUAGUGCACCUAUACAACUUACCAUUGUAUUGGGUGUGUUCGGGACACAAGAGACUCUUUGUUAUUUGGUUGCAGGGUUGCUUGAGAGAGACCAUCUUCAUCCUAUGCCUCCUGCGGAUUGAUAAACCUUAGGCCACCCACUUGAGGGAAAAUUUCUACUGUCCUUGAUACGUCCAUUUUCCAUCAUGCUUUCAUGUUAAUAUUUAUCGCUUUAUGGGUUGUUAUAUUACCUUGUGGUACCAUACUUAUGCCUUUUCUCUCUUAUUUGGCAAGGUUUAUUUGAAGAGAGAGAAUACCGGCAACUGAAAUUCUGGACUGGAAAAGGAGCAAGUCUGAGUCCUCUAUUCUGCACAACUCCAAAUGCCCUGAAAAUCAACGUGGACUUUUUUGGGAGUUUAUAAAAAAUAAUGGGCGAAAGAAGUACCACAGGGGAGCUACCAGGGCCCCACAAGCCUGGUGGCGGCUACAGGGCUUGUGGGCUCCCUGACGACCCACUGGCCCCCCUCUUUUGCUAUAUGAAGGGUUUCGUUCCAGAAAAAAUCAAGGAUGAGCUUUUUCGUGGUUUCACUGCCGCCACGAGGCGGAACUUGAGCAGAUCCAAUCUAGAGCUCCGGCAGGACGAAACUGUCGGGGAAACUUCCCUCCCGGAGGGGGAAAUCGUCACCAUCGUCAUCACCAACACUCCUCUCGUCGGAGGGGAGUCAUCUCCAUCAACAUCUUCAUCAGCACCAUCUCCUCUCCAAUCCCUAGUUCAUCUCUUGUAACCAAUCUCCAUCUCGCGACUCCGAUUGGUACUUGUAAGGUUGCUAGUAGUGUUGAUUACUCUUUGUAGUUGAUGCUAGUUGGAUUACUUGGUGGAAGAGUUUAUGUUCAGAUCCUUGAUGCUAUUCUUUACACCUCUGAUCAUGAUUAUGAUUAUGCUUUGUGAGUAGUUACUUUUGUUCCUGAGGACAUGGGAUAAGUCAUGCUGAUAAUAGUCAUGUGAAUUUGGUAUUCGUUCGGUAUUUUGAUAUGUUGUAUGUUGUAUUUUCCUCUAGUGGUGUUAUGUGAACGUCGACUACAUAACACUUCACCAUAUUUGGGCCUAGAGGAAGGCAUUGGGGAGUAGUAAGUAGAUGAUGGGUUGCUAGAGUGAUAGAAGCUUAAACCCCAGUCUAUGCGUUGCUUCGUAAGGGGAUGAUUUGGAUCCACUAGUUUAAUGCUAUGGUUAGACGUUGUCUUAAUUCUUAUUUCAUAGUUGCGGAUGCUUGCGAGAGGGGUUAAUCAUAAGUGAGAUGCUUGUCCAAGUAAGGGCAGUACCCAAGCGUCAGUCCACCCACAUAUCAAACUAUGAAAGUAAUGAACACGAAUCACAUGAACAUGAUGAAACUAGCAUGACAGAAAUUCCCGUGUGUCCUCAGGAGCGUUUUUCCUCGUAUAAGACUUUGUUCACGCUUGUCCCUUGCUACAAAAGGGAUUGGGCCACUUGUUGCACCAUUGCUACUACUUGUUACUUGUUACUUUUUGCUUGCUACGUUUCACCUUGCUACACCAUCACUUGUUACCGCUACUUUCAGUGCUUGCACUUACUACCUUGCUGAAAACUGUUUAUCAGAGCCUUCUGCUCCUCGUUGGGUUCGACACUCUUACUUAUCGAAAGGACUACGAUUGAUCCCCUAUACUUGUGGGUCAUCAAGACUCUAUUUCUGGCACCGUUGCCGGGGAAGGAGAGAUCUAUCCAAGUAGGUCUCACAAACUCAUCUCUUGCAUUUACCUUUUUUGCGAGUUCCCUCUCGUUUUCCUCUCCCCCACUUCACAUUUCUCGUUUUCAUUUGCCUUUCGCCUUUGCCGUUUUCUUUUGCCUUUUGCCUUUUUUCCGUUUUCCUUUGCCGGUUUUCUUGCUUGCUUGUGUGCUUGUUUGUUUGUUGAAGUCAUCAUGGCUGAAAACACCAAACUUUGCGACUUCUCGAGUACCAAUAAUAAUGAUUUUAUUAGUACUCCGAUUGCUCCCGCCACUAGUGCGGAAUCAUAUGAAAUCAACACAGCUUUGCUGAAUCUUGUUAUGAAACAGCAAUUCUAUGGCCUUCCUAGUGAAGAUGUCGCGUCCCAUCUCAAUACCUUCAUUGAGCUUUGCGAUAUGCAAAAGAAAAGAGAUGUGGAUAAUGACGUGAUUAAGUUGAAGCUUUUUUCCUUUCUUGUUGCGAGAUCGUGCAAAAAUUUGGUUUUCUUCUUUGCCUAAAAAUAGUAUGGAUUCUUGGGAUAAGUGCAAAGAUGCUUACAUAUCCAAGUAUUUUCCGUCGGCUAAGAUUAUCUCCUUACAUAACGAUAUCAUGAAUUUCAAGCAACUUGAUCAUGAACACGUUGCACAAUCUUGGGAGAGGAUGAAGUUAAUGAUUAGAAAUUGUCCCGCUCAUGGCUUGAGUUUGUGGAUGAUUAUACAAAUCUUUUACGCUGGCUUGAAUUUUGCCUCUCGCAAUAUCUCGGACUCCACCUCAGGUGGAACGUUCAUGGAAAUCACGUUAGGAGACGCUACAAAACUCCUAGACAAUAUCAUGACCAACUACUCUCAGUGGCACACUGAAAGGUCACCCGCUAGCAAAAAGGUACACGCUAUAGAAGAAAUUAACUCGCUUAGUGCUAAGAUGGACGAGUUGAUGAAUUUGGUUGCUAGUAGAAAUGAUCCUUUAGAUCCUAAUGACAUGCCACUAUCUUCCUUGAUUGAGAGUAGCAACGCUAAUUUGGACGUUAAUUUUGUUGGUAGGAACAAUUUUGGCAACAACAAUGCUUUUAGAGGAAACUAUGUUCCUAGGCCUUUUCCUAGUAACUCCUCUAACAAUUAUGGCAAUUCCUACAACAACACUUAUGGAAAUCACAACAAAUUAUCCUCUGAUUUAGAGAGUAAUAUCGAAGGGUUCAUCAACUCUCAAAAGAUUUUCAAUGCGUCCAUUGAGGAAAAACUACUCAAAAUUGAUGAUUUGGCUAAGAGCGUUGAUAGGAUGUCUUGUGAUAUUGAUGCUUUGAAAGUUAGAUGUGCUCCUCCCAAUGUCAACUCGGAUGAAACUUUAAAAGCUAUGCGUGUCUCCAUGAAUGAGAGAAAAGAAAGAACCACCCAAAUUCGCGCUAGGCAUGAAUGGUUUAAAAGGGUGCGCUCUAGUGAUGUAAAUCACGAAUAUCUUAAAGUGCUUGGUGUGACUCCUCUUGAAUCUUUGUUUUCGCGUAUCAAACCUAUUGAUGAAGGUGCUGUAUAUGAAUCCACCUAUCUUGAUGAUAAAGGUGUGGAGAGUGGAGUAGAAGAAAUCAAAAUUUUGGGUAGUAAUGAAACUCCCACUUUGGAUUUCAAGGAAUUCAAUUAUGACAGCUGCUCCUUGUUUGAAUGCAUUUCUUUGAUGCAAUCCAUUGCAAACUCUCCACAUGCUUAUAGCCAAAGGAAAACAUUUACCGCUCAUAUCAUAGAUGCUAUGAUGAAAUCUCUUGAAGAGAAGCUCGAAUUAGAAGUCUCUAUACCUAGAAAACUUCAUGAUGAGUGGGAACCUACUAUCAAAAUCAAAAUCAAACUACGAGUGCAAUGCUUUGUGUGAUUUGGGUGCUAGUGUUUCCGCGAUCCCAAAGUCUUUAUGUGAUAUUUUUGGUUUUCAUGAGAUUGAAGAGUGUUCUCUUAAUUUGCAUCUUGCAGAUUCUACUGUCAAGAAACCCAUGGGAAGGAUCGAUGAUGUUCUUAUUAUUGCAAAUAAGAACUAUGUACCCGUGGAUUUCAUUGUACUUGACAUAGAUUGCAAUCCUUCAUGUCCCAUUAUUCUUGGUAGACCUUUCCUAAGGACUAUUGGUGCUAUCUUCGAUAUGAAGGAAGGGAAUAUUAGAUUUCAAUUUCCUCUAAAGAAGGGCAUGGAGCACUUUCCUAGAAAGAAAAUAAGAUUGCCUUAUGAAUCUAUGAUGAGGGCUACUUAUGGUUUGAGCACCAAAGAUGACAAUACGUGAUUCCAUCACCUUUUGCCUAGCUAAGGGCAUUAAGCAAUAGCGCUUGUUGGGAGGCAACACAACGAAUUUAUCCUUUUUCUUUAUGUUUUGUGUUUCCACACUUUCAUAAUUCUGUUAUGAUUGUGUUUUUUCUGUUUCUUUUUGCGUUUGUGCCAAGCAAAACCGUUAUGAUUAGUCUUGGGGAUGAUCGUUUGGUCAUGCUGGAAAAGACAGAAAAUUUCUACUCACGAAAAGAAUAUUUUUUUUUUCUGUAAGAGCAUUUGAGUUGAUUCUUGUCAACUCUUUGUCCUAGAAUAGCACUAACAGCAUAAUCACUAGCAUCGCACAUGAUUUCAAAGGGCAAGUUCCAAUCAGGUGGUUGAACAAUAGGUGCGGUUAUCAAGGCAUUCUUAAGUAUUUCGAAAGAUUCCUCACAAUCCUCAUCAAAAACAAAAGGAACAUCCUUCUACAAGAGGUUGGUAAGAGGCCUAGAAAUCUUAGUGAAGUCUUUAAUGAACCUUCUAUAGAAACCAGCAUGACCUAGGAAACUUCGUAUACCUCUGAUAUCUGUGGGGCAAGGCAUCUUCUCAAUUGCAUCAACCUUAGCCUUAUCAACUUCAAUGCCUUUCUCACAGAUUUUAUGUUCUAAGACGAUGCCUUCAUUAACCAUGAAGUGGCACUUCUCCGAGUUCAAGAUGAGGUUGGUAUCUUUGCAUCUCUGUAAGACUCGAUCAAGGUUGUUGAGGCAAUCGUCAAAGGAAGAACCGUAAACGGAGAAAUCAUCCAUGAAAACCUCAACAAUCUUUUCACAAAAGUCAGAGAAUAUUGCCAUCAUACAUCUUUGAAAGGUGGCAGAUGCAUUGCAUAAGCCAAAAGGCAUACGUCUAUAAGCAAAGGUACCGAAGGGGCAGGUGAAAGUGGUUUUCUCCUGAUCAGAUUGUGCAACAGGUAUUUGCGAGAAACCUGAAUAACUGUCAAGAAAGUAGAAGUGUGUGGGUUUAGAUAACCUUUCUAGCAUUUGGUCGAUAAACGACAAAGGAUAAUGGUCUUUCCUGGUUGCCUUGUUCAGUUUCCGGAAGUCUAUCACCAUCCUAUAGCCAGUAAUAAUCCUCUGUGGGAUUAGUUCAUUCUUAUCAUUAGGAAUGACGGUGAUACCUCCCUUCUAAGGUACGCAAUGUACUGGACUUACCCAAUCACUAUGAGCAACAGGAUAAAUGAUUCCUGCUUCCAGAAGCUUUCAUAUUUCUUUUCUCACGACCUCUUUCAUCCUAGGAUUUAAUCUCCAUUGAUGAUCAGUAACUGGCUUAGAAUCAGGAUCGGUUUUAAUCUUGUGCUGACAUAGAGUGGGACUAAUACCCUUAAGAUCAUCAAGAGUAUAUCCAAUAGCAGCAUGGUGCUUCCUCAAAGUUUUAAUAACUUCUUCUCUUCGUGAUUCGAGAGGUGAGCACUAAUAAUAACAUGAUAUAUCUCCUCAUCAAGAUAGGCAUACUUAAGUGUAUCUGGUAACUGUUUUAGCUCGAACACAGGAUCACCCUUUGGUGGGGGAGGAUCCCCAAGCAGUUCAAUAGGCAUAUUAUUCUUAAGAAUAGGAUAUUGUUCUAAAACAAUUUUAUCUAUCUCAUCUCUUUCAUCCAUAUGCAUAUCAUUUUCAUGCUCAAGCAGACAUUGCUCUAAAGGAUCCGUAGGAGGUACGGCAAUAGGGGCAGGAGCAAUGGUUUCAUCCCUACCAGACGACUCUUUUUCAUGGGGUUGUCUUCCAAACUUGGAGAAGUUAAAUUCAUGAGACACACCCUCGAAACUAACAGUGACAGUCUGUUUAAUGCAAUCAAUAUGAGCAUUGACAGUGUUGAGAAAGGGUCUACCAAAUAUGAUGGGACAAAAGCUAUCUUGUGCAGUAGCAAGGACGAGGAAAUCAGUAGGAUACUUCGUCUUACCACAUAGGACUUCUACGUCUCUCACAAUUCCCACAGGGCAGAUAAUGUCUCUAUUAGCUAGCGUAAUAGUGACAUCAAUGGGUUCUAACUCAGCAGGUGCAGUCUCAUCUUUGAUUUCAUCAUAUAGGGACCGGGGUAUUGCACUAACACUAGCACCCAUAUCACAUAAAUCAUGAUAACAGUGAUCUUCUAUCUUGACAGAAACAACGGGCAGGCCAACUACAGGUCCGUAUUUGUCUUUCGCGUGAGGUUCAACAAUUCUAGCGGAGUCCUCAUAGAAUUUGAUAGCAUGCCCGUCUAUGUCUUCGGCUAAGAGAUCUUUGAUAAUAGCAACACUAGGUUCAACUCUAAUUUCCUCAGGGGGUGCAAGUGGUCUAAUGUAACCCCUACGUAACACAGUUGGAGCCUUAGAAUAAUCCUUUUUCCUAGCAGGGUAAGGUGGUUUCUUAGUGUAGGCACAAGGAACAAUAGGAUCAUUAUGGGCAAUGACUUUCUCUUCAACUAGAUUGGGUUUAACUAUGUUGACUUCUACAGGAAGAUGAUACUUAAACCACUUCUCUUUGGGAAGAUCAAUAUAAGCAGCAAAAGAUUCACAUAGAGAAGCUACUAUCUCAGAUUCAAGUCCAUACUUCGCGCUAAAAUCUCUAGAAGUGUUUGUUUCAAGAAAGAUUUAACGCAACCAAACUAGAAAUUCAUACCCAACUCCUUACCUUCUUCAAGCACCCAACAUUCAGAGUUACGUUUGAUUCUUUCCAAUAAAUUCCACUUGUGGUCAAUAUGCUUCUUCAUAAAAGAACCGGUACAAGAAGUGUCAAGCAUGGUACGAUCUUCAUGAGAAAGCCGAGCAUAAAAGUUUUGAGUGAUAAUUUCCCUCGAGAGCUCAUGAUUGGGGCAUCAAUAUAGAAUUGAUUUAAACCUCCCCCAAGCUUGAGUUAUGCUUUCCCUGUCACGAGGCCAAAAGUUAUAAAUAUAAUUCCGAUCAUGAUGUACUAAAUGCAUAGGAUAAAACUUCUGAUGAAAUUCCAAUUUCAACCGAUUGUAGUCCCAUGAUCCAGUAUCAUCACAUAGCCUAUACCAUGUCAACGCCUUAUCCUUCAAAGAUAAAGGAAAGACUUUCUUAUUUACCUCAUCCUCGGGCAAACCUGCAAGCUUAAAUAAACUACAAACUUCAUCUACGUAGAUUAGAUGCAAGUCUGGAUGUGAUGAUCCAUCUCCUGUAAAACGAUUAGCCAGCAGUUUCUCAAGCAUACCCGAAGGAAUUUCAUAAAAGAUAUUUUCAGUAGGUACCUUAGGUUGAGGAGCAACUCCUCGUGCUUCCAUUCAUGGUGAAGAUACUCCGAACAAAUUCCUCAAAGGAACAGUUUCCAUAGUGACAAGUGACAAUAAAUUUCAGCACAGUAUACAAAUGUUUCCUUACCAAAUUCCACUUACCAAAGGCGCUUCCCUCCCCGGCAACGGCGCCAGAAAAGAGUCUUGAUGACCCACAAGUAUAGGGGAUCAAUCGUAGUCCUUUCGAUAAGUAAGAGUGUCGAACCCAACAAGGAGCAGAAGGCUCUGAUAAACGGUUUUCAGCAAGGUAAUAACUGCAAGCACUGAAAUUUGCGGUAACAAGUGAUGGUGUGGUGAGGUGAAACGUAGUAGGUGAAAAGUAACAAGUAACAAGUAAUAGCAACGGUGCAGCAAAGUGGCCCAAUCCCUUUUGUAGCAAGGGACAAGCCUGAACAAUGUUUUAUAGGAAGUAAAGCGCUCCCGAGGACACAUGGGAAUUUCUGUCAUGCUAGUUUCAUCAUGUUCAUAUGAUUCACGUUCGUUACUUUGAUAGUUUGAUAUGUGGGUGGACCGGCGCUUGGGUACUUCCCUUACUUGUACAAGCAUCCCACUUAUGAUUAACCCCUCUCGCAAGCAUCCGCAACUAUAAAAGAAGAAUUAAGACAACGUCUAACCAUAGCAUUAAACUAGUGGAUCCAAAUCAGCCCCUUACGAAGCAACGCAUAGAAUGGGGUUUAAGCUUCUGUCACUCUAGCAACCCAUCAUCUACUUACUACUCCCCAAUGCCUUCCUCUAGGCCCAAGUAUGGUGAAGUGUUAUGUAGUCGACGUUCACAUAACACCACUAGAGGAAAAGACAACAUACAUCAUAUCAAAAUACCGAACGAAUACCAAAUUCACAUGACUAUUAAUAGCAAGACUUAUCCCAUGUCCUUAGGAACAAAAGUAACUACUCACGAAGCAUGGAUAUAUUCAUGACCAGAAAAGUAAUGAAUAUCAUAAUGGAUCUGAACAUAUAAUCUUCCACCAAGUAAACCAACUAGCAUCAACGACAAAGAGUAAUCAACACUACUAGCAACCUUACGGGUACCAAUCGGCGUCGCGAGACGGCGAUUGGUUACAAGAGAUAGACUAGGGUUUGGAUAGGAGAUGGUGCUGAUGAAGAUGUUGAUGGAGAUAACUCCCCUCCGACGAGAGGAGUGUUGGUGAUGACGAUGGCGACGAUUUCCCCCUCUGGGAGCGAAGUUUCCCCACCAGGAUCGUCAUGCCGAAGCUCUAGAUUGGUUCUUCUCAAGUUCUGCCUCGUGGCGGUGGCGCCUCCUCGAAAAAGCUCUGCCUUGAUUUUCUUCUGGACGAAACCCUUCAUAUAGCAGAAGAGGGGGGCAGUGGGCCACCAGGGUGCCCACAAGUCGUGUAGCCGCGGCUACCAGGCUUGUGGGCCCCUGGCAGCUCCCCUGUGGCACUUCUUUCGCCCAAUAUUUUUUAUAUAUUCCCAAAAAAUCCACGUUGAUUUUCAGGGCAUUUGGAGUUGCGCAGAAUAGAGGACUCAGACUUUCUCCUUUUCUAGUCCAGAAUUCCAGCCGCCGGUAUUCUCCCUCUUCAAAUAAACCUUGCAAAAUAAGAGAGAAAAGGCAUAAGUAUGGUACCACAAAGUAUAAUAACAGACCAUAAAACGAUAAAUAUCAACAUGAAAGCAUGAUGCAAAAUGGACGUAUCUACUCCCCCAAGCUUAAACCUCGCUUGUCCUCAAGCGAAAACCAAGAUCCAUAAACAUGUCCACAUGUUUAGGGAUGAAGGUGUCGAUAAAACAUAAUAUGGACAUGAGGGCAUCAUGAUCACACAUAGAACAGCAAUACAUCAUAAAGAUUCUUAUGGGAAAGUAACAAUUCCUUCACAAAGCAAAGUAUGAAUCAAAAACCUUACCAGGAAGUAACCAACAACAGUCCAUAGUCAUUGAAGAAAUUGCAAUAUAUCAUAACAUCAGAAAGAGUCAAAUAAGAGUUUGUAAAGCAAAUCCACAUACUCAAUCAUCUCUUUUGUUUUCCACAGUUGUUACAACUCACGUGGUACUCAUGGUAUCAAAGUUUCAGUUGGACACGGAGAAAGAUAGGGGCUUAUAAUUUUGCCUCCCAACCAUUUACCUCAAGGGUAAAGUCAACAAUAAUAAAGCAUAAGUACUCAUCUCCAAGUUGAUAUAUGAAUACAGAUCUUUCCCUAGCAUAUGACGUUCACCAAGAUGAAGACGGAAUAGGGAAUUGGUGUUGAUCACCAUGACUUUCACAAGGACAAAACUAAAGGUACAAAAUAGACCCUUCGUAGAGGGAAGCAGAGGUUGUCAUGCGCUUUUAAGGUUUGGAUAUACGACCUCUUAGUAUAAAGGAACGUCGCUUUAUAUUGCCCCAUGUGAUAAAGAACUUUAUUAUGCAGUCUGUCGCUUUUAUGUCUUCCUCAUCACAGGUUCGUACAACGCUUAUUUUCCACACACUAAUAAAUCAUUCAUACUUUAGGUAGCAACUUUUUAUUGCUUGCACCAAUGACAACUUACUUGAAGGAUCUUACGCAAUCCAUAGGUAGGUAUGGUGUACUCGGGGGCAAAACUGGGUUGAAGGUUUAUGGAUGCACAAGUAGUAUUUCUACUUAGUACGGAAGUUUUGGCUAAUAUGAGGUGGAAGCAAUCGUCACAUGCUAAGGGAUCUCUAGACUUAUAACAUUGUUUGGAAUCAAGCAAACACAAUUCAUUAUGUUGUCUUCCUUGUCCAACAUCUACUCCUAAGCAUGUAAUAGUUUGGUGAGUGCUCACAAUUGUAAAAAGUGUCUAAGAUGAUAUAUUUAUAUGUGAACCUCUCUUUUCUUAUUACUUCUUAUUAAUUGCAACAAUGACUGGGGUCUAUGUUGGUCUAUUCUCAACAAGUUUCAAUCAUUAUACUUUUUAUAUGUGAAGCUAUCACUUUCCAUAAGAUCAUCUCAUGAUCUUUCAUGCUGUCGUUCUUUUCAUACUUUUGAUCACGGCACAAAACAAAGCCCUUGACUAAGAUACUCUUUAUUAUAUAGCUCGCAAGCUCGAAUACAUCGGGGGAGACACAAGGCAAAAGACUCAAACUAAACACUAAAGACUUAUCCCACUAAGAGAAGAAAUAAAAACUGAAAAGGAAAGAACUAAAAAAAAGGUAAAAGCAAAAGAUAUAAAGGUGAUACGAUACCAGGGAAACUCCCCCAAGCUUGGCAAAAGCCAAGGGGAUUGCCCAUACCAAUGCUCAAUUGUCUUCCAUUGGUGGUGGUGGUGAAGGAGUUGCAACAUGAAUUUUAUCCUCCAUCUUCCAAGGCAUAGGUGCUCCAUCAUGGCAGGAUGAACGAGUCGUCGGAAUCCUCAAAUCUGCAGCCAACCGUAUUGAUUUAAAUCUAUACUCAUACUCACAGUUUUGGUUCUGCAGGUCAUAGAUAUGGCCGUGGAGUUGAUCAACCCUGUCAUAGAGCCUGGAGAGGUGCUUCCCAAUGUCAUUGGCAUCCAUCUUGUGCUUGCUGGUGAACUCCGUGAUCAUCAUGUGGUUGGAGUUGAGUCCAUGCUCCACCAUCCCUUGGCACUUGAAGACUUGUUGCACCAUUGCUUCGAGCCUCGUCUCCACACUUCCGGUCUUCUUAGGCCCCUUAACAUCACGGAUGUGCAACAUCCCGCAUCUCAAUAGAUUGAGGGUGUUGCAGCACUUCCGUGAGGUAGGUGUUGAUGACCUUCUCGAAGAUCUUGUCCUUAGGAGCUUUUGGGGAAGUCAUGACGAUCUAGAUCUGCAACAGAAACAGGCUCGAAACGAAAAUAAGAGCAAAACUGCGUGAUACGGAGAUCAAAACCCUCGGGCGUAUAUAUAAUGAUUUUUUCUGGACCAGAAGGAGUGCUCCGCAAGAAAACGGUGUCCGGGAGGCACACGAGGUGCCCACAAUCCCUGUAGCCGCGGCCAGGGGGGAGGCCGCAGCUACCAAGCAUGUGGCCGCCUCGUGCGCUCUCCGGACUGCUUUUUAUUUUUCUAUUUUUCCAUAAAUUCCAAAACGGAGAAAAUUUCCUACUGGAAAAGUUAUGGAGUCCAAUUACUUACCGAAACACAUACCUCUUCGUUUUCAGAGUCUGAAACAGGCUGAUAAACAUCCCUUAUGUACUCCUCUCGAGUUAUGAUAUUGAUGAUAUUGGUCUCAACAUUUAUGGGAGUACCAGAGAUAUAAUGCUUGAUUCUUUGCCCAUUUACCACUCUCGGAAAAUUACCUUCCGUGUUAUUGAUUUUGAUGGCACCAGAACGAUAUACUUCCUCGACAACGUAGGGACCUUCCCAUUUAGAGAGAAGCUUGCCUGCGAAGAAUCUUAAGCGAGAAUUGUAUAGCAGGACAUAAUCACCUACAUUGAACUCACGUUUUUGUAUUCUUUUAUCGUGCCAUCUCUUAACCUUUUCCUUGAACAACUUGGCAUUCUCAUAUGCCUGGGCCCUCCAUUCAUCUAAUGAGCUGAUAUCAAACAACCGCUUCUCACCGGCAAGUUUGAAAUCGAAGUUGAGCUCUUUGAUUGACCAAUAAGCUUUGUGUUCUAGAUCAAGAGGUAAAUGACAGGCCUUACCAUAAAACAUUUUAUACGGCGACAUGCCCAUGGGAUUCUUAUAAGCAGUCCUAUAAGCCCAUAGUGCAUCGUCAAGUUUGCUAGACCAAUUCUUUCGAGAUCUAUUGACAGUCUUUUUUAAGAUCAAUUUGAUCUCCCUAUUACUCAACUCCACUUGACCACUAGACUGAGGAUGAUAAGGAGAUGCAACUCUAUGGUUGACAUCAUACUUAGCGAGCAUCUUGCGGAAAACACCAUGAAUGAAGUGUGAACCGCCAUCAGUCAUCAGAUAUCUAGGGACUCCAAAUCUUGGGAAAAUGACUUCUUUAAGCAUCUUAAUAGAGAUGUGGUGAUUAGCAUUUCUAGUGGGGAGAGCUUCUACCCACUUAGUGACGUAAUCAACAACAACUAAGAUGUGAUUAUACCCAUUGGAACUCGGGAAGGGUCCCAUAUAAUCAAAGCCCAAGACAUCAAAUGGUUCAAUGACAAGUGAAUAGUCCAUAGGCAUUUCCCGACGUUUACUGAUGUUCCCUAUUCUUUGGCAUUUGUCACAAGACAAGACAAACUUACGGGCAUCCUUGAAGAGAGUAAGCCAAUAGAAACCUGAUUGCAAUACCUUAUGAGCAGUUCUAUCUCCAGCAUGGUCUCCUCCGUAGGCUUCGGAAUGACACUUCUGCAGGAUCUGUCCCUGUUCAUGUUCAGGCACACAACAUCUAAUAACACCAUCUACUCCUUCCUUAUAAAGGUGAGGAUCAUCCCAAAAGUAGUGUCUCAAAUCAAAGAAGAAUUUCUUCUUUUGCUGGUAGGUGAAACUGGGUGGUAUGUAUUUGGCUACGAUAUAGUUUGCGUAAUCAGCAUACCACGGUGCACUAUGUGAAGUACGGAUGACAUUCAAUUGCUCAUCAGGAAAGUUGUCAUCAAUAGGUCGUGGGUCAUCAAGGACAUUCUCUAGCCUGGACAAGUUAUCUGCUACAGGGUUAUCGGCACCCUUUCGGUCAACAACGUGCAAAUCAUAUUCCCGUAGUAGGAGAACCCAUCUAAUUAGCCUAGGUUUAGCGUCCUUCUUCUCCAUAAGGUACUUAAUAGCAGCAUGAUUAGAGUGAAUAAUGACUUUGGAGUCAACUAUAUAAGAUCUGAACUUUUCACAUGCAAACACGACUACUAAAAAUUCCUUCUCCGUAGUGGCAUAGUUUCUUUGGGCAUUAUCUAGAGUUUUACUAGAGUAGUGAAUGACAUUCAACUUCUUGUCAACUCUUUGUCCUAGAACAGCACCAACAACAUAAUCACUAGCAUCACACAUGAUUUCAAAGGGCAAGUUCCAAUCAGGUGGUUGAACAAUAGGUGCGGUUAUCAAGGCCUUCUUAAGUAUUUCGAAAGCUUCCUCACAAUCCUCAUCAAAAACAAAAGGAACAUCCUUCUGCAAGAGGUUGGUAAGAGGCCUAGAAAUCUUAGAGAAGUCUUUAAUGAAUCUUCUAUAGAAACCAGCAUGACCUAGGAAACUUCGUAUACCUCUGAUAUAUGUGGGGCAAGGCAUUUUCUCAAUUGCAUCAACCUUAGCCUUAUCAACUUCAAUGCCUUUCUCAGAGAUUUUGUGUCCUAAGACGAUGCCUUCAUUAUCCAUGAAGUGGCACUUCUCCCAAUUCAAGACGAGGUUGGUAUCUUUGCAUCUAUGUAAGAAUCGAUCAAGGUUGCUGAUGCAAUCAUCAAAGGAAGAACCGGAAACAGAGAAAUCAUCCAUGAAAACCUCAACAAUCUUUUCACAAAAGUCAGAGAAUAUUGCCAUCAUACAUCUUUGAAAGGUGCCAAAAGGCAUACGUCUAUAAGCAAAGGUACCGAAGGGGUAGGUGAAAGUGGUUUUCACCUUAUCAGAUUGUGCAACAGGUAUUUGCGAGACACCUGAAUAAUUGUCUAGAAAGCAGAAGUGUGUGUGUUUAGAUAGCCUUUCUAGCAUUUGGUCGAUAAACGGCAAAGGAUAAUGGUCUUUCCUGGUUGCCUUGUUCAGUUUCCGGAAGUCUAUCACCAUGCUAUAGCCAGUAAUAAUCCUCUGUGGGAUUAGUUCAUUCUUAUCAUUAGGAACGACGGUGAUACCUCCCUUCUUAGGUACGCAAUGUACUAGACUUACCCAAUCACUAUGAGCAACAGGAUAAUUGAUUCCUACUUCCAGAAGCUUUAAUAUUUCUUUUCUCACGACCUCUUUCAUCCUAGGAUUUAAUCUCCGUUGAUGAUCAACAACUGGCUUAGAAUCAGGAUCGGUUUUAAUCUUGUGCUGACAUAGAGUGGGACUAAUACCCUUAAGAUCAUCAAGAGUAUAUCCAAUAGCAGCAUGGUGCUUCCUCAAAGUUUUCAAUAACUUCUUCUCUUCGUGAUUCGAGAGGUGAGCACUAAUAAUAACAGGAUAUAUCUCCUUCUCAUCAAGAUAGGCAUACUUAAGUGUAUCUGGUAACUGUUUUAGCUCGAACACGGGAUCACCAUUUGGUGGGGGAGGAUCCCCAAGCAGUUCAACACGCAGAUUAUUCUUAAGAAUAGGAUAUUUUUCUAAAACAAUUUUAUCUAUCUCAUCUCUUUCAUCCAUAUGCAUAUCAUUUUCAUGCUCAAGCAGAUAUUGCUCUAAAGGAUCCGUAGGAGGUACGUCAAUAGAGGCAAGAGCAAUGAUUUCAUCCCUACCAGACGACACUUUUUCAUGGGGUUGUCUUCCAAACUUGGAGAAGUUAAAUUCAUGAGACACACCCUCUAAACUAACAGUGACAGUUUGUUUAAUGCAAUCAAUAUGAGCAUUGACAGUGUUGAGAAAGGGUCUACCAAAUAUGAUGGGACAAAAGCUAUCUUGUGCAGUAGCAAGGACGAGGAAAUCAGUAGGAUACUUCGUCUUACCACACAUGACUUCUACGUCUCUCACAAUUCCCACAUGACAGAUAGUGUCUCUAUUAGCUAGCGUAAUAGUGACAUCAAUGGGUUCUAACUCAGCAGGUGCAAUCUCAUCUUUGAUUUCAUCAUAUAGGGACCGGGGUAUUGCACUAACACUAGCACCCAUAUCACAUAAACCAUGAUAACAGUGAUAUCCUAUCUUGACAGAAACAACGGCCAGGCCAACUACAGGUCCGUAUUUGUCUUCCGCGUGAGGUUUAGCAAUUCUAGCGGAGUCCUCAUAGAAUUUGAUAACAUGCUCGUCUAUGUCUUCGGCUAAGAGAUCUUUGAUAAUAGCAACACUUGGUUCAACAAAAGAUUUAACACAAUCAAAUUGGAAAUUCAUACCUGACUCCUUACCUUCUUCAAGCUCCCAAUCUUCAGAGUUACGUUUGAUUCUUUCCAAUAAAUUCCACUUGUGGUCAAUAUCCUUCUUCAUAAAAGAACCGAUACAAGAAGUGUCAAGCAUGGUACGAUCUUCAUGAGAAAGCCGAGCAUAAAAGUUUUGAGUGAUAAUUUCUCUCGAGAGCUCAUGAUUGGGGCAUGAAUAUAGCAUUGCUUUAAGACUCCCCCAAGCUUGAGCUAUGCUUUCCCUGUCACGAGGCCAAAAGUUAUAAAUAUAAUUCCGAUCACGAUCUACUAAAUGCAUAGGAUAAAACUUUUGAUGAAAUUCCAAUUUCAACUGAUUGUAGUCCCAUGAUCCACUAUCAUCACAUAGCCUAUACCAUGUCAACGCCUUAUCCUUCAAAGAUAAAGAAAGACUUUCUUCUUUACCUCAUCCUCGGGCAAACCUGCAAGCUUAAAUAAACCACAAAAUUCAUCUACAUAGAUUAGAUGCAAGUCUAGAUGUGAUUAUCCAUCUCCUGUAAAAGGAUUAGCCAACAGUUUCUCAAGCAUACCCGAAGGAAUUUCAUAAAAGAUAUUUUCAGUAGGUACCUUAGGUUGAGGAGAAACUCCUCGUGCUUCCGUUCGUGGUGAAGAUACCCCGAACAAAUUCCUCAAAGGAACAGUUUCCAUAGUGACAAGUGACAAUAAAUUUCAGCAUAGUAUAUAAAUGUUUCCUUACCAAAUUCCACUUACCAAAGGCGCUUCCCUCCCCGGCAACGGCGCCAGAAAAGAGUCUUGAUGACCCACAAGUAUAGGGGAUCAAUCGUAGUCCUUUCGAUAAGUAAGAGUGUCGAACCCAACAAGGAGCAGAAGGCUCUGAUAAACGGUUUUCAGCAAGGUAAUAACUGCAAGCACUGAAAUUUGCGGUAACAAGUGAUGGUGUGGUGAGGUGAAACGUAGUAGGUGAAAAGUAACAAGUAACAAGUAAUAGCAACGGUGCAGCAAAGUGGCUCAAUCCCUUUUGUAGCAAGGGACAAGCCUGAACAAAGUUUUAUAGGAAGUAAAGCGCUCCCGAGGACACAUGGGAAUUUCUGUCAUGCUAGUUUCAUCAUGUUCAUAUGAUUCGCGUUCGUUACUUUGAUAGUUUGAUAUGUGGGUGGACCGGCGCUUGGGUACUUCCCUUACUUGGACAAGCAUCCCACUUAUGAUUAACCCCUCUCGCAAGCAUCCGCAACUACAAAAGAAGAAUUAAGACAACGUCUAACCAUAGCAUUAAACUAGUGGAUCCAAAUCAGCCCCUUACGAAGCAACGCAUAGAAUGGGGUUUAAGCUUCUGUCACUCUAGCAACCCAUCAUCUACUUACUACUCCCCAAUGCCUUCCUCUAGGCCCAAAUAUGGUGAACUGUUAUGUAGUCGACGUUCACAUAACACCACUAGGGAUAAAGACAAGAUACAACAUAUCAAAAUACCGAACGAAUACCAAAUUCACAUGACUAUUAAUAGCAAGACUUAUCCCAUGUCCUCAGGAACAAAAGUAAAUACUCACAAAGCAUGGAUAUAUUCAUGACCAGAGAAGUAAUGAAUAUCAUAAUGGAUCUGAACAUAUAAUCUUCCACCAAGUAAACCAACUAGCAUCAACGACAAAGAGUAAUCAACACUACUAGCAACCUUACGGGUACCAAUCGGCGUCGCGAGACGGCGAUUGGUUACAAGAGAUAGACUAGGGUUUGGAUAGGAGAUGGUGCUGAUGAAGAUGUUGAUGGAGAUGACUCCCCUCCGACGAGGGGAGUGUUGGUGAUGACGAUGGCGACGAUUUCCCCCUCCGGGAGAGAAGUUUACCCAACAGGAUCGUCCUGCCGAAGCUAUAGAUUGGUUCUGCUCAAGUUCCGCCUCGUGGCGGCGGCGCCUCCUCGAAAAAGCUCCGCCUUGAUUUUUUUCCCGACGAAAACCUUCAUAUAGCAGAAGAGGGGGGCCAGUGGGCCACCAGGGUGCCCACAAGCCCUGUAGUCGCGGCCAGGGGGGCAGGCCGCGGCUACCAGGGUUGUGGGCCCCUGGUAGCUCCCCUCUGGCACUUCUUUCGCCUAGUAUUUUUUUAUAUUCCCAAAAAAUUCCAUGUUGAUUUUCAGGGCAUUUGGAGUUGCGCAAAACAGAGGACUCAGACUUGCUCCUUUUCCAGUCCAGAAUUCCAGCCGCCGAUAUUCUCCCUCUUCAAAUAAACCUUGCAAAAUAAGAGAGAAAAGGCAUAAGUAUGGUACCACAAAGUAUAAUAACAAUCCAUAAAGCGAUAAAUAUCAACAUGAAAGCAUGAUACAAAAUGGACGUAUCAGGCAACGAGCUUGUGCAUGGCUGAGCCGCUGCGUGCGUGUGCUGCGUCGAUCGGGUUGCUGCUCUCUAUGGCGUCGGGCGUGCUCCCGCUCGAUCGAUGCGCAUGCAUGCAGUGUCGGUCCAACGGGCGAGCGAGGGGAGGCAGGGCUAUGGGCGAGCGAGGGGAGGUAGGGCUACUCGCAUGCAUGCAAGGCUGGUACGUUGUGAGGUCCAACGGAUAAAAGGGUGGGCCGCCUUUAAUUAAGCCCAACAACGCAUGCACGCGUCUUCUCAUACAGCAAUAAAAAAGAGGGCUAAAAAGGCCAGCCAAUCAGAGUGAAGGCCACGGAUCGCUGCUGACGUAGCCCUAAUGCGCGAUCCAGACCGUCCAUUCACGGUGAUCCAAUGGUCCGAUGGGGUGCUGGGUUUUGAGAGGUUUGGACGGGGUUUUGAUGGGGUUUUGAGAGGUUUUCAAGGGUUAGGGUACAGCAUAGCUAAUUCAAAAAAAUUAAAAAAAUAUAAAACUUGUGCCAAUCAUCAUUAUAUGUGAUUAGGUUGCUAGGAAAAAUAAUAAACUUGGACUAUGAAGUUUUUCAUGAAAAGCCCUUCACAAAAGUGGCUAUCACGUACGAGGUUGUACGGUUUUCAAAAGUUAGGGUUGAAUAUAACUAAUUCAAAAAAAAUCAAAAAAAUAUAUAACUUGUGCCAAUCAUCUUCCUAUGUGACUAGGUUUCUAGGAUAAAUAAUAAACUUGGACUAUGAAGUUUUUCAUGAAAAACCCUUUACAAAAGUGGCUAUCACGUACGAGGUUGUACGGUUUUCAAAAAUUAGGGUUGACUAUAACUAAUUCAAAAAAAUAUAAAACUUGUGCCAAUCAUCAUUAUAUGUGACUAGGUUGCUAAGGAAAAUAAUAAACUUGGACUAUGAAAUUUUUCAUGAAAAACCCUUCACAAAAGUGGCUAUCACGUACGAGGUUGUACGAUUUUUUAAAGUUAGGGUUGACUAUAACUAAUUCAAAAAAAAUCAAAAAAAUAUAAAACUUGUGUCAAUCAUCAUUAUAUGUGACUAGGUUGCUAGGAAAAAUAAUAAACUUGGACUAUGAAAUUUUUCAUGAAAAACCCUUCACAAAAGUGGCUAUCACGUACGAGGUCGUACGAUUUUCAAAAGUUAGGGUUGACUAUAACUAAUUCAAAGAAAAUUAAAAAAAUAUAAAACUUGUGCCAAUCAUCUUUCUAUAUGACUAAGAUGACAAGUUUCAUUUUUUGGCUCAUUUGGAGAAGGUCGAAAAAAACUUGCUUACAAAUGGGGCUUUGCACGGGGGCUUGGAGGGGGUUUUGGAGCUCAUUUGGAGCACAUUUUUCAUGUCCAAAGUUUCACAUAAUAAAAGUUCUCCGAUUAAUCACCUAACAUGUGUAAUAGUACGUAAAUCAUUGUAACACCAUACCACAUACCAAAUAACUUCAAAUUUGAAUUUUGGCUCAAAUUUGAAUUUUGGCUCAAAUUUGAAUUUUGUCUCAAACUUGAAAUUUGUCUCAAACUUGAAUAGUAUUACACAAAUACAUUUCAUAUGAAAAAUACAACACCAUACCACAUACCAAAUAACUUCAAAUUUGAAUUUUGGCUCAAAUUUGAAUUUUGUCUCAAAGUGGAAAUUUGUCUCAAACUUGAAUAGUAUUACACAAAUACAUUUCAUAUGAAAAAUACAAUUUCACGCAAAGUUUUAUUCUAUAGCAUAGUACAACACCCAGUUCACUUCACUUCAGCUUCUUCUUCUUCUUUUUAUCAGUGCUUCUCUUUACCACUAUACCCAGUUCACUCAAGCUCUUGGUUUUCAUCACUGCAUCAGUUGGAAUAUCAUCAAGCUCAAUUGGCAACAGAACUUCCAAUAUAGGCUUAGUUGGCACCACAUCUUCUGAAAAAACAGGGUUAGGCAACACAACUUCUAAUAUAGGCUCAGCUUGCACAACAUCAGCUGGAAGAUAAUCAUUUGGCACCAGAUCCAUAUCUUGCUCAUUUUGCACCCACAUCUUCUGGAAAAACAGGGUUAGGCAACACAACUUCUAAUAUAGGCUCAGUUUGCACAACAUCAGUUGGAAGAUUAUCAUUUGGCACCACAUCCAUAUCUUGCUCAUUUUGCACCACAUCUUGAUUUUGCAACACAUCCAAGUCUUGCUCAUUUUGGACCACAUCUUCAUUUUGGAACACAUCCAAGUCUUGUUGCUCAUUUUGCAGCACAUCCAAGUCUUGCUCAUUUUGCUCAGUUUGCAUUGUUUCACCAUAACUUCUCUUUUUUCUACAACCAUUGCCUCUUGUCUUUUUCUUUGGCCAGCAAUCUUCAACAACAAGGGGCUCAGCUGCACACUUCCUCCUAAAAAAUUUAAGCAUGUCAAUUGGUUUGUAAUUGAAAAAUGCAGCCAAAUAGUAAACAUAAAAAACAUUAGCACACAUACUUUGGCCUUUUAGGAGUGUAACAACACUUGGAAGAUCCAGCUCGGUGCCCAAGUUCCUGGCACAACUUGCAUCUAUUUUUGUUACCUUUUUGGGACCUUUUUGGUUUUCCAUCCUUCUUUCCCUUCCCUUUUUUACUACUCCCACCUCUCUCAAACCAUGCCUUGAAUCUGCUCUCUUUAGGCCUACCAGCCUUUCUUUUUGUUAGGGGAGGACACAUGGAAAAUUCUAUGUCCACUUCAGGCCACUGAGACUGAUCUGUAAGUGCUGGAAUUGGAGUUGCAUAUGCAGCCUUGAAUUUUGCUACUGAGUAAUAUUCGUGCAAAUAAGGGUGCAUGUUUAUCUUUGGUCGGGAGGCCAAGAAAAGUAUGGCAUGAUCACAUGGUUUCGUAGUGUGUUGCCACUCCAAACAAGUGCACUCAUGCAUUUCAGUGUUAACAACAUGCCUUCUACUAGUUUUGGUAUCUCUAACUUCAACACCCCACACAGAAGAUUUUUCAACAGAUAAAUGUGUAAGAUUUCUGCUCCUGUUGAUCACCUGUUGUACCACUGCAGGAAGCUUGUCCCCUUGCAGACAAUCACCAAUCCUUCUUCUCAAUUCCCACAAGCGCACGAUCAUGAUCCUGAUUUGGUCAACCAUGUCAUGCACAGGCAGGUUUUUCAACUGCUUCACCUUGUUGUUAAAACUUUCUGCCAAGCUGUUGUUGAUAUGAUCACAGUUGAUGGCAGUGUUAAAUCCUGACCUAUACCAUAAUAGAGAAUGGUAGGUGUUCACCCAUGGACCAAAUUCAGGGCAUGCUGUCAUUAUCUUACCAAGAUGAUAUGAAAUGUCUGUUUAGUGUAAGAUCUUGCUGCUGGCCACAUGCGACCAAAUUCUUCCCCUCUGAACUUUUUGAUCAAAUUCAUCCACAUAUGGCCGAAGCACUCUCUCUGCUCACAAUGGGGGAACACAUUCUUGAGUGCAUUUUCUAGCCCUUUGCAUGCAUCUGUGUGGACUGCCAAAGGUGACACUGGACCUAUGCAUCUCUUCAACUGCAUCAUGAACCAUGUCCAUGAGACCUCUGUUUCUGACUGAAACAAGCCAAUAGCAACAGGGAACAUCCAGUUGUGUCCAUCUAAAGCAUUGCAAGCUGUCAAUUGACCAUUCCAUUUGCCGGUCAAAAAUGAAGAGUCUAUGCUCAAAUAUGGACGACAAUCUGCCUUGAAUCCAUCGAUGCAAGGCUUUAAAGCCAUAAAAAACUUUCACCAUAUAAUUCUUUCAUUUCCCUUUGUUUUGCCUUCCACAUUGUGUUAUACUUCACCUUAAUUGGGUACUGCUUUUCCAAGUCUACUUUAAGUUUCUUUGCAGUAGUAUUUGGUUUCUUGGCUAAAAUAGGAGUGAUCUUUUCUGCAAUCCAAAGUUGUGAUGUCAUGGUUGAUACUCUUUGUGAACUUGUAAUACAAGUAUGUUGGUGUGGGAUUUGAUUGAACCUAAUGGUACUUCCAUCAGGUUGGCGUCUAGCAGAUAUGUACCACUUGCAAGGCUUGACACUUUCAUCAAAACCUCUGCAUCUUGCAUAAAACUUUUUUCUGUCAGUCCACUUUGUUUUGGCAUCAAACUCAUGUUUGAUGGCAUAAGUCAUGAAACACAUUCUAAAUUCAUCCAUGUUUGGGAACAACUUCCCUACUGCAAUAACAGGGUUUUCCUUGUCAUAGACAUUUACCAACUCGUCAUCAUGUGCAUCAUCAACAUCAUCUGCAGCAUCUUCCAUCAGCUGUCCAUCCACAUCUUCACAUAUAUCUCUUUUAGCAUCAGUAAGCAUACUAGUUUCAUCAUUCUCUUCCUUAUCUUCAUCAGGUACUGGAAUGUCAAAAAAUUUGGCCAUCUCAGUGUCAUCCAUUGGUGCAAUGACUAAAUCAGUUGGUUCAUUUAAUUCAACCGAAUUCCAAUCAACAGAAAGAACCCUUGCAACACCAUCAGAGCCCUCUUGUGCAUCUGCAUCAGCCCCCUCAUGUAAUACUGUCACCUCACCUGUACACAUGGGCAUUAUCUGCCUCUCUGAAGCCCAAUUAUCAUCUACCAUUUGAGCAACCAAUUUUGAGGGAACAUAUCCAACCUUAGAAUCUGAUUUCAGAUCAACCAGCUCUACACGAAACGUAGUUUGUUUGGUUGUCAAGCCAUUUUUUCGAUCGAUUUCAUCAACCAUCUCUUCGCCAUCCUCAAUUCUCACACACUCUCCUUUCCAAUUAUCAAACCAUAACAAUGCUACCUCUUGCUGUGGACCCCAAAAAAUGCUCUCCCCAAUUUUUGCCACCACAUUCCUCACGACCUUCUCUUCCAUGCUCUGUAGUUCUUGUGGAUCAAUCUCUGAUAAUUCAACCUCCCAUUUCACAAUAGUAUCUCCCUCUAUGUCCCGCACGCUACCAUCACCUAGCUUCGCCUUAGAAGUAAAGAAUUCGAUAGUGAAUUCAAAUGUCCGAGCAUCAUCGGCCCUGUUUUUCAAUGGCGCGCACUGUGAGCUAGCGGAAGGAGACGGGGCACAAAUCGCAUAGGAUGGAAAGGAUGCACAGAUUACCUAGUCAACGUUGUUGUUGUCUCUGGCGGCUCCAUCACCUUUAGCCCCCUCCGCCCCACCCAAAUCUGGAUCACAUCGACCAAAGAAAACAGAGGAGGGAAACAUGAACUGCAGUGAGAUCUAACUCGACACAGAAGGGAACGGGCUGGACAAGGGUUCUGGAUUCACUCACCACAGUCGCCGAGAUCGAAAGCUCCACCGCUACAACAAAAGCGUCGCCGCCGUCUUCGGCUCACCUCCGGGAACGGAAAGGAGGGAGCAACAGAGCUUCAGACGGGCGGUUCACACAGACAGGCCAGGCACGGGGACACGUCUCACCCGAUGCACUGCCAAGUGGGGCCCGUAAGUAGAUGCACUGUCAAGUGGGGCCGUAAGUAGAUGCACUGCCAAGUAGGACCCACAUGUCUUAACAUAACCUCACUCCCGUUGACGACCAUUUUAAUCGCUCGAGUGGGCCUUUGGCUAUUUGGGCCAGAGAAACGUCGCACAGGAUCCAAUUCGCAUCAAAUGUGUUGCACAGGAUCCAAUUCGCAUCAAAUGUGUCGCACAAGAGCUAUUGACCCAAGGAAACGAGGGAGACGAGGGGACCUCCCUUCAGGCGCUACUAAGGGAACGGGCGCGUGCAGCGGCCCUCUUCGUGGGCCGGCUCAUAUUAAAUUCGUUAGUUAGUAAAAAAUUGAAAAGAGUUCAAAGAAUUUUCAAAAAGUAUAGAUUUUUGGAAAAAAAUCAAUGAUUAUGGAAAAAAGUUCACCGAUUUUUGGAAAUAUGUUUAUGAACUUUCGAAAAGUUCACAGAAUUCGAAAACAAAUAUCAUCGAUUUUGAAAAAAAGUUCAUCAAUUUCCGAAAAUAGUUCACUGAUUUCAAAAAAAGUUCAUGAAUUUUAAAUUAUGUUCAUCACUUUUCAAAAAAGUUCAUGGAUUUCAAAAAAAGUUCAACGAUUUUCAAAGAAAUUCACCGAUUUUAAAAAAGUUCGCGGGCUAAAACAGUUCACCGACAAAAAAAGUUCAUGAAGAAUUUUCAGAUGGGCGAGCCCAUUGUGUAGCGCUGCACGCGCCGGUUAGCACAUUUUGACUUUACCAAGCCAAGCGCCUCUUUUUCCCACAGGGGUCAUGUAAAUACUGGGCCAAUGCAGCCAAGGCCUUAUGGCUCUGUGUCAGGAAAAAAUAAAUAAACUAUGGUCCGUGUUGACCUUUAGAGGCUUUAUUACAAUCUUGAUUGAAUUUCGCCAUCGGUUAUGGGAGCUGAGAGCAACUAGUUGGCGCUUAUUCGGAGCCUCCCAACGAUUAAUACCUGACGCAUUUUUAGCUAUCUUCAUGUAUGGCGUGUUCAAUAUUUUCUUUAGAUUUUUAUUUUCUAUUUUUAGUUUCACAUAUUUUCGACUUUUUAGAUGGGGUUUUUUGGGUUUUCUCGGUGUUUGGUUUUUCACCGGUAUUUCUUAGCUUUUGGAUGAAAAAAAAUAAAAAAUAUCUGAAAAAACAUAUUUCCUUUUUUCUUUCUCUCUUCAAAAGCACGAAUUUUCUUGCUCAGGAACGGAAAAAAUACGUAUCUUUUUCUUUUGAGAGAGGCACAGUUUUUCUUUGCGAGAGACACGGAUUGGUUUCGGAAGAGGCACGGUCAUGCCUCUUGGNNNNNNNNNNNNNNNNNNNNNNNNNNNNAUGUGUUUUCUGUUGUUUUUUCUUUCACGAAAGGAACGGUUUUUCUUUUAUGAGAUACACAGAUUUGCUUUUGCGAGAGGCACGGCCGUGUUUCUCGAAAACGAAAAAACAUGUGUUUUUGUUUUUUUGUGAAAGACACGAUUUGCUUUCAUGAAAGGCACAGGUUUGCUUCCGCGAGAGGCAUAGUCGUGCCUCUCGGGGACGAAAAAAAACGUGUGUUUUGAGCUUUCGCGGAAGGAACGGUUUUCGAGUCCAGUUUUUCUAUUCGUUUUUUUUUCGUGAAAAGAAGUUCGUUAAAACCUAUUAACAUGAGAUCUUGUUUUAAAGAUCUCGAGCGAAGAAUACAACGAUGAAAAUAGUUCAAGAUUUGGACAUACGGUUUAAGAGAUAAAAUAUUAUGAAAAUAAGGAUCUACGAAAAAAAACGAAAACUUUUCAUAACCUGGUUAGAUGGGAGUGAUCUUUGAAAGGAAUACUCCUCAAUUAGUUAUUUCGCCUCAUAUUCGACGUUCUGAGAUUGGAGCUCCUGGAUGGCACGUGGGGCUAGCACCGGCGUCCACGUGGAAAGAGAGAGAGAGCGCACGAAGGUGGGCUGCGAGAGGGGGCCGGCCGGCUACGCUAGCUGGGCCAUCGAUGUUGUUGUGCUGUUGGGUUGUUGCUUGCCAUGUGAGCGACAGGUGGCCACCUCUCAUACUUCUUAGCUCCAGUACUUUUUAUAUAUUUCAAAAAUAUUCUUCUCAUUUGGAGUUCAGGAAAAUAGGUAUAUUUGAUGUAGCUUUUUUAGGUCCAGAAUUCCAGCUGUCGGUAAUGUUCCUCUCCAUGUAAACCUUGUAAAUUCAAAGAGAAAAGGCAUUAAAAUUAUAUCAUAAAGUUUAAUAAUGACCAAAAGAAAUAUAAGUAACAAUAUCAAAUCAUGAUGCAAAAAUAGACGUAUCACCUCUAUUGCUACUGUCGCUACGAAGGGAGAAGGGGUGUGUCAUGUCACUCGAUUCCACAACCACAAAAUUAGCCAGCUGUAAUAAUCUUCCGUCCAAAGUUGGCAUACGUUAGAUGUGCGACUUCAACCAACGUCAAGAAGAUUAUGAACAUAAACAUGCAAAAAGGGAUAUUAAGUCCUAAUACCAAACAACCUAUUACAUACUAGGGUGUACUCCCUGAGAACAACAGGUCUACUUACACAUGGGAAUGACAAAUCAUCAUGGUAAUGAUAAUGGAGUACAUGGAUGGACGAAUCAAUCGAUACAUCGAAGGAUCCACUAGGGUUCUUAAUGUUGCACAUGAUAAGGGUGCGGAUGAGAUGACAAUGGUUAUGAAGAUAGUGAUGAUGACUUCAUUCCCUUCAUGGUGAGAGUGACCCCCUCCUCCUAGUUAAUCCUCCCUCCGCAUGGGCUCCGGAGGCUAGGGUUCUGCCUUGUAGAUGAGUUUCUGGAGUCUGUGCACGUGUGAUUCACGAUCCGCUUCGACGGGGUAAAAAUAGCUGAUCUUCCACAGGGAUCGGCGCGCCAAACGACCGCUCAUGCGAGCAUGCGGUCGCAUGGAACGACGUCGUUCGCUCUUGAAGUGCGACAACGACUAUUUCUUUGGUCUUCUUACUUGAUUUUUUUAUGGAAAAUGUUUAUCACCUUUAAUACAUGAUUCUAAUGUUAUUUUUGGAAAUUUUCUCCAAAUAAAUAUUGCUUCAAAAGCCAUUACAUGAGGGAUUAUCAACAAAAAAAAGUGCACGAACACUGUAAAAUUCCACAAAGCCUACAAAAUUGCCACAAAAAAAAACGGUGAAGAGGUCUCAAAAUUUAGACUCAUCAGCCGACCCGUUUAACCUUUUCAUUUCAUAUUAAAGAAAAAAAUGAUGCGACAACAGGGAUUAGAGAAGUAACCACUAAACCAUCAUGAUUAACAUGUUAAUUAGCUUCUUUUCAUCCUUUUGUCCUCUUUAGUUCGUGUAACUUNNNNNNNNNNNNNNNNNNNNNNNNNNNNNNNNNNNNNNNNNNNNNNNNNNNNNNNNNNNNNNNNNNNNNNNNNNNNNNNNNNNNNNNNNNNNNNNNNNNNGCCCAGGAGGGACGAGGCAGGGUGAGGGGAGGUGCGCUGCGGGGCAGGGGCAACCGGCGGCGUGGCAGGAGAGGGAAUCAGGCGAGGGGGAGGAUGUCGGGAUCGGGGGCUGCGAGAGGAGGGGGACGAGAGGAACAGGGACACGAGGAGGACGGCGCUCGGGAGGACGAGGAGAGCGGGGUGGUUCGCUAGGGCAGGGGAGGUCUGGGCCUUGGCCGACUGAGCCUUGGCGUGGGGUCCUCCCCCUUUGGGUUUUUUCUUUUUAACUUUUAAAACAAAAAAAUUUAAAUAAAGAAAGGCUUUUAACAAAAAAUAAAAUAAAUGCCUUUGACCCCUUUUGAAAAAAAAAUAUUGCCAACUAUAAUAAAUAGUUGGGCAUUUUUAAAAGAAAUAAUAUAAAUCCUUUUGAAGAAUUAAAAUCAAAACCUUUUUUAAGAAUAAAAUAAACCUAUUUUAUUUAAAGAAUAAAAUAAAAGCGCUUUAAAAGAGAAAAGAAAAUGAUACGGAUUUAAAAUAAAACAAAAGGAGGAAAUAAAGAAAACCCAAGGGGUUGCCCCCACAUUUAAUAAAAGAAACUUUUAUUGAAAAGAAGAAGACGAACCCUUUUAACUAGGGGUUUAAAACGGGAAACUUUAGCAAACCGCAAAAACAAAAUAAGAGGGGAGAGGGGGAGUUCCUAUCGCACUAAGACUCGGUGAUCACUCGAAGCACAACACUCAAAACACCACACGUGACAGACGAUGCAAACUAAAUGAUGAUGCAACCAACAAAAUAAAAUAGCCACACGACGGAAACGGAAUAAAAGGGGGGAAUCUUCUGGAAUGUCGGUCUCAGGCUGUCACAACUCUCCUACACUACAAGAGGAUCUCGCCCCAAGAUCCAAGAAUGAAAGGGGGGAGAGGAUGAGAAAGCAAGAGGUAAAAACUUAGUCGCUUCUUUGACAAACUAGUGAAACCAACGAUCCUUGAAAGUUGCAAAGAGAUGAGGAAUGAUAUGAGAAAGAAGCAAGAAUUCACGGAAAAUUUCGGUAGCACUUCGGUAGGAAAAUGGGACAAAAAAUUCGAUAAGAAGGAAGAAAUAGACAAUAUUCACAACCAACAACUAAAUAGAACGAGGGAACACCACAAUCUUGAUAGAACAAGAUAAUAGACCCAAAAGAGCAACAUCAUAAUGCCUCCGGAACAAGAGAAUAUGACUAGCUCAAGCAGAAGAAGAGAAUGAAGAAAAGAAUGCCAACUAUCAUCACAAUAGAAUUGAAGAGCCUCCGGACAGAGAAUUGAUGUAGCAAUUGGAAAUCCAACAACGAAAAGAACAAGAUAGUAGUGGGCUUAUGAAAAUCAUCUCAACAAAUAUGAGGUGACAACCAACCACUAAAAGAAACAAGGAUAGCUUAGGAGCAACAAGAAAUCAAAACUUCUUACACCAAGAGGAUACAUUGAGAACUGGGAUUAAUGACAAGCACCAUGAUAGCACAAUCCAUAGGAAAAGCUUUAGGUGAAGUCCAAACCAAGAUAGCUCAAUGAAGAAAUCAUGGGUUGAAAAUAUCUCAUGAUCAUAGAAUUGGUGGGUUUAAUUAUCUCAUUCUUGAAGGAAAAACUCUUCGAGGAUCCUACACUAACAAGAAAGCUAUAAUACCACCUCAAAGGAUAAAGGAAGAACAAUUGCACUGAAAUGCAAGGGAAAGAAUGUUUGAGGUACUCCAACAAGAAUCUUGAAGAACACUUGAGAAUGGAUUGAAACCUUGAUGAACCACCAUGAAGGACCUUCGUAUACAAAUGAAUGAUGCAACGAUAUGAAGGUAGACAAGAAUAAGAUUAUGACCUUGCCAAGAUUUAGAUGAAGCUUCACAAAGAGAUACUUGAGAAAACUUGGAACUCCGGAAAAUAAAAGAUAAUAACACUUGAGAAAAAGGAAUUGAUAUCAUGAGGCACUCCAGAAGAAAUAUUGAAAUCACUAUGAAACAGGAAUAAGAAUUAUGUUAUGCUUAUCCUUCAUCAAGUUUAAUUGAUGACAAGCAAUGGAUUUAGCGUACCACUUAUUCUUGAAAGAAUCUUGAAGAGGUAGAUAGAUAAGCACCAUUUGAGGCAAAAUUGAAGGAAGCACCGGUAAGAAUUCACAAAUAAAUGGGAACACCACGAAUUAAUGGAGAUACAUGAGAAUGAAGAGAUCAUGAGCCACCCGAGAGAAAACUUGAACAAGGCACCAGAUAAACGAGAGACGGCGAAGAGACAACAAUGGAGAAGAACUGAGGAUGAAAGUUGAAAGCUGAGAACGAAGAAUCUUCUGAAAUGAUGGCCUUCAGAGGAACGAGAAAUAAAAACAACUCAGAAAUGCACCGGAUAGCACGAAAGGGAUUACUCACGAUUGACAACAAUUAAAAUGAUGGCACAAAGCUGAAAUGACGAAUAUCCACGAGAAUGAACCAAGAUUGAGAGAAACACUCCUUCGAAUUUGCAGGCUGAGAAUGAUGACGAGAAACAACACCAAGAAUAGCUGAGACACUCCGGAAUAAAGAAGAAUGAAAGGUUGAGCCAAAAUGAGAAUUAAUUCAAAUUGAACUUGAAGAAUGAAUAUGACUGAUGAAAAUCAUACUUACGUCAUAGUUGAAAGAAUUAAGGAUCUCCGGAAAAGAUUACAAGAGCUAAAAGAUCCUGGGAAAAACCUGUGGGUUAUGGGCCCACUCAAAGAAACCACCGUUGAAAAGAUUGCUAGAAAGAGGGAUAUUGCACCGGUACAAUGAAAACUUGAUGAGGUUGAGCACCUUGCAAUAAUUGGAAAAUUUGAAAACAAGAACUCUCAGACAUCUUCAACACUCCGGAUAGAAUAGAGAGAAAUGACAGCAAGAUCGACUGAUAAAAAAAUCCAACAUAGGAAAGAAUUACAAGGAUGAAAAGGAUAUGAUGACACGGACAACUGAAUUGAAUUCACCGGAAAAAAUAACACGACUNNNNNNNNNNNNNNNNNNNNNNNNNNNNNNNNNNNNNNNNNNNNNNNNNNNNNNNNNNNNNNNNNNNNNNNNNNNNNNNNNNNNNNNNNNNNNNNNNNNNUGUUGGAAUUAUGCCCUAGAGGCAAUAAUAAAUAUAUAGUUAUUAUUAUAAUUCCUGUAUCAAGAUAAUAGUUUAUUAUCCAUGCUAUAAUUGUAUUGAAUGAAGACUCAUUUACAUGUGUGGAUACAUAGACAAAACACCGUCCCUAGCAUGCCUCUAGUUGGCUAGCCAGUUGAUCGAUGAUAGUCAGUGUCUUCUGAUUAUGAACAAGGUGUUGUUGCUUGAUAACUGGAUCACGUCAUUGGGAGAAUCACGUGAUGGACUAGACCCAAACUAAUAGACGUAGCAUGUUGAUCGUGUCAUUUUGUUGCUACUGUUUUCUGCGUGUCAAGUAUUUAUUCCUAUGACCAUGAGAUCAUAUAACUCACUGACACCGGAGGAAUGCUUUGUGUGUAUCAAACGUCGCAACGUAACUGGGUGACUAUAAAGAUGCUCUACAGGUAUCUCCGAAGGUGUUAGUUGAGUUAGUAUGGAUCAAGACUGGGAUUUGUCACUCCGUGUGAACGGAGAGGUAUCUCGGGGCCCACUCGGUAAUACAACAUCACACACAAGCCUUGCAAGCAAUGUAACUUAGUGUAAGUUGCGGGAUCUUGUAUUACGGAACGAGUAAAGAGACUUGCCAGUAAACGAGAUUGAAAUAGGUAUACGGAUACUGACGAUCGAAUCUCGGGCAAAUAACAUACUGAAGGACAAAGGGAAUGACAUACGGGAUUAUAUGAAUCCUUGGCACUGAGGUUCAAACGAUAAGAUCUUCGUAGAAUAUGUAGGAUCCAAUAUGGGCAUCCAGGUCCCGCUAUUGGAUAUUGACCGAGGAGUCUCUCGGGUCAUGUCUACAUAGUUCUCGAACCCGCAGGGUCUGCACACUUAAGGUUCGACGUUGUUUUAUGCGUAUUUGAGUUAUAUGGUUGGUUACCGAAUGUUGUUCGGAGUCCCGGAUGAGAUCCAGGACGUCACGAGGAGCUCCGGAAUGGUCCGGAGGUAAAGAUUGAUAUAUAGGAAGUCCUGUUUUGGUCACCGGAAAAGUUUCGGGCUCAUCGGUAGUGUACCGGGAGUGCCGGGAGGGGUGCCGGGGACCAUCGGGAGGGGUGUCACGCCCCAAGGGGUCUCAUGGGCUAUGGGAAGAGAUAAACCAGCCCCUAGUGGGCUGGAAUAAGUUCCCACUAAGGCCCAUAAGGUUUGAGAAGGAAAAAACACAAGGUGGAAAGAGUUUCCAAGUGGGAAGGUGGAAUCCUACUNNNNNNNNNNNNNNNNNNNNNNNNNNNNNNNNNNNNNNNNNNNNNNNNNNNNNNNNNNNNNNNNNNNNNNNNNNNNNNNNNNNNNNNNNNNNNNNNNNNNAGGGACGUGAGGACGUUCCACUACAUCAACCGCGUUCUCUAACGCUUCUGCUGUAUGAUCUACAAGGGUACGUAGAUCACUCAUCCCCUCUCGUAGAUGGACAUCACCAUGAUAGGUCUUCGUGACGUUCCCCAACAGUGGUAUCAGAGCUAGGUUCAUGCGUAGAUGUCUUCUCGAGUAGAACACAAAAGUUUUUGUGGGCGGUGAUGUGCGUUUUGCUGCCCUCCUUAGUCUUUUCUUGAUUCCGCGGUAUUGUUGGAUUGAAGCGGCUUGGACCGACAUUACUCGUACGCUUACGAGAGACUGGUUUCAUCGUUACGAGUAACCCCCUUUGCUCAAAGAUGACUGGCAAGUGACGGUUUCUCCAACUUUAGUUGGAAUCGGAUUUGACCGAGGAGGUCCUUGGAUGAGGUUAAAUAGCAACUCAUAUAUCUCCGUUGUGGUGUUUGCGUAAGUAAGAUGCGAUCCUACUAGAUACCCUUGGUCACCACGUAAAACAUGCAACAACAAAAUUAGAGGACGUCUAACUUGUUUUUGCAGGGUAUGAUUGUGAUGUGAUAUGGCCAAUGAUGUGAUGUGAUAUAUUGGAUGUAUGAGAUGAUCAUGUUGUAAUAGAAAUAUCGACUUGCACGUCGAUGGUACGGCAACCGGCAGGAGCCAUAGGGUUGUCUUUAUACUAAUAUAUGUGCUUGCAGAUGCGUUUACUAUUUUGCUAGGAUGUAGCUUUAGUAGUAAUAGCGUAAGUAGCACGACAACCACGAUGGCAACACGUUGAUGGAUGAUCAUGGUGUGGCGCCGGUGACAAGAAGAUCGUGCCGGUGCUUUGGUGAUGGAGAUCAAGAAGCACGUGAUGAUGGCCAUAUCAUGUCACUUAUGAAUUGCAUGUGAUGUUAAUCCUUUUAUGCACCUUAUUUUGCUUAGAACAACGGUAGCAUUAUGAGGUGAUCUCUCACUAAAAUUUCAAGACGAAAUUGUGUUCUCCCCGACUGUGCACCGUUGCUACAGUUCGUCGUUUCGAGACACCACGUGAUGAUCGGGUGUGAUAGACUCAACGUUCACAUACAACGGGUGCAAAACAGUUGCGCACGCGGAACACUCGGGUUAAGCUUGACGAGCCUAGCAUGUGCAGACAUGGCCUCGGAACACAUGAGACCGAAAGAUCGAGCAUGAAUCGUAUAGUUGAUAUGAUUAGCAUAGAGAUGCUUACCACUGAAACUAUUCUCGACUCACGUGAUGAUCGGACUUGAGAUAGUGGAUUUGGAUCAUGUACCACUCAAAUGACUAGGGAGAUGUACUUUUUGAGUGGGAGUUCUUAAGUAAUAUGAUUAAUUGAACUAAUUGUCAUGAACAUAGUCUAAUGGUCUUUGCGAAUUACGAUGUAGCUUGCGCUAUAGCUCUACUGUUUUUAUAUGUUCCUAGAGAAAAUUUAGUUGAAAAUUGAUAGUAGCAAACUUUGCAGACUGAGUCUGUAAAACCGAGGAUUGUCCUCGUUGCUGCACAGAAGGCUUAUGUCCUUAAUGCACCACUCGGUGUGCUGCACCUCGAGCGUCGUCUGUGGAUGCUGUGAACAUCCGAACUACACGUUACUGAUGACUACACGAUAGUUCAGUGCAAAGUACUUAAUGGCUUAGAAGCAAGGCACCGAAAACGUUUUAAAACGUCACGGAACAUAAGUGAUGUUCUAAAGAGAUGAAAUUGUGAUUUCAUGCUUGUGCCCUUGUUAAGAGGUACGAGACCUCCAACAAGAUUCUUUGACCACAAAUUAAAGGAGAAAAGGUCAAUCGUUGAGCAUGUGCUCAGAUUGUCUGAGUACGACAAUCACUUGAAUCAAGUGGGAGCUAAUCUUCGAGAUGAGAUAGUGAUGGUUCUCCAAAAGUCGCUGCCACCAAGCUUUGAGAGCUUCGUGAUGAACUAUAACAUAUCAAGGAUAGAUACAAUGAUCCUUGAGCGAUUCGCGAUGUUUGACACUGCGAAAGUAGAAAUCAAGAAGGAGCAUCAAUAGUUGAUGGUUUGGAAAACCACUAAGUUUCAAGAAAGGCGAGGGCUAGAAGGGAUACCUCGUGAAACGGCAAAACAGUUGCUGCGCUAAUGAAGAGACCCAAGAUUAAACCCAAACCCGAGACUAAGUGCUUCUGUAAUAAGGGGAACAGUCACUGAGGCGGAGCAACUCUGGAUACUUGGUAGAUAAAGAAGGCUGGCAAAAGUCGAGAGAAGUAUAUUUGAUAUACAUAAUGUUGAUGUGUACUUUACUAGUACUCCUAGUAGCACAAGGGUAUUGGAUACCGGUUCGGUUGCUAAGUGAUUAGUAACGCGAAAUGAAAGCUACGACAUAAACGGAGACUAGCUAAAGGCGAGGUGACGAUACGUGUUGGAAGUGUUUCCAAGGUUGAUAUGAUCAAACGUCGCACGCUCCCUCUACCAUCGGGAUUGGUGUUGAACCUAAAUAAUUGUUAUUUGGUGCUUGCGUUAGGCAUGAACAUGAUUGGAUCGUGUUUAUUGCAAUACGAUUAUUCAUUCAAAGAGAAUAAUGGUUACUCUAUUUGCUUGAAUAAUCACCUUCAAUGGUUUAUUGAAUCUCGAUUGUAGUGUUACACAUUGGUGCCAAAAGAUACGAGUUAAUGAUGAUAGUACCACUUACUUGUGGCACUGCCGCUUGAGUCAUGUUAGUAUAAAUUGCAUGAAGAGGGGCCAUGCUGAUGGAUCUUUACUCACCUGAUUGCGAAUCACUAGUGACAUGCAAAUCAUACCACAUGAGCAAGGCCUUGUUUUCAUUGAGAUGAAACAAGAUAGUAACUUGUUGGAAGUGAUACAUUUUGAUGUAUGCAGUCCAAUGAGUGCUGAGGCACGCAGUGGAUAUCAUUAUGUUCUUACUUCACUUACGACUUGAGUAGAUACAGGAGUAUUUACUUAAUGAAUCACAAGUCUGAAAUACUGAAAAGUUCAAUUCCGUUUCAGAGUGAAGUUCGUCGUAACAAGAGGAUGAACUGUCUACGAUAUGAUCAUAGAAAUGAAUAUCUGAGUUACGAGUUUUUGGUACACAAUUAAGACAAUGUGGAAAUUGUUUCACAGUUCAUGCCACCUGGAACAUCAUAGUGUGAUGAUGUGUCUGAACGUCAUAGCCACGCACUAUUUAGUAUGGUGCAUGCUGUGAUGUCUCUUAUUGAAUUACCACUAUCGUUUAUGGGUUAUGCAUUAGAGACAACCGCAUUCACUUUAAAUAGGGCACCGCGUAUUUCCGUUGAGAUGACACAGUAUAGACUGAGGUUUAGAGAAAUCUAAACUGUCGUUUCUUGAAAGUUUGGGGCUUCGACACUUAUGUGAAAAAGUUUCAGCCUGAUAAGCUCGAACCCAAAGCGGAUAAAUGCAUCUUCAUAGGAUAUCCAAAACAGUUGGGUACAUCUCCUAUCUCAGAUCCGAAAGCAAAGUGUUUGUUUCUAGAAACGGAUCCUUUCUCGAGGAAAGGUUUCUCUCGAAAGAAUUGAGUGGGAGGGUAGUAGAACUUGAUGAGGUUAUUGAACCAUCACUUCAACCAGUGUGUAGCAGGGCAUAGGAAGUUGUUCCUGUGGCGCCUACACCAAUUGAAGUGGAAGCUGAUGAUGGUGAUUAUUGAGCUUCGAAUCAAGUUACUACAAACCUCGUAGGUCGACAAGGUCGCGUACUGCUGCAGAGUAGUAUGGUAACCCUGUCUUGGAGGUCAUGUUGUUGAGCAACAGUGAACCUACGAGUUAUGGAGAAAGCGAUGGUGGGCCCAGAUUCCGACAAAUGGCUGGAAGCCAUGAAAUCCGAGAGAGGAUCCAUGUAUGAAAACAAAGUGUAGACUUUGAAAGAACUACUUGAUGGUCAUAAGACUAUUGAGUAAAGAUGGAUCUUUAAAAGAAGAGAUGAUGGUGAUAAGUCACUAUUAAGAAAAGCUCGACUUGUCGCAAAGAUGUUUUCGACAAGAUCAAACAGUUGACUAUGAUGAGACUUUCUCACUCGUAGCGAUGCUAAAGGUCUGUUAGAAUUAUGUUAGUUGUUGAUGCAUUAUUUAUGAAAUAUUGCACGUAGGAUGUCAAAACAUUAUUUUCUCGACGGUUUCCUUGAGCAAACAUUGUAUGUGAUACAACGAGAAGGUUUUGUCGAUCCUAAAGAUACUAGCAAGUAUGCAAGCUCCAGUGAUCCUUCAAUGGACUAGUGCAAGCAUCUCGGAGUUGGAAUAUACACUUUGAUGAGAUGAUCAAAGUUUUUGGGUGUGUACAAGGUUUAUGAGAAACUUGUAUUUCCAAAGAAGUGAGUGGGAGCACUAUAGAAUUUCUGAUAGGUAUAUGUGGUUGACAUAUUGUGGAUCAGAAGUAAUGUAGAAUUUAUGUAAAGCAUACAAGGUUGUUUGAAAGAAGUUUUCAAAGGAGUACCUGGAUUACGCUACUUGAACGUUGAGCAUCAAAGAUCUAUGGAGAUAGAUCGAAAAACGCUUAAUAGAAGUUUCAACAAGAUGCAUGCCUUGACAAGUUUUUGAAAGAGUUCAAAAUAGAUCAGCAAAGAAGGAGUUCUUGGUUGCGUUGUGAGGUGUGAAUUUGAGUAAGACUCAAAACCCGACCACGGCAGAAUAAAAAGAAUAGACGAAGGUCGUCUUCUAUGCCUUAGCCGUAGAAUCUAAAGUAUGCCAUGCUGUGUACCGCACCUGAUGUGUGCCUUGACUCAAAGUCUGUUGAGGGUACAGAGAGUGAUCCAUGAUUGAAUCACUAGCAGCGGUCAAAAUUUAUCCUUAGUAACUAAUGGACUAAGGAAUUUUUCUCGAUUAUGGAGGUGGUUGAAGAGUUCGUCGUAAAGGGUUACGUUGAUGCAAGCUUUGACACUAAUCCGAAUAACUAUGAGUAGUGAAACGGAUUCGUAUAGUAGAGUAGAUAUUUGGAGCAUUUUCGAAUAGCACGUAGUAGCAGCAUCUAUAAGAUGACAUAAAAAUUUGUAAAGAACACACGGAUCUGAAAGUUUCAGAACCGUUGACUGAAAACUCUCUCACGAGCAAGACGUGAUCAGACCCCAGAACUAUAUGGGUGUUGGAUUCGUUGGAAUCACAUGGUGAUGUGAACUAGAUUAUUGACUCUAGUGCAAGUGGGAGACUGUUGGAAAUAUGCCCUAGAGGCAAUAAUAAAUUAGUUAUUAUUAUAUUUCUUAGUUCAUGAUAAUCGUUUAUUAUCCAUGCUAUAAUUGUAUUGAUUGGAAACACAAUACUUGUGUGGAUACAUAGACAAAACACUGUCCCUAGUAAGCCUCUAGUUGACUAGCUCGUUGAUCAAAGAUGGUCAAGGUUUCCUGGCCAUAGGCAAGUGUUGUCACUUGAUAACGGGAUCACAUCAUUAGGAGAAUCAUGUGAUGGACUAGACCCAAACUAAUAGACGUAGCAUGUUGCUCGUGUCAUUUUGUUGCUACUGUUUUCUGCAUGUCAAGUAUUUGUUCCUAUGACCAUGAGAUCAUAUAACUCACGGACACCGGAGGAAUGCUUUGUGUGUAUCAAACGUCGCAACGUAACUGGGUGACUAUAAAGAUGCUCUACAGGUAUCUCCGAAGGUGUUCGUUGAGCUAGUAUGGAUCAAGACUGGGAUUUGUCACUCCGUGUGACGGAGAGGUAUCUCGGGGCCCACUCGGUAAUACAACAUCACACACAAGCCUUGCAAGCAAUGUAACUUAGUGUAAGUUGCGGGAUCUUGUAUUACGGAACGAGUAAAGAGACUUGCCGGUAAACGAGGUUGAAAUAGGUAUACGGAUACUGACGAUCGAAUCUCGGGCAAGUAACAUACCGAAGGACAAAGGGAAUGACAUACGGGAUUAUACGAAUCCUUGGCACUGAGGUUCAAACGAUAAGAUCUUCGUAGAAUAUGUAGGAUCCAAUAUGGGCAUCCAGGUCCCGCUGUUGGAUAUUGACCGAGGAGUCUCUCGGGUCAUGUCUACAUAGUUCUCGAACCCGCAGGGUCUGCACACUUAAGGUUCGACGUUGUUUUAUGCGUAUUUGAGUUAUAUGGUUGGUUACCGAAUGUUGUUCGGAGUCCCGGAUGAGAUCACGGACGUCACGAGGGUUUCCGGAAUGGUCCGGAAACGAAGAUUGAUAUAUAGGAUGACCUCAUUUGAUUACCGGAAGGUUUUCGGAGUUACCGGGAAUGUACCGGGAAUGACGAAUGGGUUCCGGGAGUUCACCGGAGGGGGGCAACCCACUCCGGGGAAGCCCAUAGGCAUUUGGGGGGGUCACACCAGCCCUUAGUGGGCUGGUGGGACAGCCCACCAAUCCCCUAUGCGCCAAGAGAGAAAAAAUCAAAGGAAAGAAAAAAAAGAAGGAAGAAGUGGGAAGGGGGAAGGACUCCCUCCCACCAAACCAAGUAGGACUCGGUUUGGGGGGGGGGGAGAGUCCUCCCCCCUAGCUCGGCCGACCCCUUGGGGAUCCCUUGGACCCCAAGGCAAGGUCCCCCUCCCUCCUCCUAUAUAUAUGGGGCUUUUAGGGCAGAUUUGAGACGACUUUCUCACGGCUGCCCGACCACAUACCUCCAUAGUUUUCCCUCUAGAUCGUGUUUCUGCGGAGCUCGGGCGGAGCCCUGCUGAGACAAGAUCAUCACCAACCUCCGGAGCACCGUCACGCUGCCGGAGAACUCUUCUACCUCUCCGUCUCUCUUGCUGGAUCAAGAAGGCCGAGAUCAUCGUCGAGCUGUACGUGUGCUGAACGCGGAGGUGCCGUCCGUUCGGUACUAGAUCGUGGGACUGAUCGCGGGAUUGUUCGCGGGGCGGAUCGAGGGACGUGAGGACGUUCCACUACAUCAACCGCGUUCUCUAACGCUUCUGCUGUACGAUCUACAAGGGUACGUAGAUCACUCAUCCCCUCUCGUAGAUGGACAUCACCAUGAUAGGUCUUCGUGCGCGUAGGAAAAUUUUUGUUUCCCAUGCGACGUUCCCCAACAGGAGAGUCCUCCCCCUUGGCUCGGCCGACCCCCUUGAGGGUCCUUGGACCCCAAGGCAAGGCCCCCUCCCUCCCACCUAUAUAUACGGAGGUUUUAGGGCUGAUUUGAGAUGACUUUUCCACGGCAGCCCGACCACAUACCUCCACGGUUUUUCCUCUAGAUCGCGUUUCUGCGGAGCUCGGGCGGAGCCCUGCUGAGACAAGAUCAUCACCAACCUCCGGAGCGCCGUCACGCUGCCGGAGAACUCUUCUACCUCUCCGUCUCUCUUGCUGGAUCAAGAAGGCCGAGAUCAUCGUCGAGCUGUACGUGUGCUGAACGCGGAGGUGCCGUCCGUUCGGUACUAGAUCGUGGGACUGAUCGCGGGAUUGUUCGCGGGGCGGAUCGAGGGACGUGAGGACGUUCCACUACAUCAACCGCGUUCUCUAACGCUUCUGCUGUACGAUCUACAAGGGUACGUAGAUCACUCAUCCCCUCUCGUAGAUGGACAUCACCAUGAUAGGUCUUCGUGCGCGUAGGAAAAUUUUUGUUUCCCAUGCGACGUUCCCCAACAGUGGCAUCAUGAGCUAGGUUCAUGCGUAGAUGUCUUCUCGAGUAGAACACAAAAGGUUUUGUGGGCGGUGAUGUGCGUUUUGCUGCCCUCCUUAGUCUUUUCUUGAUUCCGCGGUAUUGUUGGAUUGAAGCGGCUUGGACCGACAUUACUCGUACGCUUACGAGAGACUGGUUUCAUCGUUACGAGUAACCCCCUUUGCUCAAAGAUGACUGGCAAGUGACGGUUUCUCCAACUUUAGUUGAAUCGGAUUUGACCGAGGAGGUCCUUGGAUGAGGUUAAAUAGCAACUCAUAUAUCUCCGUUGUGGUGUUUGCGUAAGUAAGAUGCGAUCCUACUAGAUACCCAUGGUCACCACGUAAAACAUGCAACAACAAAAUUAGAGGACGUCUAACUUGUUUUUGCAGGGUAUGCUUGUGAUGUGAUAUGGCCAACGAUGUGAUGUGAUAUAUUGGAUGUAUGAGAUGAUCAUGUUGUAAUAGAAAUAUCGACUUGCACGUCGAUGGUACGGCAACCGGCAGGAGCCAUAGGGUUGUCUUUAUACUAACGUUUGUGCUUGCAGAUGCGUUUACUAUUUUGCUAGGAUGUAGCUUUAGUAGUAAUAGCAUAAGUAGCACGACAACCCCGAUGGCAACACGUUGAUGGAUGAUCAUGGUGUGGCGCCGGUGACAAGAAGAUCGUGCCGGUGCUUUGGUGAUGGAGAUCAAGAAGCACGUGAAGAUGGCCAUAUCAUGUCACUUAUGAAUUGCAUGUGAUGUUAAUCCUUUUAUGCACCUUAUUUUGCUUAGAACGACGGUAGCAUUAUGAGGUGAUCUCUCACUAAAAUUUCAAGACGAAAUUGUGUUCUCCCCGACUGUGCACCGUUGCUACAGUUCGUCGUUUCGAGACACCACGUGAUGAUCGGGUGUGAUAGACUCAACGUUCACAUACAACGGGUGCAAAACAGUUGCGCACGCGGAACACUCGGGUUAAGCUUGACGAGCCUAGCAUGUGCGGACAUGGCCUCGGAACACAUGAGACCGAAAGGUCGAUCAUGAAUCAUAUAGUUGAUAUGAUUAGCAUAGGGAUGCUUACCACUGAAACUAUACUCAACUCACGUGAUGAUCGGACUUGGGAUAGUGUAAGUGGAUCAUGAACCACUCAAAUGACUAGAGAGAUGUACUUUUUGAGUGGGAGUUUAGCAUAUAAUUUGAUUAAGUUGAACUCUAAUUAUCUUGAACAUAGUCUAAGUCCACUUUGAAUAUAUUUGUGUUGUAGAUCAUGGCUCACGCGACAGUCAUCCUGAAUUUUAAUACGUUCCUAGAGAAAGCUAAGUUGAAAGAUGAUGGAAGCAACUUUGUAGACUGGGCUCGUAAUCUUAAGCUAAUCUUACAAGCUGGGAAGAAGGAUUAUGUCCUUAAUGCUGCGCUAGGAGAUGAACCACCCGCUAUGGCUGAUCAGGAUGUUAAGAACGCUUGGUUAGCACGUAAGGAGGACUACUCAAUAGUUCAAUGUGCAGUCUUGUAUGGCUUAGAACCGGGACUUCAACGUCGCUUUGAGCGUCAUGGAGCAUUUGAGAUGUUCCAGGAGUUGGAGUUUAUCUUUCAGAAGAACGCCCGGAUCGAGAGGUAUGAGACCUCCGAUAAAUUCUAUGCUUGCAAGAUGGAGGAAAACUCGUCUGUCAGUGAACAUGUGCUCAAAAUGUCUGGGUACUCAAACCGUCUGGCUGAGUUGGGGAUUGAACUCCCGCAAGAAGCGAUCACUGACAGAAUCCUUCAAUCACUGCCGCCAAGCUAUAAAGGCUUUGUGUUGAACUACAACAUGCAAGGGAUGAACAAGUCUCCCGGCGAGUUGUUUGCGAUGCUGAAAGUCGCAGAGUCUGAACUCCGUAAAGAGCAUCAAGUGUUGAUGGUGAGCAAGACCACUAGUUUCAAGAGAAACGACAAAGGCAAGAAGGGCAAUUCGAAGAAGAGCGGCAAGCCUGUUGCCAAUCCGCCGAAGAAACCCAAGGCUGGACCUAAGCCUGAAACAGAGUGCUUCUAUUGCAAGGGUAUGGGUCACUGGAAGCGCAAUUGCCCCAAGUAUCUGGCAGAUAAGAAGGCGGGCAAAGAAAAAUCAGGUAUAUUUGAUAUACAUGUUAUUGAUGUGUACUUAACCGGCUCUCGUAGUAGUGCCUGGGUAUUCGAUACCGGUUCUGUUGCUCACAUUUACAACUCGAAGCAGGAACUGCGGAAUAGACAAAGGCUGGCGAAAGACGAAGUGACGAUGCGCGUAGGAAAUGGUUCCAAGGUUGAUGCAAUCGCCGUUGGCACAGUGUCACUUCAGCUACCAUCGGGAUUAGUGAUGAACUUAAAUCAUUGUUAUUUAGUGCCUGCGUUGAGCAUGAACAUUAUAUCUGGAUCUUGUUUAUUGCGAGACGGUUACUCUUUUAAGUCUGAGAAUAAUGGUUGUUCUAUUUCUAUGAGUAACAUCUUUUAUGGUCAUGCACCGAAUGUGAGAGGAUUGUUCAUAUUGAAUCUUGAUAGCGAUACGCAUAUACAUAACAUUGAGACCAAAAGAGUUAGAGUAAACAAUGAUAGCGCCAUAUUUUUGUGGCACUGCCGCUUGGGUCAUAUUGGUGUAAAGCGCAUGAAGAAACUCCAUGCUGAUGGACUUUUGGAGUCACUUGACUUUGAUUCACUUGACACGUGCGAACCAUGCCUCAUGGGCAAGAUGACUAAGACUCCGUUCUCCGGAACAAUGGAGCGUGCAAGUGACUUGUUGGAAAUCAUACAUACCGAUGUGUGUGGUCCAAUGAGCGUAGAGGCACGCGGCGGAUAUCGUUAUUUUCUCACCUUCACUGACGAUUUAAGUAGAUAUGGUUAUGUCUACUUGAUGAAGCACAAGUCUGAAACAUUUGAAAAGUUCAAGCAAUUUCAGAGUGAAGUGGAAAAUCAUCGUAACAAGAAGAUCAAGUUCCUACGGUCUGAUCGUGGGGGUGAAUAUCUGAGUUUCGAGUUUGGUGCUCACUUAAGACAAUGUGGAAUUGUUUCGCAGUUAACACCGCCUGGAACACCACAGCGUAAUGGUGUGUCCGAACGUCGUAAUCGUACUUUGUUAGAGAUGGUGCGAUCUAUGAUGUCUCUUACUGAUUUGCCGUUAUCAUUUUGGGGUUAUGCAUUAGAAACAGCUGCAUUCACUUUAAAUAGGGCACCAUCAAAAUCCGUUGAGACGACACCAUACGAACUGUGGUAUGGCAAAAGGCCAAAGUUGUCGUUUCUUAAAGUUUGGGGAUGUGAUGCUUAUGUCAAAAAGCUUCAGCCUGAAAAGCUGGAACCCAAAGCGGAAAAGUGCGUCUUCAUAGGUUACCCAAAAGAGACAGUUGGGUACACCUUCUAUCUCAAAUCCGAGGGCAAAGUGUUUGUUGCUAAAAACGGAGCUUUUCUCGAGAAGGAGUUUCUCUCGAGAGAAUUGAGUGGGAGGAAGAUAGAACUUGACGAGGUUGUCGAACCUCUCAUCCCUCUGGAUGGUGGCGUAGGGCAAGGGGAAACCUCUGUCGUUGCGACGCCGGUUGAGGAGGAAGUUAAUGAUGAUGAUCAUGAAACUCCAGUUCAAGUUUCUGUUGAACCACGCAGGUCGACGAGAUCACGCGCUGCUCCAGAGUGGUACGGUAAUCUCGUCUUAUCAAUCAUGUUGUUAGACAACAAUGAACCUGCAAAUUAUGAAGAAGCAAUGGUGGGCCCAGAUUCCAACAAAUGGCUAGAAGCCAUGAAAUCCGAGAUAGGAUCCAUGUAUGAGAACAAAGUGUGGACUUUGGAGAUACUACCCGAGGGCCGCAAGGCUAUUCAGAACAAAUGGAUCUUUAAGAAGAAGACGGACGCUGACGGUAAUGUGACCGUUUAUAAAGCUCGACUUGUGGCAAAGGGUUUUUCACAAGUUCCACGAGUUGACUACGAUGAGACUUUCUCACCCGUAGCGAUGCUUAACUCCGUCAGAAUCAUGUUAGCAAUAGCUGCAUUUUUCGAUUAUGAAAUCUGGCAGAUGGAUGUCAAAACGGCGUUCCUUAACGGUUUCCUUAAGGAAGAGUUGUAUAUGAUGCAACCUGAAGGUUUUGUCGAUCCUAAAAAUGCUGACAAGGUGUGCAAGCUCCAGCGAUCCAUUUAUGGACUGGUGCAAGCAUCUCGGAGUUGGAACAAACGCUUUGAUGAGGUGAUCAAAGCAUUUGGGUUUAUACAAGUGGUUGGAGAAUCUUGUAUUUACAAGAAAGUGAGUGGGAGCUCUGUGGCGUUUCUAAUAUUAUAUGUGGAUGACAUAUUACUGAUUGGAAACAACGUAGAGCUUUUGGAGAGCAUAAAAGGUUACUUGAAUAAAAGUUUCUCUAUGAAGGACCUAGGAGAAGCUGCUUACAUUCUAGGCAUUAAGAUCUACAGGGAUAGAUCAAAACGCCUGAUAGGACUUUCACAAAGCACAUACCUUGAUAAAGUUUUGAAGAGGUUCAAAAUGGAACAGUCCAAGAAAGGGUUCUUGCCAGUUUUACAAGGUACGAGAUUGAGUAAGACUCAGUGCCCAGCAACUGAUGAAGAUAGAGAGCAUAUGCGCUCCGUCCCCUAUGCUUCAGCCAUAGGUUCUAUCAUGUAUGCGAUGCUGUGCACUAGACCGGAUGUUAGCCUGGCCAUAAGUAUGGCAGGUAGGUUCCAGAGUAAUCCAGGAGUGGAUCACUGGACAGCGGUCAAGAAUAUCCUGAAGUACCUGAAAAGGACUAAGGAGAUGUUUCUCGUAUAUGGAGGUGACGAAGAGCUCGCCGUAAAAGGUUACGUCGAUGCAAGCUUUGACACAGAUCCGGACGACUCUAAGUCGCAGACCGGAUACGUAUUUAUUCUUAAUGGGGGUGCACUAAGCUGGUGCAGUUCCAAGCAAAGCGUCGUAGCAGAUUCUACAUGUGAAGCAGAGUACAUGGCUGCCUCGGAAGCGGCUAAGGAGGGUGUCUGGAUGAAGCAGUUGAUGACGGAUCUUGGAGUGGUGCCAAGCGCACUGAAUCCAAUAACCUUGUUCUGUGACAACACUGGUGCCAUUGCCUUAGCAAAGGAACCACGGUUUCACAACAAGACCAGACACAUCAAACGACGCUUCAACCUCAUCCGCGACUACGUCGAGGAAGAGGACGUAAAUAUAUGCAAGGUGCACACGGAUCUGAAUGUAGCAGACCCGCUGACUAAACCUCUUCCACGGCCAAAACAUGAUCGACACCAGAACUGUAUGGGUGUUAGAUUUAUUACAAUGUAAUUCACAUGGUGAUGUGAGGGCUAGAUUAUUGACUCUAGUGCAAGUGGGAGACUGUUGGAAUUAUGCCUUAGAGGCAAUAAUAAAUAUAUAGUUAUUAUUAUAAUUCCUGUAUCAAGAUAAUAGUUUAUUAUCCAUGCUAUAAUUGUAUUGAAAGAGGACUCAUUUACAUGUGUGGAUACAUAGACAAAACACCGUCCCUAGCAUGCCUCUAGUUGGCUAGCCAGUUGAUCGAUGAUAGUCAGUGUCUUCUGAUUAUGAACAAGGUGUUGUUGCUUGAUAACUGGAUCACGUCAUUGGGAGAAUCACGUGAUGGACUAGACCCAAACUAAUAGACGUAGCAUGUUGAUCGUGUCAUUUUGUUGCUACUGUUUUCUGCGUGUCAAGUAUUUAUUCCUAUGACCAUGAGAUCAUAUAACUCACUGACACCGGAGGAAUGCUUUGUGUGUAUCAAACAUCGCAACGUAACCGGGUGACUAUAAAGAUGCUCUACAGGUAUCUCCGAAGGUGUUAGUUGAGUUAGUGUGGAUCAAGACUAGGAUUUGUCACUCCGUGUGACGGAGAGGUAUCUCGGGGCCCACUCGGUAAUACAACAUCACACACAAGCCUUGCAAGCAAUGUAACUUAGUGUAAGUUGCGGGAUCUUGUAUUACGGAACGAGUAAAGAGACUUGCCGGUAAACGAGAUUGAAAUAGGUAUGCGGAUACUGACGAUCGAAUCUCGAGCAAGUAACAUACCGAAGGACAAAGGGAAUGACAUACGGGAUUAUACGAAUCCUUGGCACUGAGGUUCAAACGAUAAGAUCUUCGUAGAAUAUGUAGGAUCCAAUAUGGGCAUCCAAGUCCCGCUAUUGGAUAUUGACCGAGGAGUCUCUCGGGUCAUGUCUACAUAGUUCUCGAACCCGCAGGGUCUGCACACUUAAGGUUCGACGUUGUUUUAUGCGUAUUUGAGUUAUAUGGUUGGUUACCGAAUGUUGUUCGCAGUCCCGGAUGAGAUCACGGAUGUCACGAGGGUUUCCGGAAUGGUCCGGAAAUGAAGAUUGAUAUAUAGGAUGACCUCAUUUGAUUACCGGAAGGUUUUCGGAGUUACCGGGAAUGUACCGGGAAUGACGAAUGGGUUCCGGGAGUUCACCGGGGGGGGAGGGCAACCCACCCCGGGGAAGUCCAUAGGCAUUGGGGGAGCCACACCAGCCCUUAGUGGGCUGGUGGGACAGCCCACAAGUGGUCUAUGCGCCAAGAGAAGAAAAAUCAAGAGGAAAAGAAAAAAAAGGAGGAGGUGGGAAGGGAGGAGGACUCCCUCCCACCAAACCUAGUCCAACUCGGUUUGGGGGGGGGGGGAGAGUCCUCCCCCUUGGCUCGGCCGACCCCCUUGAGGGUCCUUGGACCACAAGGCAAGGCCCCCUCCCUCCCACCUAUAUAUACGGAGGUUUUAGGGCUGAUUUGAGACGACUUUUCCACGGCAGCUCGACCAUAUACCUCCACGGUUUUUCCUCUAGAUCGCGUUUCUGCGGAGCUCGGGCGGAGCUCUGCUGAGACAAGGUCAUCACCAACCUCCGGAGCGCCGUCACGCUGCCGGAGAACUCUUCUACCUCUCCGUCUCUUUUGCUGGAUCAAGAAGGCCGAGAUCAUCGUCGAGCUGUACGUGUGCUGAACGCGGAGGUGCCGUCCGUUCGGUACUAGAUCGUGGGACUAAUCGCGGGAUUGUUCACGGGGCGGAUCGAGGGACGUGAGGACGUUCCACUACAUCAACCGCGUUCUCUAACGCUUCUGCUGUACGAUCUACAAGGGUAUGUAGAUCACUCAUCCCCUCUCGUAGAUGGACAUCACCAUGAUAGGUCUUCGUGCGCGUAGGAAAUUUUUUGUUUCCCAUGCGACGUUCCCCAACAGGUAGGUGUUCAGGAUCAUUCAUUUGAUCAUCAGUAGUUCACGUCCGUUAUGCGUAGAUCUUCCCCCCUCUUAUUUCUUGUACUCGUAAGUUUAGCCACCAAGUAUAUGCUUAGCCGCUGCUGCAACCUCACCACUUAUCCAUGCCUCACCCAUUAAGCUUUGCUAGUCUUGAUACCUUUGGAAAUGAGAUUGCUGAGUCCCCUAUGGCUCACAGAUUACUACAACACCAGUUGCAGGUACAAGUAAAGGUUACUCGACGCGAGCGCGUUGAUUGUUCAUUUGGAGUUGCUUCUUCUUCUUCUUCGUCAUCGAUCUAGGAUGGGUUCCAGGCCGGCAGCCUGGGAUAGCAAGGAUGGACGUCGUUCUUCUUUUACCGUUUGUUUUCAUCCGUAGUUGGACCCUGCUCUUACUCUUGAUGAUUAUGUAAUGUACUGAUGUGACUUUGAUGUAGCUUGUGGCGAGUGUAAGCCAAUUCUAUUAUAUAUCUCUUCUUUUCAGUACAUGUACUUGUAACGAUAUCUAUUCUUGCGACACGACGAGAUGCGCUUCUAUCCCUGACGAGGCCUUCGUGCCAAAUUGAGGAUAGGGUCGCAUCUUGGGCGUGACAGAAUGGUAUAUAGUUUUGUAGGAAGAUAAUUCAUAACUAGUAUUGAUAGUAACAAAUGUGCGUCAAGGUGGCCCAAUCCUUUUUAUAACAAAGGAUAAGCUUGAUUGUUCUCUUAUAUAAAGCAAAGCACUUUCAAGGACACAUGUGAAUUUUCGUUUAGUUACGUUCAUCAUGCUUAGUUGAUUCACAUUCGUUACUUUGAUAAUUUGAUAUGUGGGUGGACCGGUGCUAAGGUGUUGUUCUUACUUGAACAAGCAACCUACUUAUGGUUACGCCCUCUUGCACACAUCCGCAACUAUGAAAGAAGAAUUAAGAUAAAUCUAACCAUAGAAUUAAGCGUGUGGAUCCAAAUCAGCCUCCUACGGAGCAACUCAUAAACUAGGGUUUAAGCUUCUGUCACUCUCUCAACUCAUCAUCUACUUAUCAUUCUCCAAUGCUUCCCUUUAGGCCCAAAUAUGAUGAAGUUUCAUGCAACCGACGUUCAUGUGACAUCACUAAAGGAAGAGCCACAUACAUAUCAUGAAAAUAUCGAACGAAUACCAACAUCACAUGAUUACUUAUAACAUGACUUCUCCCAUGUCCUCGAGAACAAAAACAACUACUCACAAAUCAUGUUCAUGUUCAUGUUCAAGAUCAUAGGUGUAUUGAAUAUCAUUAAGGAUCUGAACAGAUAAUCUUCCACCAAAUAAACGAACUAGCAUCAACUACAAGAUGUAAUCAACACUACUAGCAACCCAUAUGUACCAAUCUAAGAUUUUGGAACCAAAAUUGAAUACAAGAGAUGAACUAGGGUUUGAGAUGAGAUGGUGCUGGUGAAGAUGUUGAUGAAGAUUGACCCUCCAAUGGUGGAGGAAGUGUUCGUGAUGAUGAUGGCUUCGAUUUCCUCCUUCCGGACGAAAAUUUCCCGAGCGGAAUUGUGACAGCCCGAGACCGAUGCUCCAGAAGAUUCCCCUCUUUUCCGUUGCUGACGUGUGUAUAUUUUUAUUUGUUGCAUCAUCACCGCGUCAUGCGCAUCAUCCAUGUUGCAUCAGCAUCCCGUUGCCGCCAGUUUUCAAAACUUGCAUCCGUUAUUAGUUGCCGGUUCUCUCCGCGUUCGUCGUUGACCGUCUCGAGCCCGACCACACUCGCACGCGCCCGCGUCAUCGUCAAAACAUUGUUUUUAAAAGUGUGUAUAAAACUUCCUCUGAUUGGAUUGAAACUUGGCAUGCGACUUUAUUUUAAUAUAGGUAGGCCGCCUCCCAAUUUUCAUCACAAUCGGAGUCCGUCUGGUACCCGAACAGUCGUCCGUAGCGGCACCGUCUUCGGUUAUUCGUCGGACGUUUUUUGGUGUUUUAGAAUCACGUUGCCGGGUGCCCGUUUUCCCUCUCAUCUCCGGCUAGCCUACUGUACACAUCCACGUACCCGUACCCGCGUUCGAGACUGUCUGAUUUAGAUCGCGCAGUUGAAACCGAGGCAAAAACAGCUAACCCUAGCCCAUUUUCUAUAAAUAGCAAGAUAGAUACGUAAUCCCCUUGUUUCCCAUGCCAAACCCUAAUCCUCUGAGCCUGAGCCUCCCUCCUCCUCUCAGCCGCAGACAGGGCCAACCCGAGCCCAUCGCCGGCCCUCCCCGGGCCUGGUUAUGCCGCCGGUCACCCGCAGCCGCCUAGAGCCGCCUUAGCCUCGCUCCCGCUCGCUGCCUGACCCGCGCCGCCUCCUUGAGCCGCCGCCGUCGACCACCGGCGCCCCCAGUCCGACCGGCCACCGGACAACCUGUCUCUUAUACACAUCUNCGCCGCGUGUGCUCCCGUCGCCUCUCAGAUCCGGUCCGGCAGCCCCGGAUCUGGCGCCCCCAACCCUCGCGCCGGCUACCUGAUCCCGCCGAGAUCUCGCCAGGUCCCUCGCCGUCCCUGCAGCCGGCGAGCCUCACUGCGCCGCCCGGUGGUUUGUUGCGUUGCCUCGCGCGAGGGAGACGAUCGGGCACUCGCUCUCCCGCGUGGGCCUGCUCCAGCACGACCGAAGACCCGAAGGUGACCCCCCCGUUGAGCCCUCUAUUUCUCGUCUGCGCGUAGUAUUGCUAUAUUGCGCCACUGGUUUCGGCCCGUUUAGAUUUUUAUUAUAUUUCUGUGAUUUAGUAUUUUCAGGAAAUAGAGUAAUUUCAAACGGCUAUAACUUUUAUUUCGUGCAUGGGUUCGCGACGUAUUAUAUAUGAAACUUGAUUAGUUUUUCGCGUAGAAAAUUAUUUUGCAACUUGCAUGUAUGUUUGGAGUGUUUGACCCACUGUUUGCCUAGAUUUACGUGUUGUACUAAUAGGUAUUUGUUGCGUAGAUAUUUUUGCGUGCAUACGUUUUCCUCAAAUACCAUAGAUAAAAUGUUCAUGUUGUUCGGGACCCUUUGCCAUGUAUUUUAGAGUAGUUGUUUGCAUUUUUGCAUGUAGGUUCCGUCGCUCGUUUGCUAUGUCGUGUUUAGGACAUAUUCUCGCAUAUAUGUGUGGCGUGAGUUUUAUUUUGCAACCCUAUAUAUUAUAUAUGUUUUCGGGGUAGAAAAAUCCAUAGAAUUUAACCGUGCAUUUAAUUUUGUCGUCCGAGUAAGUUAGUGUGCGUGAUAUUUUGCCAUGUUGCCCUCUUGUUUAUUUUGUGAGAUUUAUUCCGUGCGUGAUAUGCAUGAGUUGUGAACUAGAAAUAUGCUCUUGGAUAUGUAUGUUUGCCCCUGGUAUUUUUGGUUGAUUUAUAAAUCCAUGUUUAUGUGUUGUUUGCUUGUUGCCAACAGGCUAGAAAAUAGUGCUGAUUUGGAGAUGCUGAAAUAUUUCAAAGUCUGAGAUCUGUUAUAUUUUUCUUGUUGUCUUGCCAUGAGUUUUGCUAGUGAUCUACAGCUCCUUUGGGGUUGGUGCAAUGAAGUUAGUUGUAGUCCUUCAGAUUUUCUAGCAUGCUGUAAAUUUUCAUGUCAUUUGGUAUCUUGUAGCAUAUAGUUUUGCUGCUGUCAAUAUGCCUUCAGAUCGAAAACUGCACUGUCAAUAGUGUUAUUUUAACUAAGUCUGAAACUGUGUGUGAGAUGUCAUUUUGUGAGUUCUUUUCCUAGUGAUCCAUGCUUCCAUGCUAAUUGUAUUUAGUAGGGUGUUGUUGUGCAUCUUGACCACUACUGCCUCAUGUUUCGUUUGAGCAUUUUAGAAUUAUGUAGCUUGUUGUUUUGGGGUGUAGAAAAUGUCAUGUUGCUCUUUUGGCAGAUUGUACCUAGUUCUUGUUUUGCUUGUAAUCGUUGAACCGUGGCUCCGUUUUGAUCAUGUCAUAUAUGAAACUUGCUUAGAAUCUUGUGUAGGUUCAUAUUAUCUUCUGUUUGUAUGUUUUGGGAUGCUUGUGACUGUCAUUGCAUACAUGUUGCAUUCAUGCCAUCAUAUCUUGCGGUGUUCGUAUCUUUUAAACCGUAGCUCCGUUUGAGAUGUUCCAUAUAUGUAAAUGGACUAGGAAGAUGCGUAGAAUCACGUGAACCACUUUAUUUUGUUGUUUAAUAAUUAUUAAAACGUGUUAGUUCAGAUCUGGAUGGAAUUAUAAAUUAACGUAUGAGGUCAGUUCAGAGAUGUUAUAUGUCAUUUCUGACCUCAUUUAAAAUGCCUAGAUAGGUAGCUUAAUUACGCUUCACCUCUUGUCAUGUUUAACAAACAUUUAAUAUUGUUGUGUAAAUAAUCGUAAGUGAACUAAAUAAUUAAAGGUGGAGUUUCGUCAAUAUGCAAUUCGUUGUAUAUUGAAUUUCACUUAAUGUGUAGUGUUUCAUGGUGUGAAUUGCCAUGUCAUACCGUGCAAAAAUGAAACCGCUCAUGCAUCAUUUGUGUUGUGCAUCGCGUGGUGAAUAUCGUGUGUUGAUUCUUGUUUCCGGUUUGCUUCGUCUCGAUAGAGUUCCGCAAGCGUGUCGGAAAAUGAGGACCCGUUCGACUACGUCGGUUCGUCUGCUUCACGGAGUCAUUCUUCUUCCAAGCGGGACCUCAGGCAAGAUGACCAUUUCCCUAGAUAUCAUUACUAUCAUUGCCAUGCUAGUUGUUCGUUUCUGUCGCUAUGUCUCGUUGCCUACCACAUGUUAAAUAUCAGCCUCCCAACAUUGCCAUGAAAACCUUCAACCUGUUCACAACCUAGCAAACCACUGAUUGACUAUGUUACCGCUUGCUUAACCAUGUGUUAGCAUUCCUAGUUGUAGGUGCAGUUGUUUCCAUGUGAUAACAUGGGUUCCUUGUUAUAUCAUCCUCUUAAUUGCUAUUUAAUUUAAUGCACCUAUAUACUUGGUAAAAGGUGGAAGGCUCGGCCUUUCUAGCCACGUGUUUUGUUUCACUUUGCCGCCUUAGUUUCGGCUACCAGUGUUAUGUUCCAUAAAUGAGCGCUCCUAACAUGAUUGGGGUUGUUAUGGAGACCCCAUAGAUUCUUGUUUGGGAUAAAGCUCGUCUGGCAAGGCCCAACAUAAUAAUUCUGUUAAUACUGAAAAACAUAGGGAGUUAGCACUACCCGAGGAGUAAUUCAACAUAAUACAGGGAUGGCCAGUGCUGAUGGUGCUGGUCCAAAACAGAGUCGUGUGCAGGGCCAACCCGGGGCAACUCGGGUGAUUUCUAUCACGCCACUUUACGCUGCGCUCAUCCGAUUGUGCCCUCAGAACGAGAUAUGCGGCUCCUAUCGGGAUUGUCGGCACGUCGGGCGGCCUUGCUGGACUUGUUUUACAUUUAUCAAGCGUCUUGUGCGAUGGUUUCUGAGGAUGCUUUGAGCUAACUCGAGGUUGUGGUUUUCCAAUAGGAACCUGAAGAGAUCACGGGUUUCCCUGAUCGAGGUCAUUCCGUCGCAGCAUGUGGUAGUUUGUGAUGGACUAGUUGAAGCACCCCUGCAGGGUUAAAUCUUUCGAAAAGCCGUGCCCGCAGUUAUGUGGCAACGUGGAAACUUUGUUUAACAUCCGGUUCUAGAUAACUUGAAGUUAACUUAAAUAAAAUAUGCCAACUGAGUGCGUAACCGCAACUGUCUCCUUCGUGAACUCCUUCUACGACCGAGGACACGGUGGGGUUAUGUCUGACGUAAGUAGGUGUUCAGGAUCAUUUAUUUGAUCAUCAAUAGUUCACGUCCGUUAUGCGUAGACCAUUUCCUCUCUUAUUCUUGUACUCAUGAGUUAGCCACCUCAUAUAAAUGCUUAGUCGCUUGUUGCAGCCUCACCACUUAACCAUACCUCACUCACUAAGCUUUGCUAGUCUUGAUACCUUUGGAAAUGAAAUUGCUCAGUCCCUGUGGCUCACAGAUUACUACAACACCAGUUGCAGGUACAAGUAAAGGGUUACUUGACGCGAGCGCGUUGAUUGUUAAUUUGUAGUUUUUUUCUUCUUCUUCAUCGAUCUAGGAUGGGUUCCAGGCCGGCAGCCUGGGAUAGCAAGGAUGGACGUCGUUCUUUUAUCGUUUGUUUUCGUCCGUAGACGGACCCUGCUCUUCUUCAUGAUGAUUGUAUUUAUUGUACUGAUGUGACUCUGAUGUAGCUUGUGGCGAGUGUUAGCCAACUACUUAUACUCAUCUUUUCAGUACAUGUACUUGUAACGAUAUCCAUUCUCGCGAAACGACGAGAUGGGUUUCUAUCACUCUCGAGGCCCUCGCGCCAAAAUAUGGAUAUGACCGCACUUUGGGCGUUACAGGAAUUGUUCCGCUAGAGAGAAAAGGUGCUCAUGUCUAGGUUCCGCCUCCGAAUGACGGCUCUUCGUCCCGAAAGUAUCCUCCUAAUUUUUUCUAGGUCCAAACCCUUCAUAUAGGAGAAGAGGGGGGGGGGCACGAUCGCUUACGGGACCCACAAGGCAUUAGGGCGCACCCAGAGUGGUUGGUGCGCCAUGUUGCCUUGUGAGGGACAGGUGGACCCCUCUAGUACGUCUUGGCUCAUUUUUUUAUAUAUUUUAAAAAUAUUCUCCCUAAACUUUUAGGUCAUUUGAUGUUCAGUAAAAUAGGAGUGUCUAAUGUAGCAUUUUCAGGUUCAGAAUUCCAGCUGCUGGUAAUGUUCCUCUCCAUGUAAACCUAUUAAAAUCGCAGAGAAAAGGCACUAAAAUUGCAUCAUAAAGUGGAAUAAUGACAACAACAAUAUAAAUAACAAUGGGAAAUCAUGAUGCAAAAUAGACGCAUCACCCCUUGUUGCAACUAUUCACUAUGAAGGAAGAAGGGGCAUGUCACAUCAUCCGACUCCACAACUACACAGUUAGCCAAUAGUAAUAACCUUUCGUCCAAAGUUAGCAUACGUUCAAUGGUCAACUUCACCCAGCGUCAAGAAGAUUAUCAACAUAAAUAUGCAAAUAUGAUAUUAAAUCCUAAUACCAAGCAACCUAUUACACACUAAGGUUCAUCCAUACCCCGAGAAUAGCGGGUCUACUCACACAUGGAAACGGUAAUCAUCAUGAUAAUGGUACUGGAGUACAUGGAUGGACGAAUCAACCAAUACACCAAAGGGUCCACUAAUGUUUUUGAUGUUGCAGAUGAUAAGGAUUUGGAUAAUGAUGACAAUGGUUAUGAAGAUGGUGAUGAUGACUUCGUUCCCCUCGUGGUGAGAGGGAUCCCCUCCUUCUCCUAGUUGAUCCUUUCUAUGGAUGGGCUCUCGACGCUAGGGUUCUGCCUUUUAGAUGAGUUUCUGGAGUCUCAGCAUGUCUGAUUCUGGAUCCGCUUCAACAAGGUGAAAAUAGAUGAUCAUCGAGAGGUGUCGGCGCGCCAAACGACCAGUCAUGCGAGCGCGUGAUCACAUGGAACACCGUUUUUCGCUCGGAAAGCGUGACACCAACUGUUUCUUUGGCCUUCUUACUUGAUUUUUUUAUGGAAAAUGUAUAUCACCUUUAAUACAUGAUUCCAUUGUCAUUUUUUGAGAUUUUCUCCAUUAAAUGAAUGUUGCUCCAUAAGUCGUUAUCUAAGGGAUUAUCAACAAAAAAAAGUGUGCGAACACGGUAAAAUUCCACAAAGCAAAUAGGCAAAAGAAUAACGAUAAAAGAGUCUCAUAAUUUGGACGCAUCAGCCGACCGUUUAACUUUUUCCAUUUUCAUAUUAAAGAAAAAAAAGGAUGCAAUAACACAGUUUGAACCACAAAACCUCUCUAUUCACGGCAUAGAGAAGUAACCACUAGACCACCUCGAUUAACAUGUUAAUUAGCUUCUUUUCCUCCUUUUAUCCUCUUGAUUUUGCGUCAUUUUUUGUUUUCUUUGUUCUUGAAACGGUUUUGUUUGGUCUUUUUCUUUCAUUUUUCUUUUUGCUAAAUGCAUGAACUUAUUCUUCAAAUUUGCGAUAUUUUUACAAAAUCCAUGAACUUUUAUUCAAAAUUGAUGAACUUUUUUUCAAAAUCGAUGAAAUUUUUUCAAUCUAAACGAGCUUUCUUACAAAAAUUGACGGUUUUUUCAGAAUCAAUGAAUUAUUUAGAAUUGAUGAGUUUUUUAAAUUUGAUGAUUUUUUCAAUUGCCAUAAACUAUUUUCAAGUUUGAUGAACUAUUGUCAAUUUUGCUAAAAAAUUCUAUUUCGAUUUUUUCUUCAAAUUCAAUGAAGUUUUUUUUUCAUAUUUGAUUUUUUUUUAAUCUAUGAACUUAUUCCAAAAUUUCAUGAUUUGUUUUCCAGUUUUUUCUACGUGGUGCUUUCAUCAGCAGGUACUGGGCCUGCCCGCAACAUGUCCCUACGAGAGCCAGGACCUCGAAUCUCAAAACGUUGAAUAUGAGGCGAAAUAACUAAUUGAGGAGUACUCCUUUCAAAGAUCACUUCCAUCUAGCCAGGUUGUGAAAAGUAGUGCAUUAUAUGUGUGCCACUUGUCGCAACAUGAGAGUUUUUCUUUUUUUCGUAGAUCCUUAAUUUCAAAAUAUUUUAUCUCUUAAACCGUAUGUCCAAAUCUCAAACUAUUUUCAUCGUUGGAUUCCUCGCGUCGAGUUCUUUAAAACAAGAUCUCAUGUUAAUAGGUUUUAACAAACUUCUUUCCAUGGAAAAAAAGGAUAAAAAAACUGGACUCGAAAACCAUGCCUCCCGCGAAAGCUAAAAAACACACUUUUUUUCGUCCCUGAGAGGCAUGACUAUGCCUCUCGUGGAAGCAAACCUGCGCCUUUCGCGGAAGCAAAUCGUGUCUUUCACGAAAAAACAAAAAACAUGUUUUUCUCGUUUCCGAGAAACACGGCCGUGCCUCUCGCAAAAGCAAAUCCCUGCAUCUCGCAAAAGGAAAACCCUUCCUUUUGCAGAAAAAACAGAAAACACAUUUUUUUCCAAAAGGCAUGGCUGUGUCUCUUCCGAAACCAAAUUUGUGUCUCUCGCGAAAGAAAAACCGUACCUCUCAAAAAAGAAAAAGUAUACGUGUUUUUCCGGUUUCCGUGAGCAAGAAAAUUCGUGCUUUUGAAGAAAGAAAGAAAAUAAGAAAUAUGUUUUUUCAGAUAUUUUUUGUUUUUUUCAUCCAAAAGCUAAGAAACACCGGUGAAAAACCAAACAUCGAGAAAACCCAAAAAAACCCAUCUAAAAAGCCAAAAAUGUGUGAAAUAAAAAAUAAAAAUCUAAAGAAAAUAUUCAAGACGCGAUACAUGAAGAUAGCUAAAAAUGCGUCAGGUAUAGUUGCUCUCAGCUUCCAUAACCGAUGGCGAAAUUCAAUCAAGAUUGUAAUAAAGCCUCUAAAGGUCAACACGGCCAUAGUUUAUUUAUUUUUUCCUGACAGAGAGCCAUAAGGCCUUGGUUGCAUUGGCCCAGUAUUUACCUGACUCCUAUGGGAAAAAGAGGCGCUUGGCCCGAUCUCUUUUGUGCCCUAGCAGCUCGCCUCUCGUCUCCCUCGUUUCCUUUCCCCGGAACUCCCCAAUUCGGGCGCUCGAUUCCUGGCUUCGCCUCGAGCCGAUCUCACCUGUUGUUGAGGCAUGACGGCUUGCAAGCAGACCGCAUCCACGGGCACCGAUGUAACCAUGGACGAGGCCGACAGCAAGUAAGAAUCGAAAACUGAAUCUUGUUUCUGUGAUGCAAGAGACACCCUAGUUUCGGUGCAUCGAGCCGCCGAUCCAUAACCUUGGAUUCUUACGCAGCUCGGCAGCAAAGAGAGAUGGAGCGGAGGAGCGGAAGCCCUGGACCAAGUGCAGGAAGGGGAAGAAGGUCAAG